GCAACUUACAAGUAGCUAAAAUUAUAUUUAUAACCAUAUAUUGGAGAUCACUCUUACAGGACUUAACCACUCUCACACCACAUGUUCACAUGUCUUACACGUACGUAUAUAUACGUGAUAUGUGGAUAUGGAAAUAUUAAUGGUUGCAUUGCUUGCACUUAUUGAAUACAUAUGCCACGUGUUUUUCAUUCCUUCUUUCUAAUUACCUAGGUGGCAGCGUGCAGCAGCAUCGUCUCCACAGUGAACCCCGGUCCAAAUCCCAUCAUCACCCCCCAGUCUUCAUCAUGGCUAGCUCCCUCUCCUUCAGGAUCUUCUCUUUGGCGCCUGACCUCAUCGAGCACAAAGAUAACCGUGGCGCCAAGCAUGUUACCAUACUCUCUCACCACGGUUCUGCUCGCCGCCAGCUUCCCCGGGGCUAGCCGGAGCGCCCUGACGAUGUGGUCGAGCAUCGCACUGCUGCCAGGAUGCACUGCCCAGAAGAGGUUGUUCCAUUCGACUACGCCUCCGACGAUGGCUAGGUGGUUGCCGAACGCAUCCAGCAGGCACCGCUCAACGAUGCCCGCCGCCAGUCUUGGCAGUCCGGUGGCGAUGGUCCCGCCGAUGCCACCGCUCCCGAGCUGCACGGUGAGCAUGUGCUCAGUGUCCGGUAUCACAUACUGCGAGGCAGACACCAUCUCGAACAGCGGGCGCUCGUGGACGUCAGGGUCGGCGCCCACGAUGACGGCACCGGCGCCGUCACCGAAGAGCCCCUGGGGAAUGAGGGUGUCGAAGGAGUCCGCCUCAUCGGGCGCGCGGAAGGCAGUGACGGUGAGCUCGACGCAGGCCACGAGGACGCGCGCGCCGCGGUUGUUCUCGGCGAGGUCCUUGGCUAGGCGCAGGGCGGCGCACCCGGAAGCGCAGCCGUUGAGCUGGAGCACGGUGCGCAGGACAUCAUGACGGAGACCGAGGAGGGACACCAAGCGGACAUCGGUGCCCGGGGCGUGCGACCCCGCGUUGGUGCUGACGACGAGAUGGGUGAUGUCGCCCGCCGGACGGCCCCACUCGGCGAUGGCGCUCGCCGCAGCCGACGCGGCGAGCUCCGGGGCGGCGGUAGCCACGACGUCCAGCCGGGCGUCGAGGGACAUGCCCGGGUGCGCAGCGAGCAGUUCGUCUGUGUGGUGGAAGAAACGCCUGCCGAUGCCUGUCAUCCCGCAUAGCUUGGCGAAGGUGGGCUUGAGGUCGGUGAGGUGGUCGCUGUUGGUGACGCGGAAGUAGUAGUCGGGGUAGUCGCCCUGGGGCACGCAGUGGGGCGGGUUCGCCGUGCCGAUGGCCAGCACCGCCGCCGGCCCGUCCGCACGCUGCGCAACACGGAUCUCACGGACGGUGGUGGCUGGGAUGCUGCUGCUGCUUGCCAUGGUGACUUUCCUGCAUGCAAUACUAAGUAGAAUCAGAUCGUUGAAAAGCGAUCGAUCUUUAGGUUCCAAAACCCCCUUACCUUCUACUCCUAUUCUACCUGAUAGCUAGAUAGCUGAACCCGAGAGUUGGAUGAAGUGGGGACGAUCGAGGUACCUUGUGAAGAACAAAGCAAACAAGGCGAGAGGCUGAUCAAAUGAUUUAUGUGCGUUGGGAGAUGGGAGGAGGCGGCAAGUAUUUAAGGACGUGCGGGGGCAGGGUUCCUGGUCCCUGCAAAAAAAGGGAGCAGGGCUCACGCGUGUAAAUAUCUCGUCUAGGCAUAUGAUUGAAGCCUAGUGCAAAUAGUUUAACUAUAUGUGAAGACGGGCGGGACCCCGGGGCUGGUGAAUCCACAAACAUUUGGGCCCAUAAUUGAAUCCCAAGGGAGAGUUACAAAUGGCCUAUCACUUCUCUAAUUAAAGCUCCCCCACAAACAGUCUCCGAGCUUAUUGGGCCGACCAGUGCGUUGGAACAGCUAGUCCGUUCAGUUCUCAUGUCGUUUGAUGCUGAAGCAAUACUUAAGAUCCCAUUGUGUACUAGGAGGAUCGAUGAUUUCUGGGCAUGAAGUGAAGAACCUCGAGGCAACUUUACUGUGGGAUCAACAUACCGCAUAUUGGUCCGGGCUCCGGACUAAGCAAAACAGAGAGAGCUGGCUAGAGGGCCGCGAGGGAUCAUCAAACCUCCGGGAAGAAAGUAAGGAGUAGAAGUCAAUAUGGAAAACUUCAGGUUUCGUUGAAGCUCAUGGUAUAUAUUUAGCGGUUGGCUAGGCACACCAUCAGGAAAGGUUCUCCAUCGUCGUCACAUGGAAACUACCGGAGCCUGUAACUUGUGGGACGUACAUGAUACAUGGAGUACGAAAGCUAUCCAAGAUCAGUGUCGCGGAGUACAUGUGCAUUGUCUUCCCAAGCUAUCCUAGUUCAGUUGAGUAUAUAUAUACACACCAGGAGGAGAAUGCGAAGGACUGGAUUUCCGCUAUGCUGGGAGCGCUGUCAUCGGAAGAUUUGCUUAGUCCGGACCAACAUGCGGGGAGCUCUAUAACUUGUGGGGCGUACAUGAUACAUGGAGUAUGAAAGCUAUCCAAGAUCAGUGUCCCGGAGUACAUGGGUGUUGUCUUCCGAAGCUAUCCUAGUUCAGUUGAGUAUACACCGGGAGGAGAAUGCGAAGGACUGGAUCUCCGCUAUGCGGGGAGAGCAGCCAUCGGAAGAUUUUUACCAAGUUUGUAGUGACCAUGUGGGCGAUCUGGGGUGCCCGUAGGAAAGCAAUACAUUGAGGUGUUUUUAAAGACCCCACAUGCUAUACACGACUUCAUCACCUCAUACAUCACAGAGCUACAAGUGAUCACUCCAAACAGGGUGUCCCAUGGGAGUGCAACUCCUCGUCCGACUGGCUGGCUGGCACCUCCUGAACAUCCCGCAAAGCUGAACGUGGAUGUAGCAGUUGGCAGGAGGGGGCAGAACAGAGCGGUCGAUGCCAUCUGCAGGAAUCUUUAUGGGAGCUUCGGCUUUUAUUUUCACCAAUAUUGGUGACCUAACUACUUUAGAAGGCCUGGCUAUCAGAGAGGGGGUAGCUCUAGCCAAGGAUCUGAACCAGAACCGUAUUCAUGUUGCAUCGGAUUGUAAGGGGUGGUAGAAGAAGUUCACAACAGAAGUGGUGUUGCAUACAGAGCAAUCAUCCAGGAUAUCAAACUACACUUAUCAACUUUUUUUCAUGUUCCUUGCAAAAAACAAAACCCUUUUAUUUCAUGUAAUAUAGUUCACCAAUUAAGGAGCUCAAAAUAAAAUUUAGCGAAGCAUACUUUCACUUUGGGAGCUGGUCACCAUGUUUAGUUAGGCCAGCCCGGUAGUAUUCCUUUCGUCCCUGUAAAUAUUGUGGUGGUUGAAUAAACCCUUCGCGAGAUUGCCUAAAAAAACUAAAUAAAUCCUAAAUCAGCCGUUAAUUUUAACUAUUAUUGCAUGAAUCAUUCGGCUCCCUAUCCAGCGCUAUGAUCGCGCAUCAGCCGCACUAUGCGCGGGUUGGUCUACUAGCCUUUUUACAAAGGACGGAAAGGGGGGCAUGCAUGCUAGUACUAUAGCAGGAAGGUGGGACAUGCAGGUAUGAGGUUUCUAUAUUUUUUUUCAUAUAUAUGCAGGUUUGAAUAAAUGCCCAACAAGUAACCGCUUCGUGUGGAAACAAAUAAAGGGUGCGGGCGACUUGCAAAAUCUGACAUUGGUGCGGCCGGGAGAUUUGUACUACAUAAUUAUGCAAAACUGAAUGUCCUUUCAAUAGGCCACUAUUCCUUGGGAGAACAUGUUGUCCUUUAAUGUUUGUGUAGGUCCAAUAAAUGGAUGCAUCAAGUCUUGCGUGAAAAAGAAAUUAAUAAAGAAUGCCUUGUGCGUAUGUAUAUAGGACAGGGAUAGCUACCAUAGCGUACAUGCACAUGCAGAAAGAUCAUUGGUGCGCACCAACCUGUGGUUGGAUGAAUGGAUGGUUAGAGGGGCAGUGGUUGGUAUCCUCAGCCUACCAGAGUUCAAGUCCUGGUGCUCGCAAUAUUCCUGAAUUUAUUUCAGGAUUUUCGGCAAUGCGUUUUCUGUGGGAGGAGAUGUUCCUGUCAACGACGCGGCGCCUAUAAUGACUUUGUAAAUCUCAAGAUGAUAUAGCGGCUCAGUCUCUCGGAUGUGCUCAUAGAAGUAUGGUGUGUGUGCGCGUUCGUAGAGAUGAGUGUAUGCACGUAUAUAUGAGCGUUUGCAUUGUACCUGUUAAAAAAAAAGACCGUUGGUCCGUCGUCGCGAGCGAUACCUAUCAUACUUCCAACGAUUAUUUGAACGCACAUGGUGGACGCAGCAAGCGAGAGGUGAGUCAGUUCUGCAUGUGCACCAUUCAACAAAGCCACCACGUACGUACGUGGUCACAUGAGAUACAUGUGAGCUUGCAUCUACAAAUGCCAACAGCACCCAUUGGAUUUGUCAAGGCUUCACAGAACCGGUGUUUGGUAGUAUAACCAAUUAACACGGACGUACCUGGUCACGAACGACGACAAAGACCAGCAGUGCUACGUGUGAGAACACUCCUUUGCAGUCGCGCUCGACGUUGUCGGUCAGGUGCAAAGGACCCACCCGCGUGUGCCUGCACCCUCCCCUUGAAUUCAACUUGUGAGCCCAGAGCCCAGCAGAGGAGCCCACGCAAGUAAAGAAAGACUUGUGAGCCCAGUGCAUGCAGAUGAUGUCCCCUCCACGUACCACGAUAAAUCAAUCCAGUGGCCCUCGCCCAGUCAAUCUCACGCUUGUUUUCGGUCCCUACAUGUGGCAAGAUUCAACAAACAAUACAUGGUGUGUCAAUAGUAAGAAUUUGUCCUUACCUAUGGAAAGAUUCAACAAAACAAUCCAUGGUGUGUUGCCUCAAGAUAACUAUCAUCGUACUACGUCCAACAAUAAGCUGCCUACUUGCUGGGAUGUGUAUGUGCUCACAUAACAACGGAGUGUGGACCCAGCUAGUCAAUGAUGGUAGGCGCUACGUACGGACGCACACGACGUAACAAAGCCAGCAUCACAUGCAUGUGUACUUGCAUCUAGAGUAUGGUAAAAAAUUCACACGGACGUACCUAGUUACGAACGAUGACAAAGACCGGCAGUACUACAUGUGACUGUGAGAACAUCCUUUCGCAGUCGCGCGUUGAACACGUUAGACACUGCCGGUCAAGUCGCCCCAUAGGCAAUCUCUUCCCCAUUAAUGUAAACCGGUGGGGCCCAGCGUGUCCUUCAGUGUGUCUCGCACUAUCUAUUAUAUUAUUAAAACAAUAGGAAACAAACAGUGAGGAUUAACCAUCACGGGGCCGUCAGCUGCAAACGGCCGUGCCACAUGGCUUCUAUUUACCGGGUGCCUUCUACAGGGCUAGUUAACGGGGUGUGCACGCAGCUAGCCGAUGCUGGUUGGUGCUACGUAUGUACGCACACGAAGCAACAAAGCCAGCAUGACAUGCAUGUGUACUUGCAUUUACAAGUGCCAACAGAACCCAAUGUACGAGAAUUGUCAAGCGUCACAAAUUUGUAAUGUUCGGUAACAAAUUAACACGGACGUACCUGGUUACGAACAAUGCCAAAGACCGGCAGUGCUACAUGCGACUGUGGGAAGAUCCUUUCGCAGUCACGCGUUGAACGUGCGGUCCAGCUUCGCACGUUAGAAGCUGUCGGUCAGGUCGUCCCAUAGGUAAUCUCUUCCCCAUGAAUAUAAACCGGUGUGUCCCGACGUGUCCUUCAGUUUUUCUAACCCUAUUUUUGUUAAAAACAAAAAACUUAACUUUGUAAACAAGGAAGUACUAAAUUAUAGUGGUAUCAAAUCUUGAAGGUUUACAGGGCGCGCUUCAACAAUCUCUCGGACCAAGACGAUUAGCGGUUGGACUAAAAAAUAACAUUGAUAGUUAUAGCAUGGCGCCUAUUACUAGAGAAAUUAAUGCAUACACACAUACACAUAUGCAUGUAGUUAUUCCACUCCGUGUACAGACCUACAUGGAGAGAAAAUUAUGGGCUUGAUUGCGGUUAUCACACCAUUAUUAAUUAGGCAUUAAACCAAAGGAGCCUAAAAUCCCUACGGCGGUGGAAAUGCAUGAGAAUUGAAGCGCGUCGUGUAAACUGUGAUGGAGGGAGUACAUAGUAUCAGUUAUAAUAAAUGUUAUAUUUGCCGUCUUCCCGGUUUUUAUUUCUCACAAGUUAAUUAGUUGGCAGAAGCAUAAUUUUUUUUUGCAUUGUUGUAGUAGUAAAUAGAAUUUUAAUUAUUACUCCCCCUGUCGCAUAAUAUAAGAUGUGAUUACAACCAAUAUGUGAGUACAUAUGUGUUCCAUAAAAAAAUUGUGAGUACAUCUAUUGUCAUAACAUUUGAUAUUAUAGGAUGGAGGGAGUUGUAAAGAAAGACUUGUGCAAAUGGACAUUCCUAUGCAAUGAAAAUGAAAAUCAUCUUAUACUACAAAUGAAAAUGAAGGCAACAAUGUACAUUCGUAUGCAAUGGAAAUGCAAGCACCAAUCGAUAAAAACGGAAACGGAUAAGAAGGAAGUAUGUGCCAUGUCUUUGAUGGUGGAGGCAUUUUUACUACCGGGAGCAUUUGCUCUGGAUGAACAGUAAUUGGAAAAAAAGUUCGGAAGAGAGCUGCUGGCAGUGUCACAAGCGACAGCGGCACCCAGUGGGUCCGGCUGGUGGUUGAACAAUAGGUGAAGACAGGCGGGACGCCGGGGCUGGUAAUUCCACAAACAUUUGGGCCCAUUAUUGGAUAGCAAGGGAGAGUUACAAACGACCUAUCACUUCUCUAAUUCAAGCUCCCCCCAUAGAAAGUCUCCGAGCUUAUUGAGCCGACAAGUGCGUUGGAAGACCUUUAGUUCAAUUUUUACGCCGUUUGAUGCUGAAGCACUACUUAAGAUCCCAUUGUGUACUAGGGGGGUCGAGGAUUUCUGGGCAUGGAGUGAAGAACCUUGAGGCCACAUUACUCAGGGGUCAGCAUACCACAUGUUGGUCUGGACUAAGAAAAACAAAGAGAGUUGUCUAGAAGGCCGCGAGGGAUCGACAAACCUCCAGGAGGAAAGUAAGGAGUAGAAGUCAAUCUAGAAAACUUCAGGUUUCAUCGAAGCUCAGGGUAUUUAUUUCGCGGUUUGCUGGGCACUCAAUCCCAUCAGGAGAGGUUCUCCAUCGUCGUCACAUGGCCACGACCGGAGCCUGUAACUUGUGCAGCGUAUAUGAUACAUGGAAUACGAAAGCUAUCCUAGAUCAGUGUCAUGGAGUACAUGUGCGUUGUCUUCCGAAGCAAUCCUAGAUCAGUUCUGUAUACACAAGGAGGAGAACGCGAAGGGCUGGAUCUUCACUGUGCAGGGAGCGCUGUCAUUGGAAGAUUUUCCAACUUUGUAGGGACCAUGUGGGCGAUCUGGGGUGCCCGUUGGAAAGCAAUACAUUGAAGUAUUUUCAAGACCUCACAUGCUAUACAUGAGUUCAUCACCUCGUACAUAACAAAGCUACAAGUGCUCACUCAGAAUAGGGUGUCCCAUGGGAGUGCAAUCCCUCGUCCGACUGGAUGGCUGGCACCUCCUUAACAUCACUCAAAGCUGAACGUGGAUGCAGCAGUUGCCGGAGGGGGUCGAACGGAGAGGUCGAUGCCAUUUGCAGGGAUCAUGCGGGAAGAUUUAUGGGAGCUUCGGCUUUUAUUUUUCACCAAUAUUGAUGACCCAGCUACUUUAGAAGCCCUAGCUAUCAGAGAGGGGCUAGUUCUAGCCGAGGAUCUGAACCAGAACUAUAUUCAUGUGGCAUCGGAUUGCAAGGGAUAGUAAAAGAAGUUCACAACGGAGUGUUGCAUAAGGAGAAAUCAUCUAGGAGAGCAAACUACACUUAUCUACUUUUAUUUCAUGUAAUAUAGUUCACGAAUUUAGGAGCUCAAAUGUCGAGUCUCACGAUUUAGCGAAACAUACUUUGACUCUUGGAGCUGGCCGCCAUGUUUGGUUAGGCCGGCCUGAUGGUAUUCCUUUCCUCCCUGUAAAGAUUGUGGCGGUUGAGUAAACGUUCGCGAGAUUGCAUAAAAAAAGAAGCUACAUAAUUCUGCCAAACUGAAUGUCCUUUCAAUAGGACACUAUUCCUUGGAGAACAUGUUGUUCAUUAAUGAUUGUGUAGGUCCAAUAAAUGUAUGUAUGAAGUCCGAUGUGAAAAAGAAGUUAUAAUAAAGAAAGAUUUGUGCGUACGUGCAUAGGACAGGGGUAGCUACCAUAACACAUGUGCACAUGCAAGAAGAUUGAUGGUCCAUCGUCGCCAGCGAUAGCUAUCGUACGUUCAAUGAUUAUUUGAACACACGGGGUGGAUACAGCGAGCGAGUGGUGAGUCUAUUCUGGUAGCACUACGGAUGACAGUGCACCACGCAACAAAGCCAGGACGUACUUACGUGGCCACAUGGCAUUCAUGUGAACUUGCAUCUACGAAUGCCAACAGAACCCAUUGGAAUUGUCAAGGCUUCACAGAACCAAUGCUUGGUACUACUAACAAAUUAACACGGACGUACCUAUGUUAGAAAUAAUACUUUAGGUUAACAUUAAAUUAGAUCUGGAUCUCUGGAUUUGAACACCAAUACAUGUGCGCAAACGUGUGAACUUACAAGUGCUUGCCAAAGUCCCAUGCUCUUGAUGCAGCCCCUACUCGAUGCAGCCCAUGACAAUAGUUGGCGAAGCUGAACAGCAUCGAGUGAAUAGCCCAUGGCCGAAAGCGUGAAUCAUAGAAAGCAAUUGGUAGAAGGCGUCCAAAACGCUACCGUCAUAGAGAUGGCCGGCAUGGGCAGCGGCCGGUCAGUGUAGAUGGCAGCAGGCAGCCACCGGCACAGCCUUGCGGUGGCAGGGGAUUCUGAUGGUUAAUAUUUGAGAAAGUACAGGCUUUCCUACACCCCCUUAUCUAGCCAUUCAUUCUUACAUCGCGAUUCGUGCGAGCAACUUUUAUCUUUUUUGUUUCUCCUAAAUAGAACAACAUAUGAACCUGAAACUUUGUAGGACGACAAAACAUUCUAACUAGAAUGUGGGAAAAAACUUUCAGAUUUUUUCGUGGAUCAUGUAUAGAAAAAAAUAUUGUUUUUUACUCAAAAAAUCUCAUUUUGUACAUUUAUGUCGGACAAAAAAAUCUGAAAGUUUUUUCUCACAUUGUAGUAAGAAUGUUUUGUUGUCCUGCAAAGUUUGAAGUUCAUAUGUUGUUUUGUUUUGAAGGAACAAAAAAGAGAAAAAUUCGUGUUGUAAGUUAGUUGUGUCGCACGGAUCUCAAAGCAAUAUUGAAGGGUAUGGAUAAGAGGUGUCCAGAAGCCCGUGUUUUAUAAAUCCGCGUUCGGAUUCUGAUGGCCUUCUAAUCCCUUUGUGCUCCCUUAUAGGAUCGGCCUUUAGAAGUUUGUUGGGGUUAUCUCAUGUAUGUGUUUGUCAUUUCCCAAGGGGCACCACCUUUUCUUUUUAUACUUGGUGCUAAGGGACCAAACCAAAAAUUGCCUUUUUGUGUGCCUUGAAUCAUAGCACAAAACCUGGAGAAGAGCUCCCCUUUUCUCUCGGUCCGUUAUGACCUGAGAUCAAAUUCCAACAACCUGGUCACAAACGGUGACAAAGACUGGCAGUGCUACGUGUGAGAACACUCCUUCGAAGUCGCAGUCACGCUGGAGGUUGUUGGUCAGGUGCAAAGGACCCACCCACGUGUGCAUGUACCCUCCCAGAAUCUCUAACCUCCCUUGAAUUCAACUUGUGAGACCAGCAGAGGAGCCACGCAAGUACCCCGAUCUCACACUUGUGGGCUAAGAGCAUCUACAGCCAGGCGUCCCAAACUCGGCUCAUACAUCCGGACAGGCCGCCCGGUCACUGACCGAUCACUAUUUUUGACCCAGACGGGCCCCUCAAACGGGCCUCAAACGCCCGGGCUGGCCGACACCCAUCAUAUCUAGCUCAAAUAUGGGGCGGAUAUGUGGGCGCCCGGGCGUUUCCGCCACGUAGGACUGACGAUGGGGUCCCACGCGGACUCACCCGGAAACUCGGCGGUCCGACAGAGGCCUCCUCCGUCGCUGCAGUGUGAACAACACGUGGCGCCGCUCUAGCUUGCCGCCCGAGGCCAAAUCCGGCUAUUUAAGUCUGCCUGGGGCCCGCAACCCUAGCCCAUCCACAUCGUCCCUCUUUGCGCCGCCACCCGAGCUCGUCCGCCUCCUCACCCCUGCUCUCCCACACUCUCCCGCAUCGCCAUGGUCCGGCGGCUGGUCACCACGUACACUUUGCUCACGCCGGAGUGCCAGAGGUAGAUCGUGGAGGAGAUCCAGACAAGGCGCGCCGUCCGCAUCGCUGUCGGGCUGUCUCCGGACUCGCCAGAGCUGGAGGAGGACGAGGAGCAGCAGUCGGACUGGGACGAGGGAGAGCCGCUGUCGGAGCUGAUGGAGGUAGUGGAUCUUGAGGAGGACGAGGCAAAGCUACCGGAGCAGGGGUUCAACGAGGCGGUUUCUCCGGCAGGAGGAGGCGGUGUCCGACGCGCUCUUCGUCGAACUCGGCGCUGAGAUAGAGGAGGAGGAGGAGGAGGCCGGAGCAGAGGCGUCGGAGCUCGGGAGCUGCCGCUGCCGCCCAUGCUGCCAGAGCCGGGCACGGAGAUUGUCGACAUCUCCGAGGAGGAGUAGUUAGAUCUCUACGUAGUACGCAGGUUUUAUCGUUUGCAUGCUUUUGUAUGGAUUUAAGAAUCUAGUAUGAAAUGUCCGGAUGCAGUAGUAUUAAUUUGAGAAGUGCCCUGUCACUGCCCGCAGAUGCGCCCAGGCCCGUCCACGUGAGGGGUCAUAUUUGUCAUAUGCGGCUGUAGAUGCUCUAAGAAAUGAAUGUACAUAUAUACUAUUCCCUUAGUUCAUAAUAUAAGAGCAUUAGCGUUUUCGACACUACACUAAUAUAAAAACUACUUUUGUAUUAGGAGACGGAGGGAGUAGUUAGGAAAGACUUGUGUUAAGUGCAUAGGACAGGAUAGCGACCGUAGUGUACGUGCGCAUGUAGAUCAACGGAGGAACAAACAACGAAGCUGUGCCCUCCACGUACCACGAUCAAUCAAUCCUGCGGCCCUCGCCCAGUCCGUGAUGCAUGUGUGGCUGCUAUGUAAUCAUGUGUGACGCAUAGGACACAUGCAUGAAGAUGGACGGAGGAACAAACAACGAAGCUGUGCCCUCCACCUACCAUGAUCAAUCAAUCCAGCGGCCCUCUCCCAAUCAUUGUGAUGCAUGUGUAAUCGCGUACUGGAAUCGUAGUAUGAAUUUAUCGUUACGGACGGCAAGAUUCAACAAACAAUCAAUUGGUGUGUGGCCUCAAGAUAUCUAUCGUCGUCCCACAGUGAGCUGCCUACGUACUUGCUCGGAUGUGUAUGUGUAUAAAAAAUAUGUGAGCCGACGGAGUGUGUACACAGCUAGUCAAUGCUGGUCACGCGUUCACGCGUUAGACGCUGUCGGUCAAGUGCAGAGCGCCCAACCACGUGUGUCGCGCCGUCCCAUAGCUAAUCUCUCUCCUCAAUGAAUGAAUAUUAAUAGGUGGGGCCUAGCGUGUCCUUCAGUAUCUCCGACUCACCCUAUUUUUGUUAAAAAGAAAAAAAACUGAUUUUGUACGUUUCUGUCCCAAAUCGAGCACCUUAAGAGUAUUCACUACGUACUACUCCAUAAAUAACUAGACUAAUAUUUGCUAUUAGCUCCCGCGAGGCAAGAUGUUGUUAAUGAUUUUGUCACAGUGUACUGACAAAUAAUUAUGAUUUUUCACAAGGUAGUCGGUAGAAACGUGUACUAAUUUUUAUUUAUGACAAGGUAAUUGGCAGAAACCAUAUGCACAAUAGACAUAAAGCAUCUAUUUUGAAAGAUAGGCUAUUAAUCUGUCAACAAUAUUUUCUGUUUAUCCAUCUAUACUUACAUAUUUAUGUAGUCAAAUGUACCCUUCUUCUACGUUCUUUAAUAAUAUUUUUGAAAGCUCACUUCUUCGCUUGUUACAUAAGAGGAAAGACUGAACCAAGUUUUGUGCAAAGAAACAACCUUGGUAAUAGUUUGCUUUCUAGACGUGUCGCUCGGACUAUAAAUUACUAGAUGAUACCCCGCGCGUUGCUGCGGGGAUCGGUUGUGUAUUUUUUAUCUAACAUCCACAUCAAAAAGAUGAUAGCAAUUGGAAUCAAUUAUAUGACAAAUUUCAUUUCCAGAUAUUUGUAUCGUAAAUGUGUGGUUUAAAUAUAAAUUGUAUAUAAAACAAAGGUAGUUGUAGUAGGAACCAUAUUUUUAGUACUCCUAAGCUGCAAUGUAGUGCAUUAGAAGUUCCAAAGAAGGCAAUCCUGAAGCAUCCUCGACACAUGCCCUACAUCACCAUCAGGACAUGAACAUACCUGUACGCAUGUUGAUUUGAGUAAGUUAACAACAGUGGCCAAAAAUAAUAAGAUGUUAUAAAGCACAAUCUAGAACGUGAGUGAAGAUAGCAAUAUAGCCCAGGAACGGGAACAGUCCCGACACAGUCUGCUUCUGAAUAUAGUGAAAAGACCAUAAAAAUGAAUAACAUCAGGAUCUAAAUCACUCAAUAUAGUACCCCUUGGUAAAAGGAAUAACUCAUAGGAACCCAUUGCAAAAUAAAUGAUAUAAGAGGUUAGCAUUAACGUAGUUAACUGUUGUACAAUAAAUGAAACUUCCUCCGUCCCAUAAUAUAAGCCGUGCAGUGUUAAAAACAUUUUUAUAUUAUGGGACGGAAGGAGUAUAAGAGGUUAGGUGGAUCCAUGAAAGGUGGGGUCGUGGAAAGGUGGUAGCCACUUUGUUGCGGUGGACGUGGAAAGCUGGGAGCUGUGUGACGGAAAUGGCUCUAUAAAUUCGGCAGCCAACGACGCGGGAUGCAGCGGCACAACUGAAAACAAGAGUUCCAAAGUAAAGCAUCUCAACUGCGCCAUGCAUGCAAACAAGACAUCUCCAGCGAAUGAGAAGGACGGACAUGACAUCUCCGUGGACAUGUACCCCUUCAUACGCAAGUACAAGGACGGCAGCAUCGAGCGUUUCCUGCGCAGCCCAUUCGUGCUGGCGUCGCCGGAUCAGGGCGGCAACCGUGGGGUGGCGACGAGGGACGUCGUCGUCGACAUGGCCACCGGCGUGUCUGUGCGCCUGUUCCUCCCGUCCCGUGCCGCCGGGACCGCACGCAGGAAUGGGCUUCCUCUCGUCCUCUACGUCCAUGGCGGCUCGUUCUGCACGGAGAGCGCUCUCGGCCGGACGUACCACCGCUACGCGACCUCCCUCGCCGCCAGCGCCCGGGCCCUCGUCGUGUCGGUGGAGUACCGUCUAGCGCCGGAGUUCCCCAUACCCGCAGCCUACGACGACGCGUGGGCCGCGCUCCAGUGGGCGGCUUCCAUGUCCGACCCUUGGCUGGCCAGCUACGCCGACCCUGCGCGAACAUUCCUGGCCGGCGACAGCGCGGGCGGCAACGUCGUCUACCACACGGCAGUCCGCGCCAGCCACGAAGUCAACGACGACAUGAUGGACAUUGCGGGGCUGAUCAUGGUGCAGCCUUACUUCUGGGGAGCCAAGCGGCUGCCUUCGGAGCUCGCGUGGGACGACAGCGAGGGCGUUGCGGGCCUUGCGGCGGUGUUCCCGCCGUACGGGGUGGACCGUCUGUGGCCGUUCGUGACGGCCGGCCAGUCCGGCAACGACGACCCCCGGAUCGACCCUCCGGCCUCGGAGGUCUCAUCGCUGGCUUGCCGCCGCGUGCUCAUCGCCGUGGCCGGGAAGGACUCUCUGCGGGACCGCGGCCUCGGCCUGGCGGCCCGCAUGCGUGAUCACGACGCGCCGUGGCCUUGGAUGACGCCGGGGCGCCGCGAGGUGACAGUGGUGGAGUCCGAAGGCGAGGACCACGGCUUCCACCUCUACAGUCCGCUGAGGGCCACCAGCAAGAGGCUCAUGGGGAGCAUCGUGGAGUUCAUAAACCAGCAGCCCAGCUCGUCGCCUGCUAAUCCUGUGGUGUUCGGCGUGCCCACGACGCCGUUCAAGGACGUGUUUGGGUAUGGCAUGGCCAUGAAGUCCUGGGGCACACGGUCCCGUAUGGCUACUUCCUUUAAAAUUGGAAGGGUUGGGCCAUCCAACAAAAUCUCAGUUCGACUGCCGAUGCCUGCUGGUAACGCUCAUCACAAACAUCCAUUAUCUGCUGCGGUUCCGUGGGGUUGUGUGAUCAACAACUUUUUCUAGAUGACGGCCGUCCUGAUAACGCGCACAUAAAUUAAUGUCUCAUUCAGACUCUCUUCAGAGGGUCUAUGACAAGGGUAUGCCCUUCUCCACUGCAUACUAGUACACUAAAUAAAACACAAAGAGUCCACUACCUAGUAUUAAUUACUCUAUUAGUCAUGUGAGUCCUUCAGGCCAAGAGCUGGAUUAUUAGUUAAAACGGUCCUAUUGGUACUAUCCAUUAGGAUUUUUGGGAGAUCAAAUUCACAAAUGUAUGCCAAUUACAGGCCAGGGAAUUAUAUAUAAACUUGUCUGCUUUAUCUUAUUAUUCGGUGUCUGCUAAAUUUAUAUUGCAUGUCUUACCUUAAAAAUGUAUAUUGUAUGUCUUUUCAUGUGGUCACUGCGCGCGACCAUGUUUCUCUCGGCCUUCAGCAUGUGGAUCACAUGCAUGAAUUGGUCACAUGUGGAAGGAUAAGCAUAUAAUGGUGGAUUUUUUGCAAAUAAGAAGUUUCCUAAGAAAGAAUGAAUUGGUCACAUUGUUAUUACCCUUAGUGAAGAAAGAAAAUGAAAUGAAAGGGCCGGUCCUGAGAUUUUGGGGGCCCGGGGUGUCGGUGUCAAAACCGGCGGAUCUCGGGUAGGGGGUCCCGAACUGUGCGUCUAAGGCGGAUGGUAACAGGAGGCGGGGGACACAAUGUUUACCCAGGUUCGGGCCCUCUCGAUGGAGGUAAUACCCUACUUCCUGCUUGCUUGAUCUUGAUGAUAUGAGUAUUACAAGAGUUGAUCUACCAUGAGAUCGUAGAGGCUAAACCCUAGAAGCUAGCCUAUGGUAUGAUUGUUGUUGUCCUACGGACUAAACCCUCCGGUUUAUAUAGACACCGGAGGGGGCUAGGGUUACACAGAGUCGGUUACAAGGGAGGAGAUCUACAUAUCCGUAUUGCCAAGCUUGCCUUUCACGCCAAGGAGAGUCCCAUCAGGACACGGGACGAAGUCUUCAAUCUUGUAUCUUCAUAGUCCAACAGUCCGGCUGUCCGAGGACCCCCUAAUCCAGGACUCCCUCAGUAGCCCCUGAACCAGGCUUCAAUGACGAUGAGUCUGGCGCGCAGAUUGUCUUCGGUAUUGGAAGGCGGGUUCCUCCUCCGAAUACUCCAUGGAAGAUUUCGAACACAAGGAUAGUGUCCGGCUCUGCAAAACAAACUCCACAUACACCGUAGAGAGAAUAAUAUUUCCACAAAUCUAAACUGCUGACACAUUCUGCAGCAUGACAUCACACUACGGCCCGGUCAUUAUUCGAACCGUUUUUCUCAACCAGCAACUGCACAUAUUGCGAGGCGGUUUUCUUGGCCCGUCUUGUCAAAGCAGAGAUCGUGUCCCCUUAUCACGGGAUUCUCAUCAAUACGGGUGUGGGUAACCCAACCGCACCAUCAAUUACGGCGCUUGGGGAAUAAGCAGUUUUACCAGGAAAGUGGGGAGGCGCAGAAUCCCUGCUGCCUUUAUAAGGGGAUAAGGACUCCCUUUCGCACCCACGCUUUCUCCUUCCCGAUCCAUUCCCCUCCGCUCAAGCUCCAGCGCCCAAGCGUUCAUCUUUUCUGCCCACAAAGGCCUUCCAAAAAUGUCCGGAUCCGGAGCAGGAGGCAAAUGGAUGGCCUCUACCGUCCGGGAGAAGGAUAUCAAAAAGCUUCGGGAGGCCGGGUAUCUGGCCAAGAAAAUCAGCCAUCGUCUCCCGACGGCGGGACAGAUCGUCCCUACCCUGGAACCCCACGAGAGGGUUGUAUUCCUCCCUCACUUAGUCCGCGGGCUAGGGUUUCCCCUCCACCCGUUCGUUCCCGGCAUCAUGUAUUAUUAUGGGAUCGAUCUUCACAAUCUGUCCCCUAAUUCCUUCCUCAACAUCUCGACAUUCAUUGUCGUGUGCGAGGCUUUUCUCCGCAUCUCGCCACAUUUUGGCUUAUGGCUGAAGAUUUUUAAUGUGAAGCCCAAGGUAGUGGGUGGCGAGCACGCCGAGUGUGGGGGCGCUAUGGUGAGCAAGAUGCCCAACGUUACAUGGCCAACAGGCACCUUUAACGAUUCUGUCAAGGAGUGGCAACAGCAGUGGUUUUACAUCACCGAGCCGCGCGGCAUGGAAUGGGCCGCUACUCCCGAGUUUGGAUCCAGUGCCCCCCUGCGGCUUACAUCCUGGGUCAAGAAGGGCCUGAACUGGUCCUCGUCCGACGAAUUGUCGGUGCUCCAGACGCGUAUUAAAGAUAUGGGAGACAAGAACAUUGAACUUGUCAAUGUGGUCCAGGUGAUGUUACUUCGCCGGAUCUUGCCUUGUCAACACCAGACUUGCAAUCUAUGGGAAUUCGAUCCGGCCAAGCACCAAACCUUGCGAGAGCUUUUUGGAUCCUCGCACAAGGACAUCUGGAAGGUGCUCUUCAAGUCCAGCAAAUCGUGGCCGGACUCCGGCGAAGACCGCGGGUACCAACUGUCCCGCCCUGCAAGUUCGGUAAGUAAUCGUACUUUUUAUCCGCAUAACCCAAGGGAAGCGCUUAAUGUGUUUUCUACAACUCUCCUACGACUGGACGAAGAAGGCGGAGCGGAUCCAUUGUCCGGCCCCACUGCCCGAAGAACCGGCCGUCCCACUUCUGACGAAGAUGCUGGUCCCGACGCCUUACAAGGUGUCGAAGAAGACGGCCGAGAAGGGGGCCAAGAAGACCCGGGCCGGCCUUCGUCACCGCGGCACUUCGGAUACAAUAUCCGAAGGCUCUGAUGCCCGUUCCGCCUCCGAAGAGGACGACGAGGAGGAAGAAGAUGAAUCCCCUGCGGGGGAAAGAAAGAAGAGGACGGCCACCGCACACUUGGAGGCCGAGUCGCCCAAAAGGGGAAAAGCUCCUCUUCCGGAGGAGUCCAUUGCCGCCGCCGACAGCGGCCCGGCGUGGGAUCCCAAGGCCCAGCCCCUGGUGAACCCGUGAGUAUAUACAGUCCUAACACAUUUAUGCGUCCAGACUCAUCAUGGCGUAAUAUUUUAACCUGAGCCAUAUGUUUUGUAGUCCGGCGAGGUCCCGUAGCGAACAAUCCUCAUCAGAGGAUUCGCUGAGCUCAGAUGCUAUGGAAAGCGGGACGCCCCCGAAGGCCCCUUCCUUCGAACAGGUGACUACCACCGAGGCUUCGUCCCAGAGGGACCCCGGCCAAGGAGGAGAGGAAAAGACCGUGAAGGCGGCGCCUGAAGGUCAAACUUCAGGGGCCGAACACAUGGGGGAGCAAAUUCCCACGGGAGCUGACGGCGGGGGCCAUCUUGAAUUUGGCUCCCAGCCGGAUGCAGUUCCGAAGACCAAUACGGCUCCAGAAUCAAGCAGGCAGCCUCUUUCAACUGGAGGGGGUAUACCGGCAACCUUUGUCCAACCAGAGGCAUCGGAUGCUUUGUUGGUGGCGCUGAAGAGCGCCUCCAUUGUCGAUGAACACCGUGCCCUUAUGGGUGCUGUGAUUGAGAAGAUCCAGUCUGCUGAGAGUGGACUGAAUGGAGCCUGUAUCAGCCUUAUAAAAGGUUUUGAGGUAUGUUUUUCGAAGAGUGUCAUAGUAUGGAUAGUAGCCCCUGAUACACUAUUCGGUGAAAGAAGAAACCGGACAGAGGAUCAAAUUUAUGUUCACAGGAAGACUCAUUGAAUGACAUCUAUUUCUCUUCUGUUAUAAGCAGGCGUCUGUAGCGGCUGUUGCCUCCCAUACUGCGGAAAUCCUCGGACUGAAUCAAAGUUUGGAGCGGGCCAAAGAAGAACUUGGCCAGUUGAAAAUGAAGUUGGGAGAUAAACAGGGUAUGCACAAGUCUUGUUCGCGUUUAGUCCGAUCAAUUUUCCAGUAUUAUAGAAUAUGUUCCCUGAUUUUCUCUAGGGAUGAUGACCGAAGUCGAGGCUCUUAAGAAGGCUGUGGCCAAGGCCGAGGAAAAGGCAGCCGCAGAGCAGGCCCUCCGUGAGAAGUGCUAGGCCAGGGUUAUUAAAGCUGAGCAGGAGUUGCAACAGGCCGUGAAGAAAUGCGAGACCUUGGAGCAGAGUUUAACGGAGAAAGAAUCCAAACUCACCAGGGCGCAUCAGGCCGCGAGCGAUGCCCGGGGGGAAACCCAAAGCGCCCUGCGGGGAUCCAAGAGGCGAGGAAGAUCGCGGCGGGUAAGGCUUUUUCCUUGUAAAGCAAGUUUUUGAGGAGAAGAUUAUGUUUCUGAUUUUGAACUCGGAUUUCUCCAGGGGUAUUUGCGGAGCUGCCCCGCAGCAUAGCGGAUGCUGCCCAAUUCUACCGGACCAAAGAAAGGAACACUGCGUAUAAGCUCUUCUGGUCGCAGUAUUUGGCACCGAAUUAUCUGGUGCCUUUUAUCGAUCAACUGAAACAGUUGAUCGAACUGCAUAAGGUGGUGGAACUAGCCAUGAAGAAUUUGAUUAUCCGGCUAAGGCCCGCCGAGCUGAUUCCAAGCAGCUACUUCGGGCUCGUGAAGCAGCUUGUAAGCGCUUGCUCCCGACUUGAUGUCAUCAAGCGGUCGGUCUGCAUAGAGGGUGCACGAAUGGCCUUCGCCCACGCAAAGGUGCACUGGGGGAAAAUGGAUGCUGAGAAGCUGAUGACCGAGGGGCCGCCAGAGGGGAAGGAGCACCGCAAGCCCGAAUUAUAUUAUGAAAAUGUCCUUAAAGGAUCCUACCUUGCAGCGGAGCUAUGCACCAAGGACAUUAUAUUUCCAUGAAUGCGAAGCAUGUCGUCCUUUGUAAAUGUCUGAACAGGGUCAUUUAUACUAUUUAUUUCCUGUUAUAUAAAAGUUUACCCUCCUGUGCGUUCGUUUUAUAUGUUGAACCUGAGAGUUGGCCAGUCGUCGGCUUCUGCCCCCACGUAAGAAGUACGAGGUGUUCGGGAUAUACCUGAGCACUCUUUAUCCCAGUUUUUGGGUCCUUCAAAGGAGGUGCUCAGCACAACGAACCAGGCAAUCGGACUAUAGGGCUUUAUCACUCUCACUUAGCCAUAGGAGCUUUAGUAAGGUAGGCGCAGCCCCUGGUGUUUGGAAUACCGUACUAGGGGCUCUAUAAGCACCUGAUCGGAGAAAAAACGAUCCAUCGCACGCUGCAUUGGUUAUGGCAUUAUGCGGGAGAAAUCCUUAAAGAUUUUAUGACCUCUCGAACAGCUGACCAGCUCUCGCCGUAUCAUGACAGUCAGUUUUCGGCUUUCUCUACUGAGGUGCUCGUCCGGAAGAACCGGGACACAAUCGCAGUAGUUCUCCCAGUGCUACCUUAGCCGAUAUAGCGGAACGUAAGGUACCAAAACAUGGGAGCCGGGCAAACCCAACUAUUGACCCAAGACAUGAUUCGGAGCUAAUGCAUAUAAUGCUAUAAGUUCGGGGUGCCGAACUUCCACGAAGGUGUUCGGACAUUAUUGCCGUAUUGUGGGUAAAACGAAGCCCCUGGCACGUUUAAAGGCAUAUCGCGGCGUACGGAUGCCACUCGACAAAAGAGUUUUAAUAAGAAUUGACAGCAGAGAAGCGUUAUACAAAUCCACAUAUUUUAUUUGAAUAGUACGUCGAUGCGUAUAAGACAGGUAAUAAUGGAAAAGAAAUAUGACUGUGGCACCUGCUGAGACAAGGGGGGACGAAGCUGCAUGCGGAUCCGGAGUAUUGCCCGUCCUGGUCGACGCAAAGGUGAGCCUGUAAAUGAAAUGUAAGAAAUGUUUGUGUGCCAGAGAGCAGUUGAGCCGCUGUAUGCGGCCUAUCUUGGCCUUCGCCGGAGUGUUUAAUUGAGCUCUGGAGGAGCCGGGCUAUGCUGCCGCGAAGUAGUUCGAAGUCCUUUGGCGGUAUCGGGAGCCUGGCCGUCGACUCGAGGUUCAGCUGCAAGGUGCUGCUCAUUGCUUUUGCUGUUAAGGCAGCGGUGUACUUGUUGCUGCCGGAGGAAAGGUCGGCCUUGCCCUUAACCAUGAUGACGCCGCGUGGACCGGGCAUCUUGAGCUUACGGUAGGCGUAAUGUGGCACCGCGUUAAAUCGAGCGAACGUGGUUCGUCCGAGCAGUGCCUGAUAAUCACUGCGGAAGGGGACGAUUUCGAAGGUUAACUCUUUGGUGCGGUAAUUGUCUGGUGAUCCGAAGACUACCUCGAGGGCAAUGGAGCCUGUACAACUGGCUUCCACACCUGGUAUAAUGCCUUUGAAAGUGGCUGUAGUGGGUUUGAUCAUCGAAUGAUCGAUGCCCAUCUUGCGCAGUGUGUCCUGAUAAAGUAGGUUUAGACUGCUGCCUCCGUCCAAAAGGACUCGUGUGAAGCAGAACCCGUUAAUUAUUGGGUCAAGGACUAGUGCGGCUGGAUUGCCCUGAUUGGCGUUGACCGGACGAUCUGUGUGGUUGAAAGUGACCGGCCCUAGUGUAUAUUGUGGGACGGCUGUUUCCGUUAAGUCGGCAUUCCUAGGGGUGCGUGUCGGGUCCGGUUUGGGAAUUUGGGUGGUGUUUACCACGUUCACCGUUUGGAUUUGCGGGGGAAAUUUCUUUUGCCCUCCUGUGUUCGGUGAUCUGGGCUCUUCGUCGCCAUCAUCGCUUUGAGACCCCCCUUUAUUGUUUUUCGCGCCUGCCCUGCCGGCUUGUUUGAAGACCCAGCAUUCUCUAUUAGUAUGGGUGGCUGGCGUCCCUGGGGUGCCAUGAAUUUGGCAUUGACGAUCGAGUAUGCGGUCCAAACUGGACGGACCCAAAUUGUUAUUUUUGAGGGGCCCUUUCCGCUGACCGGACUUUGAGCCACUAAACCUGGCAUUAACUGCCGUAUCUUCGGCAUUUUAACCAUGUUUGCGGCGCUUGUUUUUGUUGCGUCGUGGUUUGCCGUUGCUAUCCCUGGCCUCUGAUGAGCCAGGUUUGCUUGCUGUGUUGUUACUACGAGCCAACCAGCAAUCUUCGUCCGCACAAAAGCGGGUCAUAAGUGUUGUGAGGGCUGCCAUGGUUUUUUCGCUUCUCUUGACCGAGGUGCCGGGCGAGCCACUCGUCACGGAUGUUAUGCUUAAAUGCCGCUAAGGCCUCUGCAUCCGGACACUCAACAAUUUGGUUCUUCUUAGUUAGGAACCGGGUCCAGAAUUUCCUAGCCGAUUCCCCUGGCUGCUGAGUUAUAUGACUUAAAUCGUCAGCAUCUGGCGGUCGCACAUAAGUGCCCUGGAAAUUGUCCAGGAAUGCAUCUGCCAGGCUCUCCCAACUUCCGAUGGAGUUUGCCGGCAAGCUAUUCAGCCAAUGCCGAGCCGGCCCUUUGAGUUUUAGCGGGAGGUACUUGAUGGCGUGUAGGUCGUUCCCGCGGGCCAUGUGAAUGUGGAGGAAGAAACCCUCUAUCCAUACCGCGGGGUCUGUAGUACCAUCAUAUGAUUCAAUGUUCAUGGGUUUAAACCCUUCUGGGAAUUCAUGAUCCAUUACUUCAUUAGUGAAGCAUAGGGGGUGUGCGGCGCCUCUGUGCCGGGCUAUGUCACGACACAGUUCAUGCGAGUCUUGUCUGCUGUAUUCGGCCCGGCCGGACUUGCUUUUAGUGUAUCCGGCGUGACGAUCACCGUCACGCGUUGGGGCGCGACCCCGUGAUCCGUAGAUCGAUCUUGUAUGUCCUGCUUUGUUUCCCAAUACGUCUCGCAGUUCCCACGUGUUGCCCCGGGCCUUGGUGUUUUUGUUUGUCUGGCGACGGGGUGCGGGCUGGACUUCGGGCUGAUAUGCCCCUCUGUCUCGGCCACGAGGAGGCCGAUCAGACGCAUCAUACUCGGGUUUUAAUGCUUCCUCCUCGAGUUGGGGUAGCAACCUGCGCUUUGGGUAACUCUUUGUUGGGCGUUCGAGUUCGUAUUCCUCGGCCGCCAGGACUUCAGUCCAUCUAUCCGCUAACAGAUCUUGAUCAGCUUGAAGCUGUUGUUGCUUUUUCUUCAGGCUGUUUGCUGUUGCUAUAAGCCGGCGCUUGAAGCGCUCUUGCUCGACGGGAUCCUCAGGCACGAUAAAUUCGUCGUCACCGAGGCUCACCUCGUCUUCGGAGAGAGGCAUGUAAUUGUCAUCCUCUGAUUCUCCGUCAGCUGCCUGUUCCGGAGGACUAGCUUGUUCAUCCUCCCGCUCGAGGUCUGGCUGGAGGGGAUUAUCGUCGUCUUCGGCACUAUCCGGAGCGUUAUUGUCUCUUGUGACGGUAUCGUUGUUUUUGCUAUGGCGGGACUUAGAGCGGCGCCGCUGACGUCGGUGCUUGGAUUGCUUCUUGGAGGGGUUAUCCUCCGCUGUCUUAUCGCCAUCGCCUUCUUUGGGGGUGUCUACCAUGUAUAUGUCAUAUGAUGAGGUGGCAGUCCAGCGCCCUGUGGGCGGUGGUUCUUGUUCGUCUCCUGCAUCGUCGUCCAUACUGUGGAUGUCUUCGGAGCCGAAGUCGAGCAUGUCGGUUAAAUCGUCGACAGUGGCUACUAAGUGGGUGGUGGGUGGGGAGCGAAUUUCUUCGUCGUUCGCAUCCGAUUCUAGCCGGACAUAGUUCGGCCAAGGGUCUCCUGGCAGGGAGAGAGACCUCAAUGAGUUUAGCACGUCGCCGAAGGGCGAGUGCUGAAAGAUAUCCGCGGAGGUAAACUCCAUGAUCGGUGCCCAAUCGGAUUCGAUAGGCACAGACGCAGGCGGCUCAGGGCCCAUGGCCGGGGACGAAUCCAACGGUUCGGCAACACGGGUCUCGUAGGAGGUGAAGUCAGUAUUCGGUUCUGUCGCCACUGAUUGCGCGGCCUCCGAGGCGGGGUCCAUCCACCCGUCCUCAGAUGGCGCAAUUUGUUCCGGAUUGAGGGCCGGAGUAGUUGCAGGUGUGAUCUCCCGAACACUGUCCGACGACAGAGCUAAAUCAUGCUCGUCGUGACUGUGCGGCGCACCUCACAUGGGCCCGAAUCCGUCAAAGAUCAAGUCUCCGCGGAUGUUGGCAGUAUAGUUCAAGUUUCCAAACCUGACCUGAUGGCCAGGGGCGUAGCUCUCGAUCUGCUCCAGAUGGCCAAGCGAGUUGGCCCGCAGUACGAAGCCGCCGAAUACGAAGAUCUGUCCGGGGAGGAAAACCUCACCCUGGAUCGCAUCGUCGCCGAUGAUCGAAGGAGCCAUCAAGCCUUACGGUGAUGGCACAGUGGAACUCUCAAUGAAAGCACCAAUGUCGGUGUCAAAACCGGCGGAUCUCGGGUAGGGGGUCCCGAACUGUGCGUCUAAGGCGGAUGGUAACAGGAGGUGGGGGACACAUCGUUUACCCAGGUUCGGGCCCUCUCAAUGGAGGUAAUACCCUACUUACUGCUUGAUUGAUCUUGAUGAUAUGAGUAUUACAAGAGUUGAUCUACCACGAGAUCGUAGAGGCUAAACCCUAGAAGCUAGCCUAUGGUAUGAUUGUUGUUGUCCUACGGACUAAACCCUCUGGUUUAUAUAGACACCGGAGGGGGCUAGGGUUACACAGAGUCGGUUAGAAGGGAGGAGAUCUACAUAUCCGUAUUGCCAAGCUUGCCUUCCACGCGAAGGAGAGUCCCAUCCGGACACGGGACGAAGUCUUCAAUCUUGUAUCUUCAUAGUCCAACCGUCCGGCUAAAGUAUAUAGUCCAGCUGUCCGAGGACCCCCUAAUCCAGGACUCCCUCAUGGGGCGAAACUAAAACUCGGGGCCCUUAAUAUAGACAUCGUAAUAAUAACAAUGAAAUAUGUAUAUAUGGUAUAUUAUCAGUAACAAUUAAAUAAAUUCAAAAUUAGUAUGCGAAUCAAAUAAUUUAUACAUAUUACAUUAAAACUUUCUUCUACAUUCCUUGAUGCAAAGUCACUUAUGAUAGGGUCAAAGCCAAUCUCAUCCAAUAUUUUUUUCUCGAUGCAAAAUGCAGCAAAGGCAUUUAACCUCUCCCGAGUCAUUGUUGACCUCAAAUAAUUCUUCAAUAAUUUCAACUUCGAAAAGCUUCUUUUGGCCGAAGCGACUGUGAUAGGCAAAGUAAAUACGAUGAGAUAAGCAAUGGAGAUAUUAGAAUAGCAAUCAACUUUUCUGACAUGCUUGAAAAUCUCCAUAGCAGACACUACAAUAGAAGAUCUUACAAGAGAAGCAAAAAACUUUGUCGAGAUCUUUUGAAUAAACUAGCCACUUUCUAUCAUGUUUCUCUCUAUUGCUUAAUUUCCUAUGAUAAUGAGCAUAUGAAAAAUGUCUUCCUGCUUCAUCUACAUGGUAUUCCAUUUUUUCCUCUCUCACAGCCCUUUCUCAACUAGAAUGUCUCUUGAUUUAGUAUCAAGAUUAUCCAAUUGCUUGGAUCAUAAAUAUUACACGAGUAUGAACUGUUGUUCAUUAAGACUAGCAGACUAUGCAUGUGCAUCCGAUGAAUUACGUACAUUCUCAAAGCCACGCUUACACUGUUACCACCGAUGUUUGUGUCGACAUUUUCUACUCCCUGGCCAUAUUCUGAAUUCCCAAUAGGUUACUGCUCUUCCUCUAUGGCAACCAUCGCCAACUCAUCAUCGUGCUUUAUUGAAGCAGUGGAAGCACCAAUUUUAGUCCUGAGAAAUUUUUGCAUAUCUCCAUGUUGUGAUUGUACCAAUCUAUCCACGGCCUUCUUUAUUUUCCUUUUAUCGCUACCUGAUGCAUAUGUCUUGUUUCCUUUACAACAUGAUAACACACAAUGCUGGAAAAGAAUGUUGCCUCAAUUAGUGAACUGUACCGGCUUAUGCAUCAAGGAACAGCAAUAUGAUAUACUACCUGAUGGUCGAGUCGGUGACGAGCGUUAGUGCAUGUGCCAAGUGCCAACAUAGAAUUGCAGAUGGGGGUCCGUGGAAUUGAAAUCAGCGGCAGACUAGAUUAGACGUGUUCCUAACUACCUAUACAGAACUACAGAUGGGGGCCCUAGGAACUGAAAUCAGCAGCUAAUUAGGAAGGAAAUUACGAGGAUGCAGGAGGGAGGAGGCGGCAAUACGAACGUCGGGCGGCGGCGGCUUAGGGCUCGAAUAGCUGCGCCUGCAUGAUUGCCUUGAUGGAAUUGGAAAGGUUCGCGUAGAUCGCUCCUUUUUCACGUGAAGGACUCGCUCCCGGCUGAAUCGAUCGCUGGGGGUGGGCGAUCGGCCUGCUGCUUGCUGCGCUCGUACGUGAAAGCCCAGCACCCAGCCAUUUUUUUCCUGACAUAGGCCCAUAACCUACUUAGGCUUAGUCAGGGGCCCCUGGAUUUUGGGGACCCGGGGNNNNNNNNNNNNNNNNNNNNNNNNNNNNNNNNNNNNNNNNNNNNNNNNNNNNNNNNNNNNNNNNNNNNNNNNNNNNNNNNNNNNNNNNNNNNNNNNNNNNNNNNNNNNNNNNNNNNNNNNNNNNNNNNNNNNNNNNNNNNNNNNNNNNNNNNNNNNNNNNNNNNNNNNNNNNNNNNNNNNNNNNNNNNNNNNNNNNNNNNNNNNNNNNNNNNNNNNNNNNAAUGAAAACCAAAGGAAAAUAAAAAAUUGAUUUAAAAAAAAAACAAAUGAAUUAGUGACAUCGCUAUUUCCCUUUAAGAAGAAGAAGAAAAUACAAAAUUUUAAAAAUACUAGCACACAACUUUAAGAACUGGAAAAUGAAGUUUUCAAAGGAAUAAGGAAUUUGUGGCCUUGAUAUUACUAGUUUGAUUAUUUUUUUAAUUUUCAAGGAUGGAUGAAUUAGCGUCAUUGGUAUUGCCUUUCAAGAAGAAGAAAAUUAAUUUAAGUAUGCCGAAUAAUUACAAAAUUUUCACACAUUUUACACAAAAAUUGCCUUUCUUAAUAUGAAUGAAAUAAGCAUGUAAUGUGAAACUUUUGAAAAAAAAGUUUCCUAACAAGUAAUGUAUUACUCCCUCCGUCCCAUAAUAUAAGAACGUUUUUGACACUAAUGUAGUGUCAAAAACACUCUUAUAUUAUGGGACGGAGGGAGUACCAUUUAAGAUAAACAAAAGCAUCACAUAACUUUGCACUUCAAUUGCACUGCAAUGAAUAAUUAUAUAUAAUAGUGCAACUUUCACAUAUAUUUUAUAGUAUUUAUGUGUAUCCAUUUACACUCAGCCAACAUCCCAAAAAUAUCCACAACAAUAAAAAUAGUAAAAUCAACUAAUAAAAAAAGGAAAAUCAAAAGAAAAACGCAUAGAAACAGAAAACAGAAUACAUAAAGGGAGAGAAAGAAAGGCUGAGGAGUCAGAUGGGCUAGAUAGAGGCAGCCCAUGAACGAAUUGCAAGGGUCAGAAAAUUAUGGGACGGUCAGAAACAUGACAAACCACACAAUAGAAAAAAAAGAGAGCAUGAAUCUUAUGACAAUCAACGGUCAGAAAAUCAACUGACCCAAAUUCAAUUUUCAGGCGACUUAAAUCUAUAUAUGUACCUACUAAUAAAGGGGUUAACAUUUCUUACCUUCGUAAUUUCGUCCGUUAUUGGUCCGUCGUCGUCCGGUGUCUAUGUUUCGUACGUAGUCGUCCGAUUUCCUAUCCGGUGUGCGACUUUGGACAUCACAUGGGCCAGGAUUUAAAUUUCUAUUAUGGGCCGCUAAAAAAUAGCUUGAUGUGCUAAAAUUUUGGACUCCUUUUGAAAUUAAUAGCCCCACCCUGCUCUUUUAGAUCAAAUCCUAGCAACUUAUAUAUGUUCCCGAAUUGCAAGAAUCAAACAAGCCAAGGCCAGAAAGCGAGACCUACCGUAUAUAUCAAUCACCAACAAAGAAAAACAUCUCUGAGGAAGGCUCACAGAUCCAUAUAAGACCGAUCAAAGAGGAGAAAGGCACAUGAAAUUGAGUGGGAGGAGAGACGGAGCCGAUCUGAGCCAAUUUGAAGGAAAUAGAGAUGGCAACCUGCAACCUACUAGAAAGUGGUUCCAACUAGGAGGAGAGACAGAGUGGUCGUCGGCCAUUGGUGCUGGAGCUGGUGCGGCGGUGGACUCGAGCGGGAGGAGAGACAGAGUGGUCGUCGGCCAUUGGUGCUGGAGCUGGUGCGGCGGUGGACUCGAGCGGGAGGAGAGACAGAGUGGUCGUCGACCAUUGGUGCUGGAGCUGGUGCGGCGGUGGGCUCGAGCGGGAGGAGAGACAGAGCCGAUCUAAAGAAGCGGAAAAAGGGUACGAGGGUNNNNNNNNNNNNNNNNNNNNNNNNNNNNNNNNNNNNNNNNNNNNNNNNNNNNNNNNNNNNNNNNNNNNNNNNNNNNNNNAAUCACCAACAAAGAAAAACAUCUCUGAGGAAGGCUCACAGAUCCAUAUAAGACCGAUCAAAGAGGAGAAAGGCACAUGAAAUUGAGUGGGAGGAGAGACGGAGCCGAUCUGAGCCAAUUUGAAGGAAAUAGAGAUGGCAACCUGCAACCUACUAGAAAGUGGUUCCAACUAGGAGGAGAGACAGAGUGGUCGUCGGCCAUUGGUGCUGGAGCUGGUGCGGCGGUGGACUCGAGCGGGAGGAGAGACAGAGUGGUCGUCGACCAUUGGUGCUGGAGCUGGUGCGGCGGUGGGCUCGAGCGGGAGGAGAGACAGAGCCGAUCUAAAGAAGCGGAAAAAGGGUACGAGGGUGGCCGUCAGUUGCUGGAGCGACAACGACCUCGAGCGGGCCGGGCCAGCUCCACUACAGAAGAGCCGACCAUGGCCGGGUGGAGGGGAGUACCUUCCCUGUGGCGCACGGGUGUGUAACCCGCGCCAUGGCCGGAUGAGGGGGGAUCCGGCGACAUGCGGGGGUGGGGAGUGCGCGAGACGCGCGGAGGGAAGGAUCUCGACGCUGGUCGAGCUGGGGGCGGGAUCCCGGAGAAACUGAGGAGAUAAAGCUGCAACAAUGCAAUCCAUAUUAAUUAAUCUGCUGAUGUGGCAUGCUUUUUCACUAGCCAUCAAUGGAUUGAUCUACAAUGUUGUAACAUUUCUAUGCUUCCUAAAUUUUAUCCUGGAAAAAUGUGACACUAGCUACACAUGCACCGUCAUUAAUUAACUCACUCAUGCUUAUUUGAAACUAUGUUUAGGGAUACCACGUCACAAUAGUACUAUUUAAAUAAAAGAAUAUAGUGAACAAAAAUAACCUUCUUUAGUAAACUAGCUUACUUUCUUAAACAAAGAUAAUUACAGAAGUUGUUAUAUCCUACCACGAUGAUUUAAAGACAUUAAUAAUUUUAUGUACGAUAGCAUUAACUUUACUUAGUGAUAAUCAUCUAAAAGGAGCUAGACAGAAUACUUCAAAUUUUGAGUCCAUAGAUUGUGUAUGUGAGUUCUUUAUGACUAAUACAUUAUCAAUAAUGUUGAGUUCAUGGAUUAUACACACUCUCACCCUUCCACCAUUGCUAGCCUCUCUAGUACCUUGCAAUUUUCGCCGGUACCAUACACGCACCAUACACCUUCUUCAAAACAGCAACCAUACCUACCUAUUAUGACAUUUCCAUAGAUAUUCCGAGAUAUAUUGCCACGCAACUUUCCACCGUUCCGUUUAUUAUGACACACUUCUGAAGGAAAUAUGCCCUAGAGGCAAUAAUAAAGUUGUUAUUUAUAUUUCCUUAUAUCAUGAUAAAUGUUUAUUAUUCAUGCUAAAAUUGUAUUAACUGGCAACUUAGAAAAUGUGUGAAUACAUAGACAAACAGAGUGUCUCUAGUAUGCCUCUACUUGACUAGCUCGUUAAUCAAAGUGAAGGAAAUAUAACCUAGAGGCAAUAAUAAAGUUAUUAUUUAUUUCCUUAUAUCAUGAUAAAUGUUUAUUAUUCAUGCUAGAAUUGUAUUAACCGGAAUCUUAGUACUUGUAGCGACCCGACCCGGUAAGAGUCGAAGUCUCUGUGCUUACCGUGCUAGUCCCUGGAUCGACUUGCUGGCACACACAGUACUCGAUGAGAUAACAGAAAUAACACACAUCUCUUUAUUACAUUGAUAGUCCAGGAGCAAUACAUUUAUUACAAAAUAGGGCAUAGAUCCAAUAAAAAAAUACUGCGGAAGCAAAGUAGUAAAUGAGUCCAACUCCAUGAGCAAGGUUGAGUCUAGAACAUCGACCUAUCGCACCUUAAUCCUCGUCGGAUAUAUCUGCAACGUGAUAAGUUGCAGCCAUAUAGGUCAGUACAUUGAAUGUACUGGCAAGUCACAUCAUAAGUGUAAUGAACCUACUUGUACAUGCAAUUUGGCUGGUGGAAAGCUCUAAGUAUAGUUUUUGCAUAAAGCUAGUUUUUCCCUAUUAGAAAAGAUGUUAUUCUACUACUACACAUUUGCAUAGGAUGAGCUGGCAAACCCAACUCCAUCCAUUCCCAAGUUUCGUUUAAAACCCAACUGUUUAAUGAAAGGUGAGGAGAUCUCCCAGCAUUUCCACUACUAGAUGCUCAACUUGUCCGUAACCGGGGACACGGCUAAUCGAUUAGGUUGACACUCUGCAGAGGUUGCGCACUUUUCCCCACAAGACUCGACCACCUCCAUGAUUGGAAGAUCGAGACACGGCCGGUACACCUACAUCAUUCUACAUCUGCUAGCCCAUCCAGGAAGGGGUCAUACUAACUACUCAACUAAGCCAGAGCCCAUAUUGGCUUGUGCCUGCACACAUAAGCUUCUAGACAUGAGAAUACGAUUGAUCUCUUUGAGCCUGAGCGGACGGUCCACUAGUGGUGCACCACCAUGGAUUACCCAUGCGUGCCCCACUGUACUUCGCCACCAUUCCAACAAGUUUCCGCCCAGGUAGUUCAUUAAUUAUCUUAGGUCCUAUUUACUACAUUGUCACUCAUACUUUACAAUGAUCACUCCCCAAUCCAUGUCUACUUAGCGAAGCAACAUAAUGUAAAACGAUGGCGACAAUGUUAUAAGGUUCAGACCUACCUCAAUGAACUACUGGGUGAAAAGCACAGUCAUACGGCAUCAAUUCCUACCAUGCAGUCCUACCGCAAAGAACUAAGUGCAUAAUAAAAACAUAGGUAAUGAAACAUGAUCAAGAUGCAACUUGCCUUGGUACUGCUAGUUGAAUUCUAAAGACUGAUAAUAUUCUGCUUCGCACUCCGGGCAAUCUAUCGCAAAGAAGAUAAACAAACAUAAGCAAACAUUUCAGAGAACCAAGAAGAACAUGCAAAGAAAAAAGUCUCGGAAAAACCAAAUGAACAAACAACACACUUAACUAGCACAAAAAUAUUCUAAGUGCAAAACCACAUGGGCCUAUGGUUCAAGAAGUGAUGUGAACUAUAGUGCAUACUAUGCAUACUAGUAAAAAUAUUAAUGGACAGAUUCUAGUGUGUGAAAAUUAUUGUGACAAAGGUCCAGGUGAUAGGGUUUGGCUACGGUGACAAAUUGCGAAAAGAAUCAACUUAAUCGGAGCUUCGGUUUGGGAGAUAUGGUCAUUUGAGCUUCGAAUUCGAAUCUGAAUAAAUUCAAAUUUGAAUCGGACAGAAGUUUACAAAAAGAAUACCACUAGAUAGAUCUAAACAUGACGAAGAAUUUGCUGCAGGUUUCAUCGAGUUUGGAUCUACGGUUAAAAAGUUGCGGCUACUCGAAGUUCAUGGACUAAUCUGCUAAUUAUAGGGACUAAACAGAGAAGAAAACUAUCGCAACCAAGUCCCUGACCACGUGGCGGCUCCUGGCUGGCCGAGCAGCGUCCGCUGCGGAGGCUAUACGGCGAACGGCCGCUAAAUAGAAAAAAAACGGCGACGGCUAACUAAAGAAAAACCGACGCUCGGUUUAAAUAAAACCGCAUGGUCUAAGGGAACCGCGGUUAACCGCGUACCUCUUCGCAAAAUAAAAAAACGAACCUAAUCUAAUCUGGGCCAUCGGUGAUCGAUCUAACGGGUGGGAGUGGGGCGGCGGCUUACAGCGGCUGGCGACGUCGGCGGUGAGCAGAGGACGGCGGCGCGGCGUCGGGCGUUGGCGGGGCAGCGGCUACGGCGGUCCUCGGCGUCGGGGAAGGAGACGAGGAGGUGCGGCGCGGCGUGGGCAUCCGGAUGGUGGUGUCAGGGCUCCUCAGGGGCGUCGGGGAUCGGCGAGACGAAGGCGGCGACGCUCCGUGGGCUCCGGCGAGGUCGGGCGUCGUCUGCGGCGGGACCUUGGCGAGGAAAAGGUGUCAAAAAUACGAGCAAGUUCACGGUGGCACGAUUGACGAAGGAACGAGGGCUCGGGGUGGUUUACUGGCAGUGGAAUGCUCCGGCGAGGUCCGUUCGGCCGGCGAGAUCCAUGCGGCGACUGCAGGCGGUAGGAGCGGCGUGGGAAGAAGCGGGACGGCGAGGAUGGAAGAGGGGGUUCGGGGGCAUUUAUAGGCGCGGUCAGGAGGCGCAGCUGCCGUGGAUAAGCAUUAUCCGAGCGCGAGGCGGCGGGCGGUUGCGGGCGGCGAGGCGCGGAUGUUUAUCCCGCGGGCUGCAGGAGGUUGGGGACGAGCUGACGAGCGGGGCCCGUCUGGCAGUGGCAGCGGCGGUAGUGAGCGAGAGGGGGCUCGGGCAGUCGACCGUGCGGAAGGCGUCGGGCGCUGGGGUGCUGGGGCACUGGCCUUGGGCCAAAUGGCCAGCUGGGCCGGUUGGGGCGCUCCUGCCGAACCCAGUUUCGGUCCAGGCUGCGGUGAGUGCGUGCGUGCGUUUUUUUAAACCGAAGACUAAAGUGGCCCUAAACAAUUCAAAUGAAUUAAUAAAAACACCACAAUAAUUUCUAAAAUAACUAUACAAUAUUUAGAACCUAAUGAACAUUAACUUAAGCACAUAACAUUUUGAAAAUAAUGCAAUUAAUGCACUUUUUGCAAAUAAAAUAAAUACCAACAAACUCCAAAACUUCAAAUAAUAUUCAACAUAAAAUUCCCACUCUUUUAUAUUUUGAGGAAGUCAUCUUAUCCCCUCUCAUUUGUUUUUCUCGAGUGGAAAAAUAUUAUUUAAAUAUUUCAAAACUCCAAAAUGCAAAGAAAUAUGAUAUGCAUUGAAUGAUUCUAUUAACAUCCAAAUUUAAUAAAAAUUGGGAUGUUACAAACCUACCCCCCUUAAGAUGAAUCUCGUCCUCGAGAUUUGUGUUGGCCAGCAAAAAGGUGUGGACGGUCUUGUCUAAGAUCUUCCUCUCGUUCCCAAGUGGCUUCCUCGUCAGUGUGGUGACUCCACUGAACCUUGCAGAACUUCAUCAUCUUGGUACGAGUGAUUCUCUCUACAGUCUCAAGAAUCUUAACUGGCUUCUCCUCAUAAGUCAGAUCGCUCUCCAACUGAAUUGCCUCCAGUGGCACUGUAUCUCUCAAAGGGAUCUCUGCCAUCUCUGCAUGACACUUCUUCAACUGGGAAACAUGAAACACAUCAUGAACUCCUCACAAAGCCUCUGGUAAUUCCAACUGGCAUGCAACCUCUCCUCUGCGUUCCAGAACUCUGUAUGGCCCCACAAAUCGUGGUGCUAACUUUCCCUUGACUCCAAAUCUCUUAAUACCUUGAAGUGGAGAAACUCGAAGAUAUGAUCUAUCUCCCACUUCAUAGGUCACUUCCUUGCGUUUAGCAUCAGCAUAACUCUUCUGCCUUGACUGAGCUAUCUUAAAUCUGUCACGAAUCAACUUGACCUUCUCCUCAGAAUCCCUGAUCAAAUCAGGUCCAAACAAUUUGCGAUCUCCAACUCCAUUCCACAUCAAAGGUGUCCUGCAUUUCCUGCCAUACAAUGCCUCGAAAGGGGCCAUCUGCAAACUGGCUUGAUAGCUGUUGUUGUACGAAAACUCUGCAUAGGGUAAGUUAUCAUCCCAACUAGACCCAUAGUCUAGCGCACAAGCUCUCAACAUGUCCUCCAGAAUCUUAUUGACUCUCUCUAUCUGCCCAUCAGUUUGCGGAUGGAAGGCUGUACUGAACUCUAGCCUAGUACCCAAAGUUUCGUAUAACUGUUUCCAAAACUUUGAGGUAAACUGUGUUCCUCUAUCUGAUACGAUGCUCCUCGGAACUCCAUGCAGACAUACGAUCCUGGUCAUAUAUAUCUUUGCCAGCUUAGCACUUGUAUAGGUGGUCUUCACUGGAAUGAAGUGAGCAACCCUAGUCAAACGAUCAACUAUCACCCAAAUGGAAUCAUAACCUGAACGAGUCCUGGGUAACCCCGUGAUAAAGUCCAUACCAAGUUUAUCCCAUUUCCAAUCAGGUAUAUGCAACGGCUGAAGUAAACCUGCUGGUUUCUGAUGCUCCGCCUUUACUCUCUGACAUACAUCAAAUAUUGCCACAUACUCGGCAAUUUCUCGCUUCAUACCGGCCCACCAAAAACUUUCCUUCAAGUCCAAGUACAUCUUGGUGUUGCCUGGGUGUAUCGAGUAUGGUGAGUCAUGAGCCUCCUGAAGAAUCAACUUCCUGAUCUCUGGAUCAUUGGGUACACAAAUCCGUUGCUCAAACCAUAUGGUUCCAUGUUCAUCCUCACAGAAUCCUUCUGCUUUCCCUUUGCUCAUCAUCUCCUUUAUCUCAGCAAUACCUUGGUCCAACUUCUGGGCAUCUCUGAUUCUUCCCAACAAGGUGGACUGCACCUCGAGUGCGGCAACAUAACCUCUUGGAACUAUUUCCAACUGAAGGUCUCUAAGCUCAUCACAUAACUCCUGAGGUAAACCUCCUGUUGUAAGUGUAUUAACAUAACUCUUACGGCUCAAAGCAUCCGCCACAACAUUGACUUUUCCUGGAUGAUAAUGCUAACUCAUGUCAUAAUCCUUUAUAAGUUCCAACCAUCUCCUUUGCCUGAGAUUCAACUCCUUCUGCGUGAAGAUAUACUUCAAACUCUUGUGAUCCGUGUAAACAUCACAAAGAUUCCCAAUAAGAUAGUGUCUCCAUGUCUUGAGUGCAUGCACUACGGGUGCCAACUCCAAAUCAUGUGUGGCAUAGUUCAACUCAUGAGGUCGAAGCUGUUGUGAAGCAUAAGCUACAACCUUUCCCUCUUGCAUAAGAACACCUCCAAGUCCCUGACAUGAAGCAUCACAAUACACCUGAAAGUCCUUGUGUACAUCAGGCAGGAUUAGCACUGGGGCUGUAACCAAACACUUCUUCAACUCUUGAAAGCUGGCUUCACACUCUUGAGUCCAAACGAACUUGGUGUCCUUCUUCAACAACGCUGUCAUGGGCCUUGCAAUCUGGAGAAAUUUUCAAUAAAUCUCCGGUAAUAUCCUGCAAGUCCAAGGAAACUGCGAAUCUCGCCAACUGUGGUGGGUGCAUUCCAUUCUGUGACUGACUCUACCUUGGUAGGGUCCACUGCAAUCCCUUCACCUGACACAACAUGUCCAAGGAAUCCGACUUCCUUGAUCUAAAACUCACACUUGCUGAACUUGGCAUAAAGUUGAUGUUCUCUGAGCUUCUCCAAAACCAAGCGCAGAUGUUCAGCGUGUUCCUCCCCAUUCUUGGAGAAAACCAAUAUGUCAUCAAUGAAUACCACAACGAACUUAUCCAAGAACUCCAUGAACACCUUGUUCAUCAUGCUCAUAAAAUAGGCAGGGGCAUUAGUCAAACCAAAGGACAUGACUGUAUACUCAUAAAGCCCAUACAUUGUGGUAAAAGCUGUCUUGGGUAUAUCCUUCUCACGGAUCUUCAAUUGGUGAUAACCCGAUCAAAGAUCGAUCUUGGAGAAAACACUAGCUCCUUCUAGCUGGUCAAACAAGUCAUCGAUCAUCGGCAGGGGAUACUUGUUCUUAAUGGUCACCUCGUUCAAAGAGCGGUAAUCCACACACAUCCUCAAGGUUCCAUCCUUCUUCUCCACUAAGAGUACUGGGGCUCCCCAAGGUGAUGAACUCGGGCGAAUAUACCCUUUCCCUAGCAACUCCUUAAUCUUUUUCUUAACUUCCUCCAAAUCAUUAGCGGGCAUCCGAUACGAGCUCUUGGAGAUAGGUCCUGUACCCACUACUAGGAAAAGGGCUAUAGAUGGAAUGGCCACUAAUGGCGCACCAGACAUGUGGUGCGCCACUACUAUAUAGCAGUGGCGCACCACGGGCUGGUGCGCCAUUAGUGUGAAAGACACUAAUGGCGCACCAGACACACGGUGCGCCAUUAGUAACAAUUUUUUUUAUUUUUCCAAACAUACUAAUGGCGCACCAGGGCACAGUGCGCCAUUACUAGUUCUAACUAGUAAUGGCGCACCAGCCUCAUAGUGCGCCACUACUAUAUAUUUUUUUUUUGCAAAACUACUAAUGGCGCACCAGGGAACAGUGUGCCAUUACUAGUUUAAUCUAGUAAUNNNNNNNNNNNNNNNNNNNNNNNNNNNNNNNNNNNNNNNNNNNNNNNNNNNNNNNNNNNNNNNNNNNNNNNNNNNNNNNNNNNNNNNNNNNNNNNNNNNNNNNNNNNNNNNNNNNNNNNNNNNNNNNNNNNNNNNNNNNNNNNNNNNNNNNNNNNNNNNNNNNNNNNNNNNNNNNNNNNNNNNNNNNNNNNNNNNNNNNNNNNNNNNNNNNNNNNNNNNNNNNNNNNNNNNNNNNNNNNNNNNNNNNNNNNNNNNNNNNNNNNNNNNNNNNNNNNNNNNNNNNNNNNNNNNNNNNNNNNNNNNNNNNNNNNNNNNNNNNNNNNNNNNNNNNNNNNNNNNNNNNNNNNNNNNNNNNNNNNNNNNNNNNNNNNNNNNNNNNNNNNNNNNNNNNNNNNNNNNNNNNNNNNNNNNNNNNNNNNNNNNNNNNNNNNNNNNNNNNNNNNNNNNNNNNNNNNNNNNNNNNNNNNNGCCGCCGCCCCCGCGCCGACCCGCGAAGCACGUGGCUGCCGGCCUCCCCACGACCAACCGAGGCGCCCAGGAGGACCGCCGCCGUCUUCCUCUUCGACUACGAGGACCCGGACGAGCUCGGACGCCCUCGAGCCAUCCCUUUGACGCCGCCGCCGACCCCGACCCCAACCCCGACCCCGACCCCUCCGGCGACCGGCCGCGCCCGCCCAGGUACCACUCCUUCUUCCUCCUUCCUCCCUCCCAAGGUUAAGUCAGUUUCCCCUCUCUACAACUUUGUCUGCCUCCAGAAAAUUGAAAACCGAACACAAAAUUCAGUGAUAGUUUCAGACCAUCCGGAGUCACAAAUCAUAAAAUAGACUUUGUUGGAAUUCGUUGAUUGCAUGAGAACUGAAUUUAUGUUAAUUAGUCAGAAGUCAUAGCAUUACGCAAAGAAACUUUGCCGAAAUUGGAGCAGCUCUCUUAUGAAGUUCUGAUGAAGAGCAGCCCUCUCCUCCUUCCUCCUUCCUCCUUCUUGUCCAGUGCCCGCCGCCCCGACAGCAUCUCCAGCAGCACCACCCCGUAGUUGUACAUUUUUUGCGGUAUUAAGGCAUUUUAGAGUUAGUUUUAUUCAUGAUGCAGUACUUUAUUUUAAUAUUUGAAAGGGCCUCUCACAAGACAUGUAUUGUCAAGCACAUCGAUGAACUAAUCUUUUUAUUUAUUAUAAUCUUACAACCAAACAUAAGCAGGACGGUGUUGGGUUCAAUUUUCACUGGUAUUUAUUUUGGGGCAUCAAUGCAUUUUAGAGAUAGUCUUGAUGGAUGCAGUGCUUCAAUUUAAUAAUCAGUAAGGACCUCAUAGUAGUACAUGCAUUGUCAAGCACAUUGAAGGAACAAUCUUUUUUGUGCAGUACAAUAUCCCAACUAAACACAAGCAGGACAGUGCUGUGGGAAUACCAGUUCCAUUGAGGAUUCCUGACAUCAGAUUAGUUUAGCAGCCCCAUUUUGAUACCAUUACUUUUGUUGGGGGGCAAAUCUCCAGUGUGCUUUUUUCUUUUCCAAAGGAAAAGAAAACGUGGUGUAUAACAAAUGUAUUAUUUGGUGGAAAGUGAGAUAUCAUAUUAAUCAUUGACAAAUUGGCUUUGAACAAAUAAUCUUAAAUCCAUGCAUACCUACACAAUUCAUCUAUUUGCUCAAAUUUCUCCAAAUUUGCAUUUUAUUGUCUGUUUAUGAUUUGGAAAUAUUCUAAUUCAAGUUUUGUUGCGUAUAACAAAACACAGUCACCUCCAAAGAAAAGCAUCAAAGACGGUACCUACAAAAGGAUUAUCUGUAACGAGGUCGAUAAGCUGGUAACUAAGUUCUGUUCUGUAAAAUCUCUCGACUUUUUUUAGUGUUAUAAGGGUCCAUAAGCAGUGUUGUAAUCAGGUCCAGACAUAAGCUCCUGUAGUAAGUAGCUUUUGGUUUUAUCUUUGUAAGAUAACUGGUUCUUGUAGUUUGCUGUUGGUUUCUCUUAAUGGAAAUCAGAGGGGUAAACCCUUCCUUGAUAAAAAUUAAAGUGUCUAGUUUGUCAAUUGCAGAACUGAACUUCUCUUUGAGAAUGUGUACCCUGUGCUCUUGACAUUUGCACUUAAAGUUCUGAGAAAAUCCACAUGGUCUUUCAUUUCUGUUGCAUUGUUUUAUCUAUAUGGUCUUUCAUUUCAGAGUUACACUUAUAUCAUAUUAAUCAUUGACAAAUCCACAUGCUUAAUCAAUCGAGUAGUAAGUUGUUUAGGCUUGGCCAUUUCCACUCAUUGUAGAUAGAUAGAGUUACACUUUUGUUACAUUGUGUUAUCUUUCUGUAGAGUAGUAAUGCUCCACUUCCAUUGGUACUACUUGCGAUGCUGACAGCAAGUCUGUAAUACUGAAAUUUUGUCAACUUGUGAUGCUGCUGCCGUACCCCAAGAGGCCCUUGAGUUUGCUGGAAUGUCGAUUAACUUACGUUCCGGCAAAUUCGGGUACUCCAUAUGUCCUAUUUUCAGCAAAGGUCAUGCUGAAAUUUUCCAUGAAUUUUAGCAUGACUUUGCUAAAAAUAGGACAUAUGGGGUACUUGUGACUAAUGCAUGGGCCGGGGUCUUAGUACUUAAUUAAGUAGGAACCACUCAUCCUAACCAUUUGCUCUCAAAAUUACCACUUCACUUCUUACUACUGAAAAUCUUAGACCAUCUCCAUUCACCAAUUGCUCAAACCAGUUCGAAGGGCGUGUUUUCACUACACUGUGGAUUAUCUUAUUGGACCCAACAGAGAGAAUGUAGUUUUGAAUUAUGAACAUAGGAAAUGUCAUCAUCGGACGACGAAAGUCUCCCGGGGGAGUGCGACUGGUGCCACGACGGUCGAGGUCUGUGCGACAGGCCUCACCUGGACGAUGAUCGGCGCUUCAGCAUUAAGCUCGAGGAGACCUUCGAAGUUGAAACGGUACGCAACGAUGACAGGUGUUUUUUUUCAUAAUUAAGCAUGACUUCAACUAUUUCAACGUGUAAUUUCAUCUUUUACAAUUCGAGUAUAGUUUAUCCCAUGCCAUGCAAGACGCUAUGUCUUGGAGAGGAUGGAUUUUGAAGAUCAUGAAAAUUUUGAAACGAAGAAAAUUCACCUAAGGACACAUCAUGAUGUGGAUUUUGAAGUAAAUCUGUAUAAUGCUGAGAGCGUAACCCAUUUUGGUUGCAAAAAUUGGGAAGCAUUUUGCAAAAUGUAUGGUUUUGAUGAGGGUAUGCUUGUCACCAUGGAUCUUGGUGAUCCUGACAUCGACCAAGACAAUAUGGACAUUUGGGUCCUUGUUGAUACGCCUCCAGUUCUACCGCUAUGUGAGUUUCUCAAACAUAGUUAAUUAUUAACUAAUUUAUAUUGUUUAUUUCAAAAUAGUUGACAACUUAUUUCCAUUGACAGCUUAUUUUGAUUGUUCAAAAAAUGUGCGGAACAUGGUAGACAAAACCCAAUACACCGAUGGCUUCGAGUUAACUUAUCAGGAGAAAAAUCAUCUGGUCGGAUUUUGUAAUGAUCUUGAGAAUUAUAAUAUCUACAAUCAAACUCCUCAACAUUAUGGUCAAUACGUGCCACUAGUGCACGUGUUGAACUACGGUAACUACCAUGGAGAUACCCUGGUAAGAUUUUUUACUAUUACGACAUCCGUGCAUCUUUUGCAUACUUCUAAAACUAGUACAUCAUUGCUAACUAUGAAGUUAUUACUAUGUUUUUCAACAGAGAAUCCCUGAGGAUUGUGUGCCUCAUUUGAUGUAUCAGAAUGGUAGCGUUCGUGUUUUCAACUUAUAUCCAGGUCAUCCUACGAAUCUCAACUGUCCAUACCGGAUUUCUAGAAGAAGUGGAGACAUGCUAAUCAGAGAAUGGAAAAAAUGUAUGGACAGUCGUAAGGAGGUUCUUGGAAGAAAAAGGAAGCGCCGCGCAAGAAUUGGAGACAGGAUGAUCUCCAUUCUCCAUAAUGGAGUGUCAGGGUCUAUAUUGUUUUAUGCUAUUUUACCUUAAAUAGGGUAUUUAGGUCCUGCCUAAUACUGAUGAUCAUGUGCUAAGAACAAUUAAGUAGGGUUGGUUCGAUGACUAUCAGGAUGAUGAUUGUAUGACUUGUUAUUAAUAAUGAGUAGAAGUUGUAUGAUGAUGAUUAGUAGGACUUGUUAGGAUUAGUAUUACUUUCGACAAACUCGCUACUCGCGGUCUCGAGACCUGUAAUGUUCUAUCUUUGUUCGGCCUUUUUAAUUCGGAGACUAAUAUGAUGAAUUGUAUUCGAAGACUAAUCUUCUAUUGUAUUCGAUGAAUCUGCUGUUGCUGUGUGGUGCUGUUUAUAUUCUGUCCAAUAAUAUAUUUUGUAAUCUGUGCAAAUAUCAGAAAAGAAAAAAAUCCUUAAUAUACAUACUAAUGGCGCAUCACCCCAACGUGUGCCAUUAGUAUGCCAAAGGAUACUAAUGGCGCAUCACCCCGCAGUGCGCCAUUAGUAUGGCAAAGCACAUGGGUAAAUAUGGCCCCCUGGGAGGCAUACUAAUGGCGCACCGUGGCCUAUACUAAUGGCGCACUGCCUGGUGCGCCAGCACCAGUGGUGCGCCAUUAGUAAAAAAUACUAGUGGCGUGGUACUAGUGGCGCACCAGUAGUGCGCCAUUAGUAGGCAAAACUGGUGCGCCACUAGUAGGCCUUUUCCUAGUAUUGACCUGGCAGCAACUCAAUCAAAAACUCAAUCUCCCGAUCUGGCGGCAUACCCGGUAACUCCUCCGGAAAUACAUCGGGAUAAUUCUUCACCACUGUUACUUCUUCCUGGACAACUCCUGUACGAGAGUUCACCUGAGUCCUCUUAGGCUUAAGCCUAGAUACAUACUUGAUCCUCUUCUUCUCUAGGGUGGUGAGAAAAAUCGAUCAACUAGCACAAUCAAUGUUUCCCUCAUACUUGGACAUCCAAUCCAUCCCUAGGAUUACAUCCAACCCUUGUGACUCUAGUAUGAUCAUAUCCGUGGGAGAAACAUGCCCCCCUGUGUUCAAAGGCAACCGGAAACAUCCCUGACUAGCCAUAGACUCGGCUCCUGGGGAACUCACUAGAAUGGGUGACUUAAGAGCUAUGGUAGGCAACUUAUGUUUAUCCACAAAUCCCCUUGAUAUGAAUGAAUGCGAUGCACCACUGUCAAAAAGAAUGAGUGCUAGAAAUGAAUUAACCAAGAACUUACCAAUCACCGCGUCAGGCUGCUCAUAGACCUCUUCCACAUUGACAUGAUUCACAUGCCCCUUAGUGAAAGGAUUAGGCUUCUUGCCUCCAGAAUUCCCAUUUCCAUUCCCAUUUCCAUUAUGCACCUCAGGACACUCGUUGGAGUAGUGACCUGUCUUCUUGCACUUGAAGCAGGUGAUGUGACUCAGAUCUUUCUUCAUUGGUGUAGAAGAGUUGACAUGCUGCUGAUUGCCAUUCCCUCCAUUGCCAUUGACAUUUCCAUUGCAAUGCUUGUGACCAUGGUGGUUGUGUCUAUUUCGUCCAUGCUGAAUGUGGUCUCCAUGGUUAUGAUGAUUCCCUCCAAACUUGCUAGUGCCUGGUCCAGUAUUUCCUGAGUACGGGCUAUAGCGGGGUUUCUGUUGAACUCCAGAUUUAUACUUCCCGUAACCGUACUUACUCUUACGUUUCUCCAUCUGCUGGUGCUUGCCUUCGAGAAUGGUAGCCUUAUCAACCAGCUCCUGAUAGUUCGCAAAGGUCGCCACAGUCAACUGAACUCCCAACUCAUUGUUCAGUCCCUCCAGAAACUUCUCCUGCUUGGCUGCAUCAGUGGCCACGUCCUCUCGGGCAUAACGGGCCAACUUACUGAACUCAUCAACAUACUGAGAUACCGUGCAUCCUCCCUGGCGCAAGCUGCGGAACUCCUUCUUCUUUAGACUCAUGGCUCCAGCUGAGAUAUGAGUAGUGCGGAACGCCUGCUAGAACUGAGUCCAAGUCACACUCUCUAAGGGGUAUGUGGUGGUGUAGUUCUCCCACCAAGCAGUUGCCGGUCCAUCCAGCUGGUGGGUGGCAAACUUCACCUUCUCAGCAUCAUUGCAUCCUGUCGUGGCCAGCUCCCUUCCUAUCUUGCGAAGCCAGUCAUCUGCAACGAUCGGCUCCGUGUUGCUGGAGAACACGGGUGGGUUCAGCCUCAGAAAACGGGUAAGACUCUCAACUGGGGGUGGCGGCGGUGGGUUGUGGUUGUUGUUGUUGUUGUUGUUGUUGUUGUUGUUGUUGUUGUUGUUGUUGUUGUUGUUGUUGUUGUUGUUGUUGCUGUUGUUGCUGCUGUUGUUGCUGCANNNNNNNNNNNNNNNNNNNNNNNNNNNNNNNNNNNNNNNNNNNNNNNNNNNNNNNNNNNNNNNNNNNNNNNNNNNNNNNNNNNNNNNNNNNNNNNNNNNNNNNNNNNNNNNNNNNNNNNNNNNNNNNNNNNNNNNNNNNNNNNNNNNNNNNNNNNNNNNNNNNNNNNNNNNNNNNNNNNNNNNNNNNNNNNNNNNNNNNNNNNNNNNNNNNNNNNNNNNNNNNNNNNNNNNNNNNNNNNNNNNNNNNNNNNNNNNNNNNNNNNNNNNNNNNNNNUGUUGCUGUUGCUGUUGUUGUUGGUGUUGUUGUUGUUGUUGUUGUUGUUGUUGUUGUUGUUGUUGUUGUUGUUGUUGUUGUUGUUGUUGUUGUUGUUCUGGUUCUGGUUCUAAAUGAGCAUCUGCAUAAGAGCAUUCUGCUGCUGGAUCAAUUGCGUGAGCUCCGGUGGAAAGUUGAAUCCGGGGUCACGUCUUGGAGGCAUCUGAUGGGUUUGAGUGGAUGAGAAGUUAGAAUAGAAUAAGGCCUAGUGAGUAAAAUCACACUACCCAUAUGCACAUGAUAGCAAUAAAACUUCAAAUCACUCCAAUUCAAUUCCAAUCAAAGAGGUUCACAAGAACAAUCAAACCUAAGGUAAGCCAUGUCACAAUAUUUUACAAGGUCUCACAAAUGAAUAAAACUAAUCGGAUAACGAAAUCGAAUUCCUAAACUCUCAUGGUGGUAUAAAAUCUAACUCUCAUCGGAUGAGGACCAGUCAACCAUGUUGACAUCGGGGGUCGUUGCAUCACUUUCCGUGUCAUCAUCUCCAAGCUCAUCAUCCUGGUCCUUGUCCUGGCUGACGUAACCUCCAUAAGAGUGAUCCUCCUGGAUGUUUUCUCCCUCAUCCAGCUUCUCCUCGGCCUCCUCAAGCUGAAGCUUCACGUUGUCGAUCUUCUCCUGCAGUGCGUCCAGCUCUCCCUCAUGCUCGAUGCGAGCGUCCUGGAGUUCCUCCUCGAGCUCGGCCUUGCGGGUCAUGAGGUUCUUGAUGACGAUCAUGUUGUCAGACAACUCCAGCUCCGUCAGACGAAUGUGAUCCUCCAUGUCCUGGAUAUGGGAUGCUAUCGUCUCGUCCUCAAGGGUACGCACCACAUCUCCAUUUGCGUCGCGGCGUCCGUACAUCAUGAAGGAGGUCUUCUUGAGGACCUUGUCAUACUCCCCCCGAAUGCGUCCGAGAGCAAUGUGAGUAGCGAUGCCCCUGCCCAAGCCCCAUGUUGCAAUAUACAGAUGUAACUCAAUGGGCUUGGUGCGGUUUCCGAGGAUGCGUCCGGGGAUAUGGGCAUCGAUCCUCCAACAUGUCUCCUCGGGCAGGGUGGCUUCGAAGGUUCCAGUGAAUGUGGGAAGCCCGAUCUUCAGGUGCUUCUUGAUCUAACAAGUAAUGUAUUACCAUUUAAGAUAAACAAAAGCAUCACAUAACUUUGCACUUCAAUUGCACUGCAAUGAAUAGUUAUAUAUAAUAGUGCAACUUUCACAUAUAUUUUAUAGUAUUUAUGUGUAUCCAUUUACACUCAGCCAACAUCCCAAAAAUAUCCAAAACAAUAAAAAUAGUAAAAUCAACUAAUAAAAAAAGGAAAAUCAAAAGAAAAACGCAUAGAAACAGAAAACAGAAUACAUAAAGGGAGAGAAAGAAAGGCUGAGGAGUCAGAUGGGCUAGAUAGAGGCAGCCCAUGAACGAAUUGCAAGGGUCCAUAAAAAAAAUUCAGCCCAAAACAUGACAAACCACACAACAGAAAAAAAGAGAGCAUGAAUCUUACGACAAUCAACGGUCAGAAAAUCGACUGACCCAAAUUCAAUUUUCAGGCGACUUAAAUCUAUAUCUGUACCUACUAAUAAAGGGGUAAACAUUUAUUACCUUCAUAAUUUCGUCCGUUAUUGGUCUGUCGUCGUCCGGUGUCUAUGUUUCGUACGUAGUCGUCCGAUUUCCUAUCUGGUGUCCGACUUUGGACAUCACAUGGGCCAGGAUUUAAAUUUCUAUUAUGGGCCGCUAAAAAUAGCUUGAUGUGCUAAAAUUUUGGACUCCUUUUGAAAUUAAUAGCCCCACCCUGCUCUUUUAGAUCAAAUCCUAGCAACUUAUAUAUGUUCCCGAAUUGCAAGAAUCAAACAAGCCAAGGCCAGAAAGCGAGACCUACCGUAUAUAUAAAUCACCAACAAAGAAAAACAUCUCUGAGGAAGGCUCACAGAUCCAUAUAAGACCGAUCAAAGAGGAGAAAGGCACAUGAAAUUGAGUGGGAGGAGAGACGGAGCCGAUCUGAGCCAAUUUGAAGGAAAUAGAGAUGGCAACCUGCAACCUACUAGAAAGUGGUUCCAACUAGGAGGAGAGACAGAGUGGUCGUCGGCCAUUGGUGCUGGAGCUGGUGCGGCGGUGGACUCGAGCGGGAGGAGAGACAGAGUGGUCGUCGGCCAUUGGUGCUGGAGCUGGUUCGGCGGUGGACUCGAGCGGGAGGAGAGACAGAGCUGAUCUAAAGAAGCGGAAAAAGGGUACGAGGGUGGCCUUCUGUUGCUGGAGCGACAACGACCUCGAGCGGGCCGGGCCAGCUCCACUACAGAAGAGCCGACCAUGGCCGGGUGGAGGGGGGUACCUUCCCUCUGGCGCACGGGUGUGUAACCCGUGCCAUGGCCGGUAGAGGGGGGAUCCGGCGACAUGCGGGGGUGGGGAGUGCGCGAGACGCGCGGAGGGAAGGCUCUCGACGCUGGUCGAGCUGGGGGCGGGAUCCCGGAGAAACUGAGGAGAUAAAGCUGCAACAAUGCAAUCCAUAUUAAUUAAUCUGCUGAUGUGGCAUGCUUUGUCACUAGCCAUCAAUGGACUGAUCUACAAUGUUGUAACAUUUCUAUGCUUCCUAAAUUUUAUCCUGGAAAAAUGUGACACUAGCUACACAUGCACCGUCAUUAAUUAACUCACUCAUGCUUAUUUGAAACUAUGUUUAGGGAUACCACAUCACAAUAAUACUAUUUAAAUAAAAGAAUAUAGUGAACAAAAAUAACCUUCUUUAUUAACCUAGCUUACUUUCUUAAACAAAGAUAAUUACAGAAGUUGUUAUAUCCUACCACGAUGAUUUAAAGACAUUAAUAAUUUUAUGUACGAUAGCAUUAACUUUACUUAGUGAUAAUCAUCUAAAAGGAGCUAGACAGAAUACUUCAAAUUUUGAGUCCAUAGAUUAUGUAUGUGAGUUCUUUAUGACUAAUAGAUUAUCAAUAAUGUUGAGUUCAUGGAUUAUACACACUCUCACCCUUCCACCAUUGCUAGCCUCUCUAGUACCAUGCAAUUUUCGCCGGUACCAUACACGCACCAUACACCUUCCUCAAAACAGCAACCAUACCUACCUAUUAUGGCAUUUCCAUAGCCAUUCCGAGAUAUAUUGCCACGCAACUUUCCACCGUUCCGUUUGUUAUGACACGCUUCUGAAGGAAAUAUGCCCUAGAGGCAAUAAUAAAGUUGUUAUUUAUAUUUCCUUAUAUCAUGAUAAAUGUUUAUUAUUCAUGCUAAAAUUGUAUUAACUGGCAACUUAGAACAUGUGUGAAUACAUAGACAAACAGAGUGUCCCUAGUAUGCCUCUACUUGACUAGCUCGUUAAUCAAAGUGAAGGAAAUAUACCCUAGAGGCAAUAAUAAAGUUAUUAUUUAUUUCCUUAUAUCAUGGUAAAUGUUUAUUAUUCAUGCUAGAAUGGAUUAACCGGAAACUUAGUACUUGUAGCGACCCGACCCGGUAAGAGUCGAAGUCUCUGUGCUUACCGUGCUAGUCCCUGGAUCGACUUGCUAGCACACACAGUACUCGAUGAGAUAACAGAAAUAACACACAUCUCUUUAUUACAUCGAUAGUUCAGGAGCAAUACAAUUAUUACAAAAUAGGGCAUAGAGCCAAUAAACAAAUACUGCGGAAGCAAAGUAGUAAAUGAGUCCAACUCCACGAGCAAGGUUGAGUGUAGAACAUCGACCUAUCGCACCUUAAUCCUCGACGGAUAUAUCUGCAACGUGAUAAGUUGCAGCCAUAUUGGUCAGUACAUUGAAUGUAUUGGCAAGUCACAUCAUAAGUGUAAUGAACCUACUUGUACAUGCAAUUUGGCUGUUAGAAAGCUCUAAGUUUAGUUUUUGCAUAAAGCUAGUUUUUCCCUAUUAGAAAAGAUGUUAUUCUACUACUACACAUUUGCAUAGCAUGAGUUGGCAAACCCAACUCCAUCCAUUCCCAAGUUUCGUUUAAAACCCAACUGUUUAAUUAAAGGUGAGGAGAUCUCCCGGCAUUUCCACUACUAGAUGCUCAACUUGUCCGUAACCGGGGACACGGCUAAUCGAUUAGGUUGACACUCUGCGGAGGUUGCGCACUUUUCCCCACAAGACUCGAUCACCUCCAUGAUCGGAAGAUCGAGACAUAGUCUUUCGAAAAUGUUCCCCCUUAACCCACGGAUAGGCCGGUACACCUACAUCAUUCUACAUCUGCUAGCCCAUCCCGGAAGGAGCCACACUAACUACUCAACUAAGCCAGAGCCCAUAUUGGCUUGUGGCUGCACACGUAAGCUUCUAGACAUGAGAAUACGAUUGAUCUCUUUGAGCCUGAGCGGACGGUCCACUAGUGGUGCACCACCAUGGAUUACCCAUGCGUGCCCCACUGUACUUCGCCACCAUUCCAACAAGUUUCCGCCCAGGUAGUUCAUUAAUUAUCUUAGGUCCUAUUUACAACAUUGUCACUCAUACUUUACAAUGAUCACUCCCCAAUCCACGUCUACUUAGCGAAGCAACAUAAUGUAAAACGAUGGCGACAAUGUUAUAAGGUUCAGACCUACCUCAAUGAACUACUGGUUGAAAAGCAUAGUCAUAUGACAUUAAUUCCUACCAUGCAGUCCUACCGCAAAGAACUAAGUGCAUAAUAAAAACAUAGGUAAUGAAACAUGAUCAAGAUGCAACUUGCCUUGGUACUGCUGGUUGAAUUCUAAAGACUGAUAAUAUUCUACUUCGCACUCCGGGCAAUCUAUCGCAAAGAAGAUAAACAAACAUAAGCAAACAUUUCAGAGAACCAAGACGAACAUGCAAAGCAAAAAGUCUCGAAAAACCAAAUAAACAAACAACACACUUAACUAGCACAAAAAAAAUUCUAAGUGCAAAACCACAUGGGCCUAUGGUUCAAGAAGUGAUGUGAACUAUAGUGCAUACUAUGCAUACUAGUAAAAAUAUUAAUGGACAGAUUCUAGUGUGUGAAAAUUAUUGUGACAAAGGUCCAGGUGAUAGGGUUUGGCUACGGUGACAAAGUGCAAGAAGAAUCAACUUAAUCGGAGCUUCGGUUUGGGAGGUAUGGUCAUUUGAACUUCGAAUUCGAAUCUGAAUAAAUUCAAAUUUGAAUCAGACAAAAGUGUACAGAAAGGAUACCACUGGAUAGAUCUAAACAUGACGAAGAAUUUGCCGCUGGUUUCAUCGAGUUUGGAUCUACGGUUAAAAAGUUGUGGCUACUCGAAGUUCAGGGACUAAUCAGCUAAUUACAGGCACUAAACAAAGAUGAAAACUAUCGCAAGCAAGUCCCUUGCAACAUGGCGGCUCCUGGCUGGCCGAGCAGCGUCCGCUGCGGAGGCUAUACGGCGAACGGCCGCUAAGUAAGAAAAAAACAAUGGCGGCGGCUAACUAAAGAAAAACCGACGCUCGGUUUAAAUAAAACCGCACGGUCUAAGGGAACCGCGGUUAACCGCGUACCUCUUUGCAAAAAAAAGAACCUAAUCCAAUCUGGACCGUCGGUGAUCGAUCUAACGGGCGGGAGUGGGGCGGCGGCUUACAGCGGCUGGCGACGUCGGCGACGAGCAGAGGACGGCGGCGCGGCGUCGGGCGGUGGCGGGGCAGCGGCUACGGCGGUCCUCGGCGUCGGGGAGGAAGACGGGGAGGUGGGGCGCGGCUUGGGCGUCCGGAUGGUGGCGUCAGGGCUCCUCAGGGUCGUCGGGGAUCGGCGAGGCGAAGGCGGCGGCGCUCCGUGGGCUCCGGCGAGGUCGGGCGUCGUCGGGGCGUCGUCUCCGGCGAGACCUAGGCUCGGGGUGGCACGAUUGACGAAGGAACAAGGGCUUGGGGUGGUUUACGGGCAGCGGAAUGCAACGGGAGGUCCGUUCGGCCGGCGAGAUCCAAGCGGCGACUGCGGGCGGUAGGAGCGGCGUGGGAAGAAGCGGGACGGCGAGGAUGGAAGAGGGGGUUCGGGGGCAUUUAUAGGCGCGGUCAGGAGGCGCGGCUGCCGUGGAAAAGCAUUAUCCGAGCACGUGGCGGCCGGCGGUUGCGGGCGGCGAGGCGCGGAUGUUUAUCCCGCGAGCUGCGGGAGGUUGGGGACGAGCUGACGAGCGGGGCCCGUCUGGCAGUGGCAGCGGCGGUAACGAGCGAGCGGGAGCGCGGGCGGUCGUCCGGGCGGAAGGCGUCGGGCGCUGGGGUGCUGGGGCGGUGGCCUUGGGCCAAAUGGCCAGCUGGGCCGGUUGGGGCGCUCCUGGGCCGAACCCAGUUUCGGGCCAGGAUGCGGUGAGUGCGUGCGUGCGUUUUUUUUAACCGAAGACUAAAGUGGCCCUAAAAAAUUCAAAUGAAUUAAUAAAAACACCACAAUAAUUUCUAAAAUAACUAUACAAUAUUUAGAACCUAAUGAACAUUAACUUAAGCACAUAAUAUUUUGAAAAUAUUUUCCUAAUGCAAUUAAUGCACUUUUUGCAAAUAAAAUAUAUACCAAUAAACUCCAAAACUUCAAAUAAUAUUCAACAUAAAAUUUCCCACUCUUUUAUAUUUUCAGGAAGUCAUCUUAUCCCCUGUCAUUUGUUUUUCUCGAGUGGAAAAAUAUUAUUUAAAUAUUUCAAAAUCUCCAAAAUGCAAAGAAAUAUGAUAUGCAUUGAAUGAUUCUAUUAACAUCCAAAUUUAAUAAAAAUUGGGAUGUUACAGUACAUGUGUGCCCAUUGUCUUGUUUUGGCUUGGAAGUCUCCUCAAAAUAAGGCAAGUGAGUCAACGAUCUCUGUAAGAGGAAUUGGAAGAUGGGGGUUCCAUGGCGCACUGAGAUGAAUGGCUGUCUUGGACGUGCGGCCCCUUAUCCCUAUCCCUUUGUUGAUGAAUCCCAUGCAACGCGCCCUUGCUUGGAUGAGAAAAUGUCAUAAGGGGGACUCGUUUCACUUGAUUCGUUUCGUCACACCCGCACUAUUCCUAAAUUUCUUUUCUGUUUCUAUUUUGAAAAAAAGGUCGAACUCAUUUCGUAUAGAAAGAAAGAUGUGUCGGGUUACAUGUGUGAAUACAUAGACAAACAGAGUGUCCCUAGUAUGCCUCUACUAGAACUAGCUCGUUAAUCAAAGUUGGUUAAGUUUCCUAACCAUAGAAAUGUGUUGUCAUUUGAUGAACGGGAUCACAUCAUUAGAGAAUGAUGUGAUGGACAAGACCCAUCCGUUAGCUUAGCACUUUGAUCAUUUAGUUUAUUGUUAUUGCUUUCUUCAUGACUUAUACAUGUUCCUAUGACUAUGUGAUUAUGCAACUCCCGAAUACCGGAGGAACACUUUGUGUGCUAUCAAAAGUCACAACGCAACUGGGUGAUUAUAAAGAUGCUCUAUAGGUGUCUCCGAUGGUGUUUGUUGAGUUGGCAUAGAUCGAGAUUAGGAUUUGUCACUCCGAUUGUCGGAGAGGUAUCUUUGGGCCCUCUCGGUAAUGCACAUCACUAUAACCCUUUCAAGCAAUGUGACUAAUGAGUUAGUUGCGGGAUGAUGCAUUACGGAACGAGUAAAGAGAUUUGCCGGUAACGAGAUUGAACUAGGUAUGAUGAUACCGACGGUUGAAUCUCGGGCAAGUAACAUACCGAUGACAAAGGGAACAACGUAUGUUGUUAUGCGGUUUGACCGAUAAAGAUCUUCGUAGAAUAUGUAGGAGCCAAUAUGAGCAUCCAGGUUCCGCUAUUGGUUAUUGACCGGAGAUGUGUCUCGGUCAUGUCUACAUAGUUCUCGAACCCGUAGGGUCCGCACGCUUAACGUUCGAUGAUGAUUUGUAUUAUGAUUUAUGUGAUUUGAUGACCGAAGUUUGUUCGGAGUACCGGAUGAGAUCACGGACAUGACGAGGAGUCUCGAAAUGUUCGAAACGUAAAGAUCUAUAUAUUGGAAGGCUAUAUUCAGACAUCGGAAAUGUUCUGAGUGGUUCGGGUAUUUUUCGGAGUACCAGAGAGUUACGGGAAUUCGCCGGGGGAAGUAUUGGGCCUUUAUGGGCCUUAGUGGAAUGGAGAGAAGGGCCACAAGGGGAGGCCGCCCCCCCAUGGGCUGGUCCGAAUUGGACUAGGGCGGGGGCGGCGCCCCCCUCUUUCCUUAUCCCUCUCCUACUCCUUCCCUCUCUCCCCUCUUGGAAAAGAAUCCUAGUUGGACUCCCCCUAUAGGCGCACCCCUCCUAGGCCGGCCUCCUCUUCCUCCCUCCUUUAUAUACGUGGCCAGGGGGCACCCCAAUAGCACAACAGACAAUCUCUUAGUCGUGUGCAGUGCCCCCCCUCCACAGUUACAGACCUCGGUCAUAUCGUCAUAGUGCUUAGGCGAAGCCCUGCGUCGGUAACUUCAUCAUCACCAUCACCACGCCGUCAUGCUGACGGAACUCUCCCUCGGCCUCAACUAGAUCAAGAGUUCGAGGGACGUCACCGAGCUGAACGUGUGCUGAACGCGGAGGUGCCGUACGUUCGCUGCUUGGAUCGGUUGGAUCGCGAAAACGUUCGACUACAUCAACCGCGUUACUAAACGCUUCUGCUUUCGGUCUACGAGGGUACGUGGACACACUCUCCCCGCUCGUUGGUAUGCUUCUCCUAGAUAGAUCUUGCGUGAUCGUAGGAAUUUUUUUGAAAUACUACGUUCCCCAACAGUGGCAUCCGAGCCAGGUCUAUGCGUAGAUGUUAUAUGCACGAGUAGAACACAAAGAGUUGUGGGCGAUAAUAGUCAUACUACUUACCAGCAUGUCAUAUUUUGAUUCGGCGGUAUUGUUGGAUGAAGCGGCCCAGGCCGACAUUACAUGACCGCGUUCAUGAGACUUGUUCUACCGCCGUGCUUCGCACACAUGUGGCUAGUGGGUGUCUGUUUCUCCAACUUUAGUUGAAUCGAGUGUGACUACGCUCGGUCCUUGUUGAAGGUUAAAACAACACACUUGAUGAAAAAUCGUUGUGGUUUUGAUGCGUAGGUAAGAACGGUUCUUGCUAAGCCCGUAGCAGCCACGUAAAACUUGCAACAACAAAGUAGAGGACGUCUAAGUUGUUUUUGCAGGGCUUGUUGUGAUGUGAUAUGGUCAAGACGUGAUGAGAUAUAAAUUGUUGUAUGAGAUGAUCAUGUUUUGUUAAAGUCAUCGGCAACUGGCAGGAGCCUUAUGGUUGUCUAUUUAUUGCAUAAGAUGCAAGCGCCAUAUAAUUGCUUUACUUUAUCGCUAUGCAAUAGCAAUAGUUGCAAAAGCAAUAGUUGGUGAGACGACCAUGUGACGGCACGUUGAUAAAGAUCAAGAUGAUGGAGAUCAUGGUGUCAUGCCGGUGACGAUGGAGAUCAUGACGGUACUUUGGAGAUGGAGAUCAAAGGCACAAGAUGAUGAUGGCCAUAUCAUGUCACAUAUUUUGAUUGCAUAUGAUGUUUAUCUUUUAUGCAUCUUAUUUUUCUUAGUACGACGGUAGCAUUAUGAGAUGUUCCCUUAUUAAAAUUUCAAGGUAUAAGUGUUCUCCCUGAGUAUGCACCGUUGCGGCAGUUCUUCGUGCUGAGACACCGCGUGAUGAUCGGGUGUGAUAAGCUCUACGUUCACAUACAACAGGUGCAAGCCAGUUUUCCACAUGCAGAAUACUCAGGUUAAACUUGACGAGCCUAGCAUAUGCAGAUAUGGCCUCGGAACACUGAGACCGAAAGGUCGAACGUGAAUCAUAUAGUAGAUAUGAUCAACAAAGUGAUGUUCACCAUUGAAAGCUACUCCAUCUCACGUGAUGAUCAGACAUGGUUUAGUUGAUAUGGAUCACGUGGUCACGUAGAUGAUUAGAGGGAUGUCUAUCUAAGUGGGAGUUUUUAAGUAAUAUGAUUAAUUGAACUUUAAUUUAUCAUGAACUUAGUCCUGAUAGUAUUUGCAUAACUAUGUUGUAGAUCAAUAGCUCAUGAUGUAGCUCCCCGUUUAUUUUUUGAUAUGUUCCUAGAUAAAAACUAUGUUGAAAGAUAAUUGUAGCAAAUGAUGCAGAGUCCGUGAUCUGAGGAUUAUCCUCAUUGCUGCACAAAAGAUUUAUGUCCUCGAUGCACCGCUAGCUGACGGACCUAUUGCAGGAGCAAAUGCAGACGAUAUGAACGUUUGGCAAGCUCGGUAUGAUAACUACUUGGUAGUUUAGCGCACCAUGCUUUAUGGCUUAGAACCGGGACAUCAAAACGUUUUGAACGCCAUGGAGCAUAUAAGAGUUCCAAGAGCUGAAAUUGGUAUUUCAGACUCAUGCCCGAGUCGAGAGGUAUGAGACCUCUGAGAAGUACUUUGCCUACUAGAUGGAGGAGGAUAGCUCAACCAGUGAGCAUGUGCUCAGAUUGUCUGAGUACUACAAUCGCUUGAAUCAAGUGGGAGUUAAUCUUCCAGAUAAAAUAGUGAUUGACAGAGUUCUCUAGUCACUAUCACCAAGUUACUAGAACCUCGUGAUGAACUAUAAUAUGCAAGGGAUGACGAAAAUGAUUCUCCGAGCACUUCGCGAUGCUAAAAUCGACGAAGGCAGAAAUCAAGAAAAGCAUCAAGUGUUGAUGGUUGACAAUACCACUAGUUUCAAGUAAAAGGGCAAGGGAAAGAAAGGGAACUUCAAGAAGAAUGGCAAGCAAGUUUCCACUCCCAUGAAGAAGCCAAAAGCUAGACCCAAGCCUGAAACUGAGUGCUUCUACUUCAAAGGAAAUGAUCACUGGAAGCGAAACUGCCCCAAGUAUUUGGCGGAUAAGAAGGAUGGCAAAGUGAAGAAAAGUAUAUAUGAUAUACAUGUUAUUGAUGUGUACUUAAGUAGUGUUCACAGUAGCCCCUGGGUAUUUGAUAGUAAUUCAGUUGCUAUGAUUAGUAACUCGAAACAGGAGUUACAAAAUGAACAAAGACUAGUUGAGGGCAAGGUGAAGAUGUCUGUUGAAAGUGAUUCCAAGGUUGAUAAGAUCACCAUCGCACACUCCCUUUACCUUCGGGAUUAGUAUUGAACCUAAAACAAAUGUUAUUUGGUGUGUGCGUUGAGCAUAAUAUGAUUGGAUCAUGUUUAUUGCAAUACGGUUAUUCAUUUAAGUCAAAGAAUAAUUGCUAUUCUGUUUAUAUAAAUAAAACCUUCUGUGGUCAUACACCCAAGGUGAAUGGUUUAUUGAAUCUCGAUCGUGGUGAUACACAUAUUCAUAAUAUUGAUGCCAAAAGAUGCAAAGUUGAUAAUCAUAGUGCAACAUAUUUGUGGCACUGCCGUUUAGGUCAUAUUGGUGUAAAGCGCAUGAAGAAACUCCAUGCUGGUGGGCUUUUGGAAUCACUUGAUUAUGAAUCACUUGAUGCUUGCGAACCAUGCCUCAUGGGAAAGAUGACUAAGACUCCGUUCUCCAGAACAAUGGAGCAAGCCACUGACUUAUUGGAAAUAAUACAUAUAGAUGUAUGCGGUCUGAUGAGUGUUGAGGCUCGCGGCGGGUAUCGUUAUUUUCUGACCUACACAGAUGAUUUGAACAGAUAUGGGUAUAUCUACUUAAUGAAACACAAGUCUGAAAAAUUUGAAAAGUUCAAAGAAUUUCAGAGUGAAGUUGAGAAUCAUCGUAACAAGAAAAUAAAGUUUCUACGAUCUGAUCGAGGAGGCGAAUAUUUGAGUUACGAGUUUGGCCUUCAUUUGAAACAAUGUUGAAUAGUUUCGCAACUCACGCCACUUGGAACACCACAGCGUAAUGGUGUGUCUGAACGUCGUAAUCGUACAUUAUUAGAUAUGGUGCGACCUAUGAUGUCUCUUACCAAUUUACCACCAUCGUUUUGGGGUUAUGCAUUAGAGACAGCUGCAUUCACGUUAAAUAGGGCACCGUCUAAAAAUCCCUUGAGACGACACCAUAUGAACUGUGGUUUAGCAAGAAACCUGAGCUGUUGUUUCUUAAAGUUCGAGGUUGCGAUGCUUAUGUGAAAAAGCUUCAACCUGAUAAGCUCGAACCCAAAUCGGGGAAGUGUGUCUUCAUAGGAUACCCAAAAGAAACUAUUGGGUGCACCUUCUAUCACAUAUCCGAAGGCAAGAUCUUUGUUGCUAAGAAUGGAUCCUUUCUAGAGAAGGAGUUUCUCUGGAAAGAAGUGAGUGGGAGGAAUGUAGAACUUGAUGAGGUAAUUGAACCUUCUCCCAAAUUGGAAAGUAGUUCAUCACAAAAAGCAGUUCCAGUGAUUCCUACACCAAUUAGUGAGGAAGCUAAUGAUGAUGACCAUGAAACUUCAGAUCCAGUUACUACUGAACCUCGUAGGUCAACCAGAGUACGGUCCGCACCAGAGUGGUACGGUAAUCCUGUUUUGCAAGUCAUGUUACUAGAUCAUGACGAACCUACGAACUAUGAGGAAGCGAUGAUGAGCCCAGAUUCCGCAAAAUGGCUUGAGGCCAUGAAAUCUAAGAUGGGAUUCAUGUAUGAAGAACAAAGUGUGGACUUUGGUUGACUUGCGCGAUGAUCAGCAAGCCAUUGAGAAUAAAUGAAUCUUCAAGAGGAAGAUGGACGCUGAUAGUAGUGUUACUAUCUACAAAGCUUGAAUUGGCGAAAAACAGUUUUCGGCAAGUUCAAGGUGUUGAUUACGAUGAGAUUUUAUCACUCGUAGCGAUGCUUAACUCUGUCCGAAUCAUGUUAGAAAUUACCACAUUUUGUCAAAUCUGGCAAAUGGAUGUCAAAACUACAUUCCUUAUUGCAAAAAUCUACGAGUCAUCAAAAACCAAGCAUUAUGCGCAAGCUCCUAGGGGGAUAGAUUGGUAGGAAAAGACCAUCGCUCGUCCCCGACCGCCACUCAUAAGGAUGACAAUCAAGGAACACCUCAUGUUUCAAAUUUGUCACACAACGUUUACCAUACGUGCAUACUAUGGUACUUGCAAACUUCAACACAAGUAUUUCUCAAAUUCACAAUUACUCGACUCGCACAACUCUAAUAUUACCAUCUACAUAUCUCAAAACAAUCAUCAAAUAUCAAACUUCUCAUAGUAUUCAAUGCACUCUAUAUGAAAGUUUUUAUUAUACCCAUCUUGAAUGCCUAUCAUAUUAGGACUAGUUUCAUAACCAAAUAAAAUUACCAUGCUGUUUAGGACUCUCAAAAUAAUAUAAGUGAAGCAUGAGAGUUCAUCUAUUUCUACAAAAUAAAACCACCGUCGUGCUCUAGAAGGAUAUAAGUGAAGCACUAGAGAAAAUGACAAACUACUCCGAAAGAUAUAAGUGAAGAUCAAUGAGUAGUCGAAUAAUUAUGCAAAUAUGUGAAGACUCUCUAACAUUUAUGUAUUUCAUAUCUUGGUAAAUUAUUCAAACAGCAAGCAAAACAAAAUAAAGCAAAAUGACGCUCCAAGCAAAACACAUAUCAUGUGGUGAAUAAAAAUAUAGCUCCAAGUAAAGUUACCGAUGAACGAAGACGAAAGAGGGGAUGCCAUCCGGGGCAUCCCCAAGCUUAGGCUCUUGGUUGUCCUUGAAUAUUACCAUGGGGUGCCUUGGGCAUCCCCAAGCUUAGGCUCUUGCCACUCCUUAUUCCAUAGUCCAUCGAAUCUUUACCCAAAACUUGAAAACUACACAACACAAAACUCAACAGAAAACUCGUCAGCUCCGUUAGUAUAAGAAAAUAAAACCACCACUUAAGUACUGUUGUGAACUCAUUCUAAAUUCAUAUUGGUGUAUUAUCUACUGUAUUCCAACUUCUCUAUGGUUCAUACCCUCCGAUACUACUCAUAUAUUCGUCAAAAUAAGCAAACAACACAUAGAAAACAGAAUCUGUCAAAAACAGAACAGUCUGUAGUAAUCUGUAUCAAACGUAUAUUUCUGGAACUCCAAAAAUUCUGAAAUAAAAUGGUGGACCUGAGGAAUUUGUCUAAUAAUCAUCUGCAAAAAUAAUCAACCUAAAAUCACUCUCCAAUAAAAAAAUGGCAGCUAAUCUCGUGAGCGCUAAAGUUUCUGUUUUUUACAGCAAGAUCACAAAGACUUCACCCAAGUCUUCCCAACGGUUAUAGUUGGCACAAACACUGAUUAAAACAUAAAACCACAUCUAAACAGAGGCUAGAUGAAUUAUUUAUUACUAAACAGGAACAAAAAGCAAGGAACAAAAAUAAAAUUGGGUUGCCUCCCAACAAGCGCUAACGUUUAACGCCCCUAACAAGGCACGAUGAUUUCAAUGAUGCUCACAUAAAAGAUAAGAAUUGAAACAUAAAGAGAGCAUCAUGAAGAAUUUGACUAGCAUAUUUAUGUCUAACCCACUUCCUAUGCAUAGGGAUUUUGCGAGCAAACAACUUAUGGGAACAAUAAUCAACUAGCAUAGGAAGGCAAAACAAGCAUAACCUCAAGAUUUUCAACACAGAGAGGAAACUUGAUAUUAUUGCAAUUCCUACAAGCAUAUGUUCCUCCCUCAUAAUAAUUUUCAGUAGCAUCGUGAAGGAAUUCAACAAUAUAACCAUCACAUAAAGCAUUCUUUUUAUGAUCUACAAGCAUAGAAAAUUUACUACUCUCCACAUAAGAAAAAUUCUUCUCAUUCGGAAUAGUGGGAGUAUCAUAAGAAACUUGAAUACUAUAAAUUGUUUCCAUAUUAAAAGAGUAAUGUUCAGAAAAUGGGUAAUCAUAAUCAUGACAAGUUUUAUAAAUAUAAUCAUCACUACUUUUUAUACCAUAACUGUCAUCACAAUAAUCAUCAUAAGUAGCAACUUUGUUCUCAUCAUAAUCAAUUGAAACCUCUUCCAAGAUUGUGGAAUCAUUACUAAAUAAAGUCCUGACCUCUCCAAAUCCACUUUCAUAAUUAUCACAAUAAGAUUCAACAUCCUCCAAAAUAGUGUCAUCAUUACUUCCUAAAGUUGACACUCUUCCAAACCCACUUUCAUCAAUAUAAUCAUCAUAAGUAGGAGGCUUGCUAUCAUCAUAACAAAUUUGCAUAUCAAAACUUGGGAGGCUAAAAAUAUCAUAUUCAUUAGACAUAGACUCCCCAAGCUUGGGACAAACAUUAAUUGCAGCAAAUAAAUUCUCGAACAUGUCAGUCUCAUCAAACAUAGCAUCCCCAAGCUUGGGCCUUUUCAUAUCAUAAACGUAAUCACUCUCAUCAUUAAUAGUAUGGAUAGCACCAAUAGUAUAGCAAUUAUCAUCAUCACAAUGAGUAAUAGGAGCAACAUCAUUUGGGAGGGAUACCUUUUCACCUUUGCUUCUCCGUCUUCUCUUUUUCUUCUUCACAUUAUGUGUGGGUUUAAUCCUCUUUUUGGAGCACCUUAUUAAUGAGAUUAGUUGAAUAGAAGGCUCCUCCUCGUUACCUGAUUCAUCAUAAGAAAUAAUAGGAAGAUAUUGGGAAGUCUCUUCCCUUUCAUUAGUAUUCUCUUCAUCUUCUAUUUGUUUUCUUGUCUUUAUGUAAUUGGCAAUAUAAGGAUUUUCAAUGCAAUUCACCGCACAAUACAUAAAAAUUUCUUCUAGAUCAAAAUCAAGAAAUCUAUCAAGAUUAAAUCUUGGAAUACCCUCAGUUAUAUGUUUCAUUUCUUCAUACCCCAAAAGAAGAAUAAGCUCUUUAUGAUGCUCAAGGUUAAUCAAGUUAUAAAACUUUUUCGACACGAUUUGAUCAUGAAACAAAUAGCAUUGGAGCUUUAAAUGACCAUGUUCAUUGCAAAGUUCACAAGGAUGGCGAUAAAUAUUGAAUCUUUCAACACAAUCAUCUAGCCUUUCUUGCAACCAUUUAGUUUCUAAAUACUUAUGCCUCUUGCAAUCUAUCUUCCCUAUUUGGUGUGUACUCGCAAACUCUAUGCACUCCACAAAAAUUGACUUGCUUAUAAGAGACAUUUUCAUCAUGACUAGUGCAAUCAUCAUUAGUACUAUGGAUAUUCAAAGAGUUCAUACUAACAACAUUGCAGUCAUGCUCAUCAUUCAAAUAUUUAGUGCCAAACAUUCUAAUGCAUUCUUCUUCUAACAUUUUGGCACAAUUAUUGGAAUCCUUAUUUUCAUGAAAGAUAUUAAAAAGAUGAAGCAUAUGAGGUACCCUCAAUUCCAUUUUUUUGUAGUUUUCUUUUAUAAACUAAACUAGUGAUAAAACAAGAAACUAAAAGAUUCGAUUGCAAGAUCUAAAGAUAUACCUUCCAGCACUCACCUCCCCGGAAACGGCGCCAGAAACUUCUUGAUGUCUACUACGCAAUCUUCUUCUUGUAGACGUUGUUGGGCCUCCAAGUGCAGAGGUUUGUAGGACAGUAGCAAAUUUCCCUCAAGUGGAUGACCUAAGGUUUAUAAUUCGGUGGGAGGCGUAGGAUGAAGAUGGUCUCUCUCAAACAACCCUGCAACCAAAUAAUAAAGAGUUUCUUGUGUCCCCAAAACACCCAAUACAAUGGUAAAUUGUAUAGGUGCACUAGUUCGGCGAAGAGAUGGUGAUACAAGUGCAUUAUGGAUGGUAGAUAUAGGUUUUUGUAAUCUGAAAAUAUAAAAACAGCAAGGUAGCAAGUGGUAAAAGUGAGCGUAAACAGUAUUGCAAUGCUAGGAAACAAGGCCCACGGUUCAUACUUUCACUAGUGCAAGUUCUCUCAACAAUAAUAACAUAAUUGGAUCAUAUAACUAUCCCUCAACAUGCAACAAAGAGUCACUCCAAAGUCAGUAAUAGCGGAGAACAAACGAAGAGAUUAUUGUAGGGUACGAAACCACCUCAAAGUUAUCCUUUCUGAUCAAUCUAUUCAAGAGUCCGUAGUAAAAUAACAUGAAGCUAAUCUUUCCAUUCGAUCUAUCCUAGAGUUCGUACUAGAAUAACACCUUAAGACACAAAUCAACCAAAACCCUAAUGUCACCUAGAUACUCCAAUGUCACCUCAAGUAUCUGUGGGUAUGAUUAUACGAUAUGCAUCACACAAUAUCAGAUUCAUCUAUUCAAACCAACACAAAGUACUUCAAAGAGUGCCCCAAAGUUUCUACCGGAGAAUCAAGACGAAAACGUGUGCCAACCCCUAUGCAUAGAUUCCCAAGGCCACAGAACCCGCAAGUUGAUCACCAAAACAUACAUCAAGUGGAUCAAUAGAAUACCCCAUUGUCACCACGGGUAUCCCACGCAAGACAUACAUCAAGUGUUCUCAAAUCCUUAAAGACUCAACCCGAUAAGAUAACUUCAAAGGGAGAACUCAAUCCAUCACAAGAGAGUAGAGGGGGAGAAACAUCAUAAGAUCAACUAUAAUAGCAAAGCUCGCGAUACAUCAAGAUCGUGACAAAUCAAGAACACGAGAGAGAGAGAGAUCAAACACAUAGCUACUGGUACAUACCCUCAGCCCCGAGGGUGAACUACUCCCUCCUCGUCAUGGAGAGCGCCGGGAUGAUGAAUAUGGCCACCGGUGAGGGAUCCCCCCUCCGGCAGGGUGCCGGAACAGGGUCCCAAUUGGUUUUUGGUGGCUACAGAGGCUUGCGGCAGUGGAACUCCCAAUCUAGGUUAUGUUCUGGAAGUUUCGGUAUAUAUAAGAGGUUUUGGCGUCGGGAACAAGUCAGGGGGGUCUCCGAGGUGGCCACGAUGUAGGCGGGCGCGCCCAGGGGGUAGGGCGCGCCCCCACCCUCGUGGGUGCCUCCGGACUCUUCUGGCCCAUCUCCGAUACUCCAUGGGCUUCUUCUCGUCCAAAAAUAAUCUCCGUCAAAUUUCAGGUCAAUUGGACUCCGUUUGGUUUUCCUUUUCUGCGAUACUCAAAAACAUGGAAAAAAAGAAACUGGCACUGGGCUCUAGGUUAAUAGGUUAGUCCCAAAAAUCAUAUAAAAUAGCAUAUAAAACAUCCUAGAUGGAUAAUAUAAUAGCAUGGAACAAUAAAAAAUUAUAGAUACGUUGGAGACGUAUCAGCGAAGAAGGAGGCGGAGUGCCCUGAUCACUCGCCGGAGGAGGAGGCGGAGUGCCCUGACUCGCCUGAUGAGGAGGAGGAGGCGGAGGCGUCCAGUUCGGCUGGUUGAUGAGCUCCUUCCGCCAUAGGCAUGGAGUCUUCGGAGCAGAACCUAGUCGAGUCUCCCCUUCACCGGUAGGGUGGUCAAGCUCGAGAUCCUCAAAUCCCUCCGUUAUUUCAUCCACCGUCACCCUACCAUAUCCUUCUGGAAUUGGACGGCAGUGAAAAGUUGCGACGGGUUCAGGAGGUCGAACAGAGCUGACAGCCGCCUUGACUUUGAAGUUCUGCCAUUGCGUCAUAAGGUGGUAAUGUUGAGACUCCGUGAUAGCAUCCACGGGGUAGCUAGCAGGAGCCGUGAAGACAGGCUCCAGCUGAAGCAGCUCGGUGGAAGCCACUCUACUUCUCCGCUGAGAUGGCGGGGUAGCUUCGGCAGGUCGCUUGCUGUGAACUGCUUCUCGUUCCUCUAGCGCUUGUACCCUUGCGUGCAGCUUCUGCAGUUGGGUAUGCUCCACUUUCCUCCUCCUCUCCUGGCAUUUGUAACCGCCUGCGUACGGAAACACAGCCUUCCACGAAACGGAGCCUGGCGUGCCUCGUGUCCGUCCAGGGUGCUCAGGAUUCCCGAGGGCCAUUGUGAGCUCGUCGUUCUCUCUGUCUGGAACAAACGUCCCUUCCUGCGCUGCGGCUAUAUAGUCCUGAAGCUUCAUGACGGGUAUUCGUAGUUGCUCGUUUGUCGAAACGCACUUCCCUGUUAUAGGGUCCAAGGUUCCGCCAACCCCGAAGAACCAAGGCCUUGAACGGUCUGGCCAGUUCAAUGUCUCUGGUUCGACCCCUUUAUCAAGCAGGUCAUUCUCAGCCUGGGCCCACAACGACCGGGCUUUGAGGUAGCCACCUGACCCCGUGCGAUGGUGAUGCUCCUUCUUCGCAGAAUUUAUCUUCAGCAGGCCACAAAUGCGUCCUAGUGAUCUCUGGUCUUCUCAUACCGGCCGGUGAAUUCUGGUGUCUUUUCUUUGUCGACAAUCUUUGUUUUCAGCUCAUUCUUCCACCUCCUGAAUAGAUCUGCCAUCUUCUUAAGAGCAUGAGACUUGAUCAAUGGCUCUUUAACUGGCUUCUCCGGAUCCUCCUCUGGCGAUAGGGUGAAAUUUGCCUUCAGCGCGGCCCAAAGAUCAUGUUUCUGCCUAUCGUUGACAUAAGACACCUAAGGGUCUUCGUUCUUAGGCUUAUACCAUUGGUGGAUGCUGAUCGGGAUCAUGUCCCUAACAAGAACCCUGCACUGAGUAGAAAAUGCUUCCUUGGUCCGGAUGGGUUCAAUCGGUUGGCCAUCGCGCGUGAUUGCUGUGAUCGUGAACCUUUCAUCCGAGCGCACCUUUUUCUUCGGGACUCAUCUCUUUACCGAAGUUGUGAUCGAUCCGGAGGGCUAGAAAAAGAAGAAAGACGAGAGUUAAUAUGUGUAAAUACCAAAACAAUGAAUGCAUCAAUUAGCUAGUCCGCACAGGCUUAAUUAAUAUAUAUACCUGGCCGGACUCUGUUCGGUCACCGGAGCCGUCAUCACGGUCUCCUUCUUGCACCGGCAUUCGAUCACCGGAGCCAUCAUAAUCAUGUCCUUCCUCCUCCAUUGUUCAAUAACCGUAGCCUGCUUCACCCUCUCCUUCCAGACCAUCGGUUUCGUUGAUAUACGACAUGACAUCACCUCCGACUGCGAUUAUGCCCCCCAACACCUGUUCUGCUUCCUCAUCUCGGCCGUGCUCCAUAGUUUCGGCAAAUAUUACAACAUGGCAAUUAUUAUACAAACAUGAAAGAUGGAUAUAAUAGUGGCAAACGUAGACCUAGCUAGCUAAUCACAACAAGGAAUCAUAUUAGUGUCCUCGACGCUUCUCUAGGGUUUGGGGUGGCCUCGGCAACGAUUCAAGGGUUCGGGGUGGCCUCGACGACAACGCUCUUUUAAAUUGGUAAAUUUGGGUGGCCUCGGCAGCGCUUCUAGGGUUUGGAUCAAUGAUGUCUACUACACAACCAUCUUCUUGUAGACGUUGUUGGGCCUCCAAGUGCAGAGGUUUGUAGGACAGUAGCAAAUUUCCCUCAAGUGGAUGACCUAAGGUUUAUCAAUCCGUGGGAGGCGUAGGAUGAAGAUGGUCUCUCUCAAGCAACCCUGCAACCAAAUAACAAAGAGUCUCUUGUGUCCCCAACACACCCAAUACAAUGGUAAAUUGUAUAGGUGCACUAGUUCGGCAAAGAGAUGGUGAUACAAGUGCAAUAUGGAUGAUAGAUAUGAGUAUUUGUAAUCUGAAAAUAUAAAAACAGCAAGGUAACUAAUGAUAAAAGUGAGCGUACACGGUAUUUCAAUGCUAGGAAACAAGGCCUAGGGUUCAUACUUUCACUAGUGCAAGUUCUCUCAACAAUAAUAACAUAAUUGGAUCAUAUAACUAUCCCUCAAUAUGCAACAAAGAGUCACUCCAAAGUCACUAAUAGCAGAGAACAAACGAAGAGAUUAUGGUAGGGUACGAAACCACCUCAAAGUUAUUAUUUCUGAUCGAACUAUUCAAGAGUCCAUAGUAAAAUAACACGAAGCUAUUCUUUCCAUUCGAUCUGUCAUAGAGUUCAUACUAGAAUAACACCUUCAGACACAAAUCAACCAAAACCCUAAUGUCACCUAGAUACUCCAAUGCCACCUCAAGUAUCCGUGGGUAUGAGUAUAAGAUAUGCGUCACACAAUCUGAGAUUCAUCUAUUCAAUCCACACAAAGAACUUCAAAGAGUGCCCCAAAGUUUCUACAGGAGAUUCAAGACGAAAACGUGUGACAACCCCUAUGCAUAAGUUCACGGAACUCGCAAGUUGAUCACCAAAAUAUACAUCAAGUGGAUCACGUGAUAUCCCAUUGUCACCACAGAUAAGCACAUGCAAGACAUACAUCAAGUGUUCUCAAAUCCUUAAAGACUCAAUCCGAUAAGAUAACUUCAAAGGGAAAACUCAAUCCAUUACAAGAGACUAGAGGGGGAGAAACAUCAUAAGAUCCAACUAUAAUAGCAAAGCUCGCGGUACAUCAAGAUCGUGCCAAAUCAAGAACACGAGAGAGAGAGAUCAAACACCUAGCUACUUAUACAUACCCUCAGACUCGAGGGUGAACUACUCCCUCCUCGUCAUGGAGAGCACCGGGAUGAUGAAGAUGGCCACGGGUGAAGAAUUUCCCCCACCGGCAGGGUGCCGGAACGGGUCUAGAUUUUUUUCCGAUGGCUACAGAGGCUUGCGGCGGCGGAACUCUCGAUCUAUUCUGCUACCCGAUGUUUUUAGGGUAUAUGGAUAUAUAUAGGCGAAGAAGUCGGUCACGGGAGCCACGAGGGGCCCACGAGGGUGGGGGCGUGCCUAGGGGGGUAGGGCGCGCUUCCCUGCCUCGUGGCUUCCUCGAAGCUUCCCUAACGUCUACUCCAAGUCUCCUGGAUUGCUUCUGUUCCAAAAAAAACUCUCCCGAAGGUUUCAUUCUGUUUGGACUCCGUUUGAUAUUCCUUUUCUUCGAAACACUGAAAUAGGCAAGAAAACAACAAUUUGGGCUGGGCCUCCGGUUAAUAGGUUAGUCCCAAAAAUAAUAUAAAAGUGCAUAAUAAAGCCCAUUAAACAUCCAAAACAUAUAAUAUAAUAGCAUGAAUACUUCAUAAAUUAUAGAUACGUUGGAGACGUAUCAAUCAACUUGUGCACAUUGCCAGACCCUCGACCCUCGACCGCUCGGCGAUCCACGACCCUCUACGUACCCUAUUUCCCAACCCUCGACCCCGUCAUGUCACAUUUGUCUAGUGUCAAAGGACUCAACAAAACCAUGUCUUCAUCAUUUAGGCGAAAGUAACAGGCGCAUGAUGGUACGAAGUUAUGCAAAGUUGUUCUGGAACGGAGUCCCAGAUAGGAACAUUCGCUUUUUCGUACAAAGUUCAGCAAGAGCCUUCCGAAUAUCGCUAUUUGGAAGGCCUUUGCUGAAAUUCAUACAAAAAGGCGAAUUAUCCUAUCCGGGACUCCGUUCCAGAAUAACUUUGCACAACUUCAUACCAUCAUGCCCCAGUUACUUCCGGCUAAUGAUGAAGCCAUGGAUUUCUUCAAUACUUUGACACUAGCUAGGCAACCUCUCGACCCCUCGGCGAUCCUCGACUCUCAACCGCUCGGACGAUCCACGACCCUCUACCCUAUUUCCCGACCCUCGACCCCCUCAUGUCACGUUUGUCUAGUGUCAAAGGAUUCAACAAAACCAUGUCUUCAUCAUUAGGCGAAAGUAACAGGCGCAUGAUGGUACGAAGUUCUGCAAAGUUGUUCUGGAACGGAGUCCCAGAUAGGAACAUUCGCUUUUGUCGUACAAAGUUCAGCAAGAGCCUUCCGAAUAUCGCUAUUUGGAAGGCCUUUGCUGAAAUUCAUACAAAAGGGCGAAUUAUCCUAUCCGGGACUCCAUUCCAGAACAACUUUGCACAACUUUGUACCAUCAUGCCCCGGUUACUUCCGGCUAAUGAUGAAGCCAUGGAUUUCUUCAAUACUUUGACACUAGGCAACCUCUCGACCCCUCGGCGAUCCUCGACCCUCGAACCCUCGGCGACCCUUGACCCCUCGGCGUUCCUCGACCCUUGUCGGUGUCAAAACCGGCGGAUCUCGGGUAGGGGGUCCCGAACUGUGCGUCAAGGAACGAUGGUAACAGGAGACGGGGGGUUACAAGAUUUGAUCUACCACGAGAUCAUAAUAGCUAAACCCUAGAAGCCUAGCCUGUAUGACUAUGGUAAUGUGUAUAUGUCUAUCCGGACUACGCUCUCCAGUUUAUAUAGAUACCGGAGAGAUCUAGGGUUACAUGGGGUUGGUUACAUAAGAAGGAAUCUUCAUAAUUGGUCGCCUAGCUUGCCUUGCGCCAAGGAGAGUCCAAUCUGGACACGGGUAUAGUCUUCGGCCUUCAUAUCUUCACCGCCCAUCAGUCCGGACCAGUGAAUAACAGGCCGGACGCCCGAGGACCCCUUAGUCCAGGACUCCCUCAGUAGCCCCUGAACCUGGCUUCAAUGACGAGGAGUCCGGCGCGCAGAUUGUCUUCGGCAUUGCAAGGCGGGUUCCCCUUUUUCCGAACUCCAAGAUAGUCUUCGGAUGCGAUGAUUGUAUCCGGACUUGUAACGCAUACCACACACAACCGCAGAGAGAAUAUAAUAUUUGCACAAAUCUAAUCUGUCGACAGCUUUUUUAUAACACGACAUCACGUCUGUCCGGUCAUAAUUUCGAACCGUUUUUCAUCUGCCAUCCCAUGUUUUGAGACGCGGUUGUAAUUGGCACGUCCUGUCGAAGCAGAGAUCGUGUCCCCUUAUUGCGGGAUUCUCAUCAAUGCGGGCAUGGGUAACCCAACCGGGCCGUUUAUAUAGCCCUUGGGAAUAGGUGAGUCUUAAGGCGAGUGAGGAGGCGCUUAAUAUUUGUCGUCUUUAUAAGGGGAUAAGCAUUCCCUCUUCCUCUUCUCACGCUUUCUCUCUGUCUCCGCCUUUCCAAUCUUGAGAUCCAGCGCCCAAGUUCUCAUCUCCUUUCCACUCAAGCAACCAUGUCCAGAUCCGGUGGUCAGGGCAAGUGGAUGGUCUCCUCCGUUAAGGAGGAGGACAUUACUGAGCUUCGGGCGGCCGGAUAUUUGGCGAAGGAGAUCUCCCACCGUCUGACGGCCGAGGGACAAGUCGUCCCCACGCCGAAGCCCACCGAGAGGGUAGUAUUCAUCCCCCAUUUCUUCCGCGGGCUAGGGUUUCCACUCCACCCUUUCAUCCGUGGGCUGAUGUAUUAUUACGGGAUGGAUUUCCAUGAUCUGUCCCCGAAUUCCUUCCUCAACAUCUCAGCAUUUAUCAUCGUGUGUGAGGCCUUCCUCCACAUCCAACCCCACUUCGGGCUGUGGCUCAAAGUCUUCAACGUGAAGCCAAAGGUGGUGGAUGGCAGCACGCGGAGUGCGGGGGAGCCAUGGUGAGCAAGCUAUCCAACGUCUCCUGGCCCAAAGGCACUUUUGUGGAGACAGUAAAGGAGUGGCAGAAGCAGUGGUUCUACAACACAAAACCUCGCGGCACCACCUGGUCUGCAGCUGCCUAAUUCCGCUCCGGCGCUCCCAUGCGACUCAUCUCCUGGGUCGAGAAGAGUCCUGACUGGUGUUCACCUCACGAGUUGAUAGCGCUGCAGACGCGUGUUCAGAGCAUGCUGACCAAGAAUGUCAAGCUUUUUGACGUAAUCCAUGUGAUGCUGGUUCACCGGAAUCUUCCAUGCCAGCGCCGAAGCCGCCCUCUAUGAGAGUUCAAUUCGAAGAAGCACCAGACCUUGAUAAGGCUCUUCGAGACUACUCACGAAGGCGCCUGGAAGUUGCUUUUUAAGGGCAAAGAGAAGCCACCGGCCAUGGAUUCAGACCGUGGUCACGAUUGUAAACACCCCGCCAGCGAGGUAUGCUAUUUUUGAUGUACCCCCAACUUAACUGUUUCGAGGAUGACGUGUGAGGUUUUAUUAUGGCUUUUUUCAGCACUAGAUGGAGAGGGCGAAGCAGAUCCAGUGUCCGACUCCGCUUCUUGAAGAACCAGUCAUCCCGCGUCUAGCGAAGAUGCUGGCGCCGGCCCCGUAUAAGGCGCCGGAGAAGAAGGCCAAGAAGAAGGCCAAGGGGGCCAAGAGUGGCCCCCGUCGCAAGGGCACUUCGGACGUGACGUCCGAAGACGACGAAGCCCAUUCCUCUGUCCCCGAGGACCAUGAAGAGGAAGAGGAGGAGGAGGAAAACAACCCUCCCCCCGAGGAGAAGAAGAAAAAGAGGGCGGCUUCAGUGCAUCUGGAGGUGGAAACGCCCAAGAAGGGGAAGGGCGUCCCAGCGGUCAACACCUCGUGGGACGUUGACAACAGUCCGGAACAACGCCCCCGCGCAAAGCCCCAGGCCGCAUCGUAAGUGACAUGGCUCGCUCGUGCGCACAUCCGACCCUUUCUCUUUAUUAUCUUGACAGGGUUAACUGCACUAUCGCAGUCCGGCCCGCGACCUUAUCCAGCGAUCCUCAUCUAGAGGUUCGUUGGCUCCGUCGGAGAUGGCGAGCAUGUCGCCACCGCCGGCUUAUUCCCCCGUGGCCAGGGACGACACCGAAGUGUUGUCCCGGAGGACUGCUCCGAACUGGGGAGGAGCCCAGGAUGCUGUCCGGGAGGCGCCACAAGGCAAGACCUCCACCACCGGACACGCAGGAGAGCCGAUCCCCAUGGAGAUUGGCAAAGAGGGCCGCAUCCAGUUCGGCCCUCAGCCGAAUACGAUUCCGGAGACCCAGAUGGCUCCGGAGUCGGGCGAGUAGCCCCCUUUGAAGGAGGGGGUGCCGCUUCCACCGGUGGCCCCUGUCCAUCCAGGGACGCCGGAUAACCUGAUGGAGGCGCUGUGAGGCGCCUCCGUUAUGGACGAGCAUCGUGUCCUUAUGGGUGCGGUGAUCGAGAAGGUUCAGUCUGCCAAGAGUGGACUGAAUGAAGCCUGCAGCAACCUGUUAACAGGUUUCGAAGUAAGUGACAUAGAAAGAGAAAAACCCCAUGUUGUCAGUAGCCCCUGAGACACUGUCUGGUGUUCGGCAAAAAGAACCGGACAGAGGAUCAAUCUUCUAUUGUAGGAGACUAAUGUAAUGUGUAUGCAUAAGCAGGCGUCGUUGUUGGCCGCAACCUCGCAUGCUGUCGAAGUCUCUGAAUUGAGGCAGAGGCUAGAGCGGACCGAGAACGAGCUCGGCGAGGUUAAGGUUCGGCUCCAGGAGAAGCAAGGUGAGUAACGACUUGCUGUGUGUUUUCGGAAAGCGUAGGCGUUGUGUAUUGAUUGUAGUGCCGUAAUAUGUGUAGGAUCCGCGACCGAGGUCGAGGCCCUCAGUAAGGCCCUGGGCGAGGCCGAGGAGAAGGUUGUCCAGCAGCAAGCCGCCCAUAGGAAGCUCAAGGCCCGGGUCAAAGAAAUCCAGCAGGAGCUUCAGGAUGCGGUGAAAAAAUGUGAGACCUUGGAGCAUGAUGCAUCGGCGAGGCCGAACUCACCAAGGCUCGUCAAAGUGCGGAGACCGCACGGAAUGAGGCCCAGGCCGCCCUCCAGGAGAUCCAGGAGGCCAAGAAGAUCAUGGCGGGUAAGGCUUUUAAGAUGCAAAGCAAGUAUGCAGUGAAGCAGUACCUUUUACUAACCCGGGUUCGGAGUUCCCCAGGGGAUUUUGCGGAUUUACCACACAGUGUAUCAGACGCCGUGGAGUUCUAUCGAGCCAAAGGAGGGGGUUCGACGGAAAAGCUAUUCUGGUCGCAAUAUGCGGCGCCAGAACCUCCCGUGUCCUUUACGAUCAGCUGAAACAGCUGGUGGAGCUGCAUAGGGUGGCCGAACUAGCCAUGAAGGAUUUGAUAAUCUGGCUGUGGCCAACCGAAGCUAUGCCUGGCAGCUACUUCGGACUCAUGAGGCGGAUGGUGAACGCCUGUCCUCGGCUGGACGUCGUCAAGCGCUCUGCCUGUAUUGAAGGUGCCCGCAUGGCCUUCGCCCGUUGCAAGAUGUGGUCUAAGCUUGGGGGAGUUGAUACGUCCAUUUUGCAUCAUGCUUUUAUAUUGAUAUUUAUUGCAUUAUGGGCUGUUAUUACACAUUAUAUCACAAUACUUAUGCCUAUUCUCUCUUAUUUUACAAGGUAUACAUGAAGAGGGAGAAUGCCGGCAGCUGGAAUUCUGGGCUGGAAAAGGAGCAAAUAUUAGAGACCUAUUCUGCACAACUCCAAAAGUCCUGAAACUCCACGAAAGUCAUUUUUGGAAAUAAUAAAAAAAUAUUGGGCGGACGAAAUACCAGAGGGGGCCCACACCCGAGCCACGAGGGUGGGGGGCGCGCCCUACGCCCCUGGGCGCGACCCCUGCUUCGUGGGCCCCCUGUUGGCCCUCCGGUGCCCAUCUUCUGCUAUAUGAAGUCUUUCGUCCGAAGAAAAAUCAUAAGCAAGCUUUCGGGACAAGACUCCGCCGCCACGAGGCGGAACCUUGGCGGAACCAAUCUAGGGCUCCGGCAGAGCUGUUCAACCGGGGACACUUCCCUCCGGGAGGGGGAACUCAUCGCCAUCGUCAUCACCAACGCUCCUCUCAUCGGGAGAGGCCAGUCUCCAUCCACAUCUUCACCAGCACCAUCUCCUCUCAAACCCUAGUUCAUCUCUUGUAUCCAAUUCUAGUCUCAUAGCCUGGGAUUGGUACCUGUAGGUUGCUAGUAGUGUUGAUUACUCCUUGUAGUUGAUGCUAGUUGGUUUAUUUGGUUGAAGAUCAGAUGUUCAGAUCCUAUAUGCAUAUUAAUACUCCUCUGAUUAUGAACAUGAAUAUUCUUUGUGAGUAGUUACGUUUGUUCCUGAGGACAUGGGAGAAGUCUUGCUAUUAGUAGUCAUGUUUAUUUGGUAUUCGUUCGAUACUUUGAUGAGAUGUAUGUGGUCUUUCCUCUAGUAGUGUUAUCUGAACGUCGACUACAUGACACUUCACCAUUAUUUGGGCCUAGAGGAAGGCAUUGGGAAGUAAUAAGUAGAUGAUGGGUUUCUAGAGUGACAGAAGCUUAAACCCUAGUUUAUGCGUUGCUUCGUAAGGGGCUGAUUUGGAUCCAUAUGUUUCAUGCUAUGGUUAGGUUUACCUUAAUACUUCUUUUGUAGUUGCGGAUGCUUGCAAUAGGGGUUAAUCAUAAGUGGGAUGCUUGUCCAAGUAAGGACAGCACCGAAGCACCGGUCCACCCACAUAUCAAAUUAUCAAAGCACCGAACGUGAAUCAUAUGAACGUGAUGAAACCUUGCUUGACGAUAAUUCCCAUGUGUCCUCGGGAGCGCUUUUCUCUAUAUAAGAGUUUGUCCAGGCUUGUCCUUUGCUACAAAAAGGAUUGGGCCACCUUGCUGCACUUUAUUUACUUUUGUUACUUGUUGCUCGUUACAAAUUACCCUAUCACAAAACUAUCUGUUACCUAUAAUUUCAGUGCUUGCAGAGAAUACCUUGCUGAAAACCGCUUAUCAUUUCCUCCUGCUCCUCGUUGGGUUCGACACUCUUACUUAUCGAAAGGACUACGAUAGAUCCCCUAUACUUGUGGGUUAUCAAGACUCUUUUCUGGCGCCAUUGCCGGGGAGUGAAGCGCCUUUGGUAGGUGGAAUUUGGUAAGGAAAAAUUUAUAUAGUGUGCUGAAAUUUACUGUCACUUGUUACAAUGGAAAGUAAACCUCUGAGGGGUUUGUUCGGGGUAUCUUCACCCCGACCGGUAGAGCAAAGAGUUGCUCCUCAACCUACUGAACCUACUGAAAAUGAAAAUGUCUAAUUUGAGAUUCCUUCGGGUAUGAUAGAAAAACUGCUAGCUAAUCCUUUUGCAGGAGACAGAACAAUGCAUCCUAAUGAGCACCUAAUAUAUGUGGAUGAAGUUUGUGGAUUAUUGAAGCUUGCAGGUGUGCCCGAUGAUGUUAUUAAAAAGAAGGUCUUCCCUUUAUCUUUGAAGGGAGAUGCAUUGACAUGGUAUAGGCUAUGUGAUGACAUGGGAUCAUGGAACUACAAAUGAUUGAAAUUGGAAUUUCAUCAGAAGUUUUAUCCUAUGCAUCUUGUUCAUCGUGAUCGCAAUUAUAUUUAUAAUUUUUAGCCUCGCGAAGGAGAAAGCAUCGCUCAAGCUUGGGCGAGGCUUAAAUCAAUGUUAUAUUCAUGCCCCAAUCAUGAGCUCCCAAGAGAAAUAAUUAUUCAAAACUUUUAUGCUCGGCUUUCUGAUAACAAUCGCACCAUGCUCGAUACUUCUUGUGCUGGCCCUUUUAUGAUGAAGACUAUUGAAUUCAAAUGGGAUUUAUUGGAAAGAAUUAAACACAAUUCUCAAGAUUGGGACCUCGACGAAGGUAAGGAGUCAGGUAUGACACCUAAGUUUGAUUGUGUUAAAUCUUUUAUGGAUACCGAUGUUUUCCGUAAAUUUAGCACUAAAUAUGGACUUGACUCUGAGAUAGUAGCUUCUUUCUGUGAAUCUUUUGCUACUCAUGUUGAUCUCCCUAAGGAGUAGUGGUUUAAAUAUCAUCCUCCCAUAGAAAUAAAAGUAGCUGCACCUAUUAAAGUUGAAGAAAAGACUAUCACUUAUACCGAUCCUUUUGUUCCUACUGCUUACGUUGAGAAACCACCUUUUCCUGUUAGGAUAAAAGAUCAUCCUAAAGCUUCAACUGUGGUUCGUAAAAGCAAUAUUAGAACCUAUACACCUCCUGAGCAAGUUAAAGUUGAACCUAAUAUUGCUAUAUUUAAAGAUCUCUUGGCUGAUAAUAUUGAUGGGCAUGUUAUUUAUUUCUGUGAUGAAACUGCUAAAAUUGCUAAACCGUGUGCUAAAGAUAAACAUAGACCUGUGGUAGGCAUGCCUGUUAUUUCUGUUAAAAUAGGAGAUCAUUGUUAUCAUGGCUUGUGUGAUAUGGGUGCUAGUGCUAGUGCUAUACCUCAUGACUUAUACAAAGAAAUUAUGCAUGAUAUUGCACCUGCUGAGAUAGAAGAUAUUGAUGUCACAAUUAAACUUGCUAAUAGAGAUACUAUAUCACCAAUUGGAAUUGUUAGAGAUGUUGAAGUCUUGUGUGGGAAAACUAAGUAUCCUACUGAUUUUCUUGUUCUUGGUUCCCCAGAAGAUAGCUUUUGCCCCAUUAUAUUUGGUAGACCCUUCUUAAACACUGUUAAUGCUAAGAUAGACUCCGAAAAGGAUGUUGUUACUAUUGGUUUGGGUGAUAUGUCUCAUGACUUUAAUUUCUCUAAAUUUCGUAGACAACAUCGUGAAGAGGAAUUGCCUAGUAAAGAUGAAAUUAUUGCUCUUGCUUCUAUUGUCGUACCUCCUAGUGAUCCUUUAGAACAAUAUUUCCUAGACCAUGAAAAUGAUAUGUUUAUGAAUGAAAGAAGGGAAAUAGAUGAAGUAUUCUUUAAACAGGAACCCAUCCUGAAACACAAUUUGCCUGUUGAAAUCCUAGGGGAUCCUCCUCCACCCAGGGGUGAUCCCGUGUUUGAGCUUAAACCAUUGCCUGAUAGUCUUAAAUAUGCUUAUCUCGAUGAGAAGAAGAUAUAUCCUGUUAUUAUUAGUGCUAACCUUUCAGAGCAUGAAGAAGAGAGAUUAUUGAAAACUCUGAAGAAGCACCGAGCUUCUAUUGGAUAUACUCUUGAUGAUCUUAAGGGCAUUAGUCCCACUCUAUGUCAACACAAAAUAAAUUUGGAGAAAGAUGCCAAACCAUUUCGUGAUCACCAACGACGGCUGAAUCCUAAGAUGGAAGAAGUGGUAAGAAAGGAAAUACUAAAGCUCCUUGAGGCAGGUAUAAUUUACCCCGUUGCUGAUAGUUAGUGGGUAAGUCCUGUCCAUUGUGUCCCUAAGAAGGGAGGUAUUACUGUCGUUCCUAAUGAUAAAGAUGAAUUGAUUCCGCAAAGAAUUAUUACAGGUUAUAGGAUGGUAAUUGAUUUCCGCAAAUUAAAUAAAGCUACUAAAAAGGAUCAUUACCCCUUACCUUUUAUUGAUCAAAUGCUAGAAAGAUUAUUCAAACAUACACAUUUUUGCUUUCUAGAUGGUUAUUCUGGUUUCUCGCAAAUACCCGUGUCAGCCUAUGAUCAAUCAAAGACCACUUUGACUUGCCCUUUCGGUACUUUUGCUUAUAGACGUAUGCCUUUUGCUACCUUUCAAAGAUGCAUGAUGGCUAUAUUCUCUGACUUUUGUGAAAAGAUUUGUGAGGUUUUCAUGGACGAUUUCUCCGUCUAUGGAUCCUCUUUUGAUGAUUGCUUAAGCAACCUUGAUCGAGUUUUGCAGAGAUGUGAAGAAACUAACCUUGUCUUGAAUUGGGAGAAGUGCCACUUUAUGGUUAAUGAAGGUAUUGUCUUGGGGCAUAAUGUUUCUGAAAGAGGUAUUGAAGUUGAUAAAGCCAAGGUUGAUGCUAUUGAGAAGAUGCCAUGUCCCAAGGACAUCAAAGGUAUAAGAAGUUUCCUAGGUCAUGCCAGUUUUUAUAGGAGGUUCAUUAAGGACUUCUCAAAAAUUUCUCGGCCUCUCACUAAUUUAUUACAAAAAGAUGUACCCUUUGUCUUUGAUGAUGAUUGUGUAGAAGCAUUUGAAAUACUUAAGAAAGCAUUGAUCACUGCACCUAUCGUUCAGCCACCUGAUUGGAAUUUACCUUUUGAAAUUAUGUGUGAUGCUAGUGAUUACGCUGUAGGUGCUAUUCUAGGGCAAAGAGUUGAUAAGAAAUUAAAUGUUAUUCAAUAUGCUAGUAAGACUCUAGACAAUGCCUAGAUAAAUUAUGCUACUACUGAAAAAGAAUUCUUAGCAGUUGUAUUUGCCUAUGAUAAGUUCAGACCUUAUAUUGUUGAUUCUAAAGUAACUAUUCACACGGAUCAUGCUGCUAUUAAAUACCUUAUGGAAAAGAAAGAUGCUAAACCUAGACUUAUUAGAAGGGUUCUCUUGCUACAAGAAUUUGAUUUAUAUAUUAUUGAUAGAAAGGGAGCUGAGAACCCCGUUGCAGACAACUUGUCUAGGUUAGAAAAUGUUCUUGAUGACCCACUACCUAUUGAUGAUAGCUUUCCUGAUGAACAAUUAAAUGUCAUAAAUGUUUCUCGUACUGCUCCAUGGUAUGCUGAUUAUGCUAAUUACAUUGCUGCUAAAGUUAUACCACCUAAUUUCACAUACCAGCAAAAGAAAAAGUUUUUCUAUGAUUGAAGACAUUACUUCUGGGAUGAUCCACAUCUCUAUAAAGAAGGAGUAGAUGGUGUUAUUAGACGUUGUGUACCUGAGCAUGAACAGGAAUAGAUCCUACGCAAGUGUCAUUCCGAAGCUUACGGAGGACACCACGCUGGAGAUAGAACCGCACAUAAGGUAUUGCAAUCCCGUUUUUAUUGGCCUACUCUCUUCAAGGAUGCCCGUAAGUUUGUCUUGUCUUGUGAUGAAUGUCAAAGAAUAGGUAAUAUUAGUAGACGUCAAGAAAUGCCUAUGAAUUAUUCACUUCUUAUUGAACCAUUCGAUGUUUGGGGCUUUGAUUAUAUGGGACCGUUUCCUGCCUCUAAUGGAUACACACAUAUUCCAGUUGCUAUUGAUUACGUUACUAAGUGGCUAGAAGCUAUUCCAACUAGUAGUGCUGAUCAUAACACCUCUAUUAAUAUGCUUAAAGAAGUGAUUUUUCCAAGGUUUGGAGUCCCUAGAUAUUUAAUGACUGAUGGUGGUUCACAUUUUAUUUAUGGUGCUUUCCGUAAAAUGCUUGCUAAGUAUGAGGUUAGUCGUAGAAUUGCAUCCCCUUAUCACCCACAGUCUAGUGGUCAAGUAGAAUUGAGUAAUAGAGAACUCAAAUUAAUUUUGCAAAAGACUGUUAAUAGAUCUAGAAAGAAUUGGUCCAAGAAACUUGAUGAUGCAUUAUGGGCCUAUAGAACUGCAUAUAAAAAUCCUAUGGGUAUGUCUCCGUAUAAAAUGGUUUAUGGAAAAGCAUGUCACUUACCUCUCGAGCUAGAACAUAAGGCUUAUUGGGCUAUUAAGGAGCUCAAUUAUGAUUUCAAACUUGCUGGUGAGAAGAGGUUAUUUGACAUUGGCUCACUUGAUGAAUGGAGAACCCAAGCCUAUGAGAAUGCCAAGUUGUUUAAAGAAAAAGUUAAAAGAUGGCAUGACAAAAGAAUACAAAAGCGUGAGUUUAAUGUAGGCGAUUAUGUAUUACUAUACAACUCUCGUUUGAGAUUUUUUGCAGGAAAACUUCUCUCUAAAUGGGAAGGUCCAUACGUUAUCGAGGAGGUCUAUCGUUCCGGUGCUAGAAAAAUCAACAACUUCGAAGGCACAAAUCCGAAGGUGGUAAACGGCCAAAGAAUCAAACAUUAUAUCUCAGGUAAUCCUAUAAAUGUUGAAACCAAUGUUAUUGAAACCGUAACCCCGGAGGAAUACAUAAGGGACACUUUCCAGAACGUUUCAGACUCUGAAAAGGAAUACGUAUGUGGUACAGUAAGUAAACCGACUCCAAAACAGUUCUAAAGGCAUUUUUUCUCCGUUUGGGAAUAUUUAGAAAAAUAAGAUGCAGUCCGGGAAGGACACGAGGGCUCCACGAGGGUGGAGGGCGCGCCCCCUGCCUCGUGGGCACCUCGUGUGCUCUCCGGACUCCGUUUUUUUGCACGAUACGUAUUUUGGUCGGUAAAAAUUCAUCAUAUAAUCUCCCAAAGGUUUUGACUCCUCUAUCACGCAAAUAUCCUCUAUUUUCUGUUUCGAGUUGUUUCUGUAGCAGGUUUGGAGCAAGAUGUCAUCUCAGGAUUCCGACGGAGAGAGCUAUGUCUCACACUUCGUUGUUGACCCAAAGACCUAUGGGGAUCUAUCUCCUUGUGGUCGAACUACGGAUGAGGAGGAGGAUGCUCAUUUGAUGAGGAUCAAUGAUUCAAGUUCGGAGGAGGAGGAUAUCCCUCUACCUCAACCUGGGGAUAUGCACGUGAAGUUCAAGAAAUCUAGUCUUCCCAAGAGGGCUAAACUAUGUAACAACCGAUCUAUUCCUUCUCGUUUCGACAGAAGAGCAAGGGAGAUUUAUGUGACAGGAUCUUGAAGCUGGAAUCGGAGGUCGAUGAUUUAAAGGAGGAAAUUGCUCUCCUCAAUUACAAUAUAAAGAAGCUGAAAGCACAAUUUACAUCAUCAACAACUCUGUCAUCAUCACCUCCGAACAAGGAGACAUAAUCACAUGGGUAUGGGCACUCCCCUUGGCAACUGCCAAGCUUGGGGGAGGUGCCCCGAUAUCUUUACCGUUUUUCUUAGUUCGAUCCUAUUAGUAGUAUCUUGAUCUAGUAGAAUAUAUUUUAUGGCAUGAUCUAGUUUUGAGUUUUGCUUUAUGAUCCCUCUAUGUAACCGAGGCCGUGAGCUAUAUAAUAAAGAUUAGUGUUCAGUCAAGGGCUUGAUUAUUUUGCCAUGAUCUUGAGUGAAUAAAAGAAAAGAGAAAAGAAUAAAAAGAAACAAAGAGAUCAUAUUGAUCUUAUGGAGAGUAAUGACUUCACAUGGAAAGAGUAUGAUGAUUAAAUUUUUUUGGGAGUUGACAAACAUAGCUUUGGUCAUCGUUGCAAUUAAUACGAAGUAAUAAAGAAAGAGAGGUUUCACAUAUAAAUAUACUAUCUUGGACAUCUUUUAUGAUUGGGAGCACUCAUUAAAAUAUGACAUGCUAAAGAGUUGAUGUUGGACAAGGAAGACAACGUAAUGGGUUAUGUUUUCUUAUAUCUGAGUUAAAGUAUAUUGUCAUGGAUCAUCCAACAUGUUGAGCUUGUCUUUCCCCCUCUUGCUAGCCAAACUCUUUGCACCAAGUAGAGAUACUACUUGUGCCUCCAAAUACCCUUAAACCAGUUUUGCCAUGAGAGUCCACCAUAUCUACCAAUGGAUUGAGUAAGAUCCUUCAAGUAAGUUUUCAUCGGUGCAAGCAAUAAAAAUUGCUCUCUAAAUAUAUAUGAUUGAUUGGUGUGGAGGAAAUAAGCUUUAUACGAUCUUGUGAUGUGGAAGAAAUAAAAGCGACGGACUACAUAAUAAAGGUUCAUAUCACAAGUGGCAAUAUAAAGUGACGUUCUUUCGCAUUGAUAUUGGCAACCUCUGCUUCCCUCUACGAAGGGCCUAUCUUUUAUUAUUAUCUUCUACGUUAUGCAGGAGUCGUGGUGAUCUUCACCUUUUCUUUUUACGUUUUAUCCUUUGGCAAGCACAGUGUGUUGGAAAGAUCCUGAUAGAUAUAUCUAAUUGGAUGUGAGUUAGCAUGAGCUAUUAUCGUUGACAUUACCCUUGAGGUAAAAGGUUGGGAGGCGAAUCUAUAAGCCCCUAUCUUUCUCCGUGUCCGAUUAAAACUCUGUAACCGUAAGUAUUGCGUGAGUGUUAGCAAUUAUGAAAGACUAAAUGAUAGUUGAGUAUGUGGACUUGCUGAAAUGCUCUGACAUAGACUCUUUCUGAUGUUAUGAUAAAUGGCAAUUGCUUCAAUGACUGAGAUUAUAGUUUGUUAGUUCUCAAUAAAGUUUCUGAUUCAUACUUUGCAUUGUGAAUAGAUUAUUACUUGAGCAUAAGAAAUCAUAUGACAAUAUCCAUAUAUGUUGCUGUUAUAAGAUUAAUCAUGAUGCCCUCAUGUCCGUAUUUUAUUUUAUCGACACCUCUACCUCUAAACAUGUGGACAUAUUUAUCGUUAUCGGCUUCCGCUUGAGGACAAGCGAGGUCUAAGCUUGGGGGAGUUGAUACGUCCAUUUUGCAUCAUGCUUUUAUAUUGAUAUUUAUUGCAUUAUGGGCUGUUAUUACACAUUAUGUCACAAUACUUAUGCCUAUUCUCUCUUAUUUUACAAGGUUUACAUGAAGAGGGAGAAUGCCGGUAGCUGGAAUUCUGGGCUGGAAAAGGAGCAAAUAUUAGAGACCUAUUCUGCACAACUCCAAAAGUCCUGAAACUCCACGAAAGUCCUGCCCCCCUGCCUCGUGGGCCCCCUGUUGCCCCUCCGGUGCCCAUCUUCUGCUAUAUGAAGUCUUUCGUCCGAAGAAAAAUCAUGAGCAAGCUUUCGAGGUGAGACUCCGCCGCCACGAGGCGGAACCAAUCUAGGGCUCCGGCAGAGCUAUUCUGCCGGGGACACUUCCCUCCGGGAGGGGGAAAUCAUCGCCAUCGUCAUCACCAACACUCCUCUCAUCGGGAGAGGGCAAUCUCCAUCAACAUCUUCACUAGCACCAUCUCCUCUCAAACCCUAGUUCAUCUCUUGUAUCCAAUUCUAGUCUCAUAGCCUGGGAUUGGUACCUCUAGGUUGCUAGUAGUGUUGAUUACUCCUUGUAGUUGAUGCUAGUUGGUUUAUUUGGUGGAAGAUCAUAUGUUCAUAUCCUAUAUGCAUAUUAAUACUCCUUUGAUUAUGAACAUGAAUAUGCUUUGUGAGUAGUUACGUUUGUUCCUGAGGACAUGGGAGAAGUCUUGCUAUUAGUAGUCAUGUGAAUUUGGUAUUUGUUCGAUAUUUUGAUGAGAUGUAUGUUGUCUUUCCUCUAGUGGUGUUAUGUGAACGUCGACUACAUGACACUUCACCAUUAUUUGGGCCUAGAGGAAGGCAUUGGGAAGUAAUAAGUAGAUGAUGGGUUGCUAGAGUGACAGAAGCUUAAACCCUAGUUUAUGCGUUGCUUCGUAAGGGGCUGAUUUGGAUCCAUAUGUUUCAUGCUAUGGUUAGGUUUACCUUAGUACUUCUUUUGUAGUUGCGGAUGCUUGCAAUAGGGGUUAAUCAUAAGUGGGAUGCUUGUCCAAGUAAGGACAGCACCCAAGCACCGGUCCACUCACAUAUCAAAUUAUCAAAGUACCGAACGCGAAUCAUAUGAACGUGAUGAAAACUAGCUUGACAAUAAUUCCCAUGUGUCCUCGGGAGCGCUUUUCUCUAUAUAAGAGUUUGUCCAGCCUUGUCCUUUGCUACAAAAAGGAUUGGGACACCUUGCUGCACUUUAUUUACUUUUGUUACUUGUUGCUCGUUACAAAUUACCCUAUCACAAAACUAUCUGUUACCUAUAAUUUCAGUGCUUGCAGAGAAUACCUUGCUGAAAACCGCUUAUCAUUUCCUUCUGCUCCUCGUUGGGUUCGACACUCUUACUUAUCGAAAGGACUACGAUAGAUCCCCUAUACUUGUGGGUCAUCAGGUGCUCAUCCGGUCAAGGCCAGGGCACAAUCGCAGUAGUUCUCCCUUUACUACCCUAGCCGAUGUAGCGGAACGUAGGGUAGCAAGCACAGGAGCCGGGCAACCCAACUAUUGACCAAAGAAAUGAUUCGGCGCCAAUGCAUAUAAUGCUAAAUUCGGGGUGUCGAACUUAUCUAUAAGAAGUGUUUGGGCUAUGCUGCCGUAUUGUGGGGCGACAAGUAGCCCCUAACGAAUAUGAAACGUACAAAAGUCUACCGAUGCAGCCGAUAAGCAUAUCAAAAUAAAAUGAAGUAAGAAGCGAAAACCAUAGAAACUGGGCCACAAACCAUUUUUAUUAUAACUGGAUGGAUACGUCAAGGCGUAUCUUGUACAGACGGUGCGAUAAGUAUCCGGGCUAUUUAGCAUGCCGGAAUCAAUAGGGUGCAGUGUGCGGGUCCUGAGAAAUAAGUAUGAAUACCGUCAAGAAGAACGUAUAGAGGUUACCCUACACACCUGUGCUGCUUGCCUCCGUUGUAUGCCAAUCCUUCGAAAGGACUUGUGAUCAAGCCCGCGGAAAAAGGAACCUGAAACAAGAAGAAAAAGUGAAAGUAUGAGUGUCCUAGAUCGGUCUGGCCGAACUGUAGGUCCCGGAUUAGCUUGUGCCUCCGUCGAUGUCCAUGGAAUUUUGAGUGCGUAAUUGUGUACGCGUGGUACGAGUGCCACUACCUCAUCGGGACUGGGAUAGAGGCUGAAUUGCUAAUUGAGCUCUUGACGAGCCGCGCCUUCCUAUUGCAGUGUAGUCCGGAACCUCUUAAUGACGUCCGAGGGCUCGACAGCCGUACUAUGGUGCUGCUUGUGAAGGCCGCUCUGUACUUCUGCUGCUAGGGCGGCGGUGUGCUCCUCUGUUCGGAGGGAGCGCUCCGUAUUGCCAUUGACUGUUAUGACGCCGCGUGGACCGGGCAUCUUAAGCUUGAGAUAAGCAUAGUGUGGCACUGCGUUGAAUCUAGCAAACACGGUUUGUCCGAGCAGUGCGUGAUAGCCACUGCAGAAGGGGACGAUAUCGAACAUUAACUCUUCGCUUCGGAAGUUGUCCGGAGAACCGAAAACUACCUCCAGCGUGAUUGAGUCCGUACAGCGGGCCUCUACGCCUGGUAUGACUCCUUUUAAAGGUAGUCUUUGUUGGUUUGAUUCAUGAGGGGUUAAUGCCCAUCUUCCGCACUGUGUCCUGAUAAAGCAGGUUGAGGCUGCUGCCACCGUCCAUCAGGACUCGUGUUAGGUGAAACCUGUCAAUAAUUGGGUCGAGGACUAGUGCGCCUGAACCGCCAUGGCAGAUACUAGUUGGGUGAUCUCGGUGAUCGAAGGUGAUCGGGAAUGAUGACCACGGUUUGAAUUUGGGGGCGACUGGCUCUACCGCGUAGACGUCCCUAAGUGCUCGCUUGCGCUCCUUUUUGGGGAUGUGUGUAGCGUAUAUCAUGUUCACCGUUUUGACUUGAGGGGGAAAUUUCUUCUGUCCCCCAGUGUUCGGCUGCCGGGGCUCUUCGUCCUCGUCCUCACUUUGUGAUCCCUUUUCUUUGUUUUCAGCGUUUAACUUGCCGGCCUGUUUGAAAACCCAAUGGUCUCGGUUGGUGUGAUUGGCUUGUUUGUCUGGGGUGCCAUGUAUUUGGCACGGACGGUCAAGUAUGCGGUCUAGGCUGGAAGGUCCUUCAUUGUUUCUUUUGUAGGGCUUCUUGCGUUGGCCGGACUUGGAGCCACUGAAUCCGGCGUUAACUGUGGUGUCAUCGGUGUUGUCGCCAUUGCUUCGGCGUUUGUGUCUAUUGCGCCGGAGCUUGCUGGUGCUAUUCUUGGCCUCGGAGGGGCCUGCCUCGCUGGCUGUGUUCUUGCUACGAGCCAGCCAGUUGUCCUCACCCACGCAAAAGCGGGUCAUGAGUCCCGUAAGGGCUACAAUAGACUUCGGCUUUUCUUGGACGAGGUGGCGUGCUAGCCAUUCGUCACGGAUGCUGUGUUUGAAGGCUGCUAGGGCCUCGGCAUCCGGACAGUCAACGAUCUGGUUCUUUUUGGUUAGGAACCUAGUCCAGAAUUUUCUGGCUGAUUCUCCAGGUUGUUGAACUAUGUGGCUUAAGUCGUCGGCGUCUGGUGGCCGGACAUAGGUUCCUUGGAAGUUAUCUAGGAAGGCUUCUUCCAAGUCCUCCCAGCUGCCGAUAGAAUUUUCAGGCAGGUUGUUAAGCCAAUGUCGAGCUGGCCCUUUGAGCUUUAGUGGGAGGUAUUUAAUGGCGUGAAGGUCAUAUCCUCUAGCCAUAUGGAUGUGGAGAAUGAAAUCCUCGAUCCAUACUGCAGGAUCGGUUGUGCCGUCGUAUGAUUCGAUAUUGACAGGCUUGAACCCCUCGGGGAAUUCAUGAUUCAGUACCUCAUCUGUGAAGCAGAGAGGGUGUGCGGCGCCUCUAUAUCGGGCCGCAUCGCGGCGUAGCUCUGAUGGAGUCCGUCUGCAGCAUUCGGCCCGGGCGUGCUUAUGUUUGUCACGUCCGAAUAGGUAGCCGUCGUCGUGCCUCAAGGCGCGUCCUCGCGAUCCGUAGAUCGAUCUUGUAUGUCCUGCUCUACUGUCCAGGGUCUGCCGGAGGUCGUACGUGUGACCCCGAACUCUUCCGUCUCUAUUUUUAUGGGGCGGUGGGGCAGGCUGCUGUUCGGCCUGUGUUGCCGCUUUAUCCCGACCGCGGGGUGGCCGGUCGGCCGCCCUGUCUCGACCAUGUGGUUGUCGCUCUGCAUUACGCGAGGGAGAUAUGUGCUCCGGUGCCUCCACAUCAAAUUGAGGCAGCAGUCUGUGUUUCGGGUAGCUCUUGGCUGGGUGCUUGAGGCCGUAUUCUUCGGCUGUCAGGACAUUGGUCCAUCUGUCGACGAGCAAAUCUUGUUCAGCUUGAAGCUGCUGAUGUUUCUUUUUCAGGCUCCUUGAAGUGGCUAUGAGCUGAAGCUCAAAGCGCUCCUGCUCCAGAGAAUCCUCAGGCAUGAUGAAAUCUUCGUUGCCGAGGCUUGUCUCCUCCUCGGAGGGUGGACGGUAGCUAUCGUCCUACGAGUCAUCUUCUAUGGUCUGUUCAUCAGGGUUAUCUUGCCUGUUGUCAUCUUCCUCCUAUUCGGAUGCAGCUCCGACAGGGUCUUCAUUGUUUUCGGCGUCGCCCGAUAUACUAUUUUCUCCGGUGCCAGUGUCGCCAUCCUUUGAGCGACGGGGCAUAGAACGGCGUUUGGGCCGUCGGCGCUUGGACUGCGUCUCAGAGGGUAUAUUCGUAUCUGGCUCUUCUUUGUCGUCGCCAGAUCCUUUAGGUGUAUCAACCAUGUACACGUCGUACGAAGAGGUGGCCGUCCAACGUCCAGUGAACGGCGGGUCUUGGCCUUGCUCCUUGUCAGCAUCGUCGUCCAUACCGUCGAUGUCUUCGGAGCCGUAGUCAAGCACGUCGGUUAAGUCAUCGACAGUGGCUAUGAAGUGGGUGGCGGGUGGGAAGCAAACUUCCUCCUCAUCCGCCUCUAGCUCGAACCGAACAUAGUUCGGCUGUGAGUCUUCCUCCAAGGACAAGUUCUUUAAAGAGUUUAGCACGUCACCAAAAGGUGAGUGCUGGAAGAUGUCUGCGGCGCUGAAUUCGAAAAUCGAUAACCGAUCCAGCUCGGUGUCCGCAGGCGUAUCUGGUCCGGAACUUAUAGCCGGAGACGAGUCCGGAGUUCCAUUGACGCAAUCAUUGCAGGAUGUCGAGUCCAUGUGUGGCUCCAACGCCGCGGAUUUUGUGGCCUUGGAGGGCACGAUCUGCUUCGGUUCUAAGGCCGCUGCAGCGAUAGGAACCAUCUCCUGGAUGUGAUCCGAUGACAGAUCUAAGUCACGUUCAUCGGGGCGAGGGGGAGCGAUUGCCGCGGUCCCAAACCCGCUGAAGAUCAAGUCUCCACGGGUAUCCGCGAUGUAAUUCAAGCUUCCGAAUCUGAACUGAUGGCCAGGGGCAUAGCUAUCGACUUGCUCCAGAUGGCCAAGGGAGUUGGCCCGCAGUACGAAGCCGCCGAACACAAAAAUCUGUCCGGGGAGGAAGGUUUCUCCUUGGACAGCGUCCCUAUCAACGAUUGAAGGAGCCAUCGAACCUUUAGUCGAUGGCACAGUGGAACUCUCAAUGAAAGCACCAAUGUCGGUGUCAAAACCGGCGGAUCUCGGGUAGGGGGUCCCGAACUAUGCGUCUAGGAUCGAUGGUAACAGGAGAAGGGGGACACGAUGUUUACCCAGGUUUGGGCCCUCUCUAUGGAGGUAAUACCCUACUUCCUGCUUGAUUGAUCUUGAUGAAUAUGAGUGUUACAAGAGUUGAUCUACCACGAGAUCGUAAUAGCUAAACCCUAGAAGCCUAGCCUGUAUAACUAUGGUAAUGUGUAUAUGUCUAUCCAAACUACGCUCUCCGGUUUAUAUAGACACCGGAGAGAUCUAUGGUUACAUGGGGUCGGUUACAUAAGAAGGAAUCUUCAUAAUUGGUCUCCUAGCUUGCCUUCCACGCCAAGGAUAGUCCAAUCCGGAAACGGGUAUAGUCUUCGGCCUUCAUAUCUUCACAGCCCAUCAGUCCGGCCCAAUGAAUAACAGGUCGGACGCCCGAGGACCCCUUAGUCCAGGACUCACUCAACCCUCGAACCCUAGGCCCCUCGACGACCCUUGAACCCUCAAACCCUUGGUGACCCUCGAACCUCUACCCUAAUUCCCGACCCUCGCCCCUCGAACCCUCGGCGACACCCCCCCUCCUCAUGUCGAAGUUAUCGGGGAGGGGGUAUAUCGACCCCCCCCCCAUGUAAGAAGAGGAAAAAAGAUCGAUGAAGAAAAAAGAGGAGAAGAAGAAAGGAAUAGGGGAGAAGAUCAAAGAAAAAAAAUAAGAAAAAAGGGAGGAGAAGAAAGGAAUAGAGGAGAAGAAGAAAAAAAUAUAAUUCUCCUAUUUUUUCUUCUUCUUUUUUUUCUCUUCUUCUUUUUCUCUCCUCUUCUUCCUCUCCUCUUCUUCUCCUUUCUUCUUCUCCUUCUUCCUCUUCUUAUUUCCCUUUUUCCACUCCUUCUUUUUCUUCUUCUUCUUCCUUCUUCCUUCUUCCUCUUUUCUUCCUUUUCCUUAUUUUAUUUUUUCCUCUACACAAACCUAAAAUGCACUAACCUAAAAUUGAUAUCUACUAAUUACAACCUAAAUAAAAAAAUUAAUACAUAUAUGAAAAAAACAUCAUAAGAAAUAAAACAUCAUAUGCACAAAAAAACAUCAUAUGAAAAAAACAUCAUAUCAACAUCAUCACAUAUAUGAAAAAAACAUCAGAAGGCCGCCGGACCGUAGGGCGGCGCAGCGACGGUGUCGGGGCAGUGGUGGCGCGGGGCGGUGAUGGCGUCGGGGCUGCGACGGCGUCGGGGCGACGCGGGGAGGCGCGGGGAGGUGACGGUGCGNNNNNNNNNNNNNNNNNNNNNNNNNNNNNNNNNNNNNNNNNNNNNNNNNNNNNNNNNNNNNNNNNNNNNNNNNNNNNNNNNNNNNNNNNNNNNNNNNNNNNNNNNNNNNNNNNNNNNNNNNNNNNNNNNNNNNNNNNNNNNNNNNNNNNNNNNNNNNNNNNNNNNNNNNNNNNNNNNNNNNNNNNNNNNNNNNNNNNNNNNNNNNNNNNNNNNNNNNNNNNNNNNNNNNNNNNNNNNNNNNNNNNNNNNNNNNNNNNNNNNNNNNNNNNNNNNNNNNNNNNNNNNNNNNNNNNNNNNNNNNNNNNNNNNNNNNNNNNNNNNNNNNNNNNNNNNNNNNNNNNNNNNNNNNNNNNNNNNNNNNNNNNNNNNNNNNNNNNNNNNNNNNNNNNNNNNNNNNNNNNNNNNNNNNNNNNNNNNNNNNNNNNNNNNNNNNNNNNNNNNNNNNNNNNNNNNNNNNNNNNNNNNNNGACGGCCUCGACGGGGCGAGCUCAGGCUGCCUGGCGGCGGCGGCUGGGCGGGGCAACUGCAGAGAUGAAAAUGAAAAACGCUAAGUGUUUGCUUAUAUAGCAAAGCCAUUGGUACCAGUUCGUGGCACCAACCAGGACCAAUGCACACCUUUAGUCCCGGUUGGUGGCAUCAACCGGGACCAAAGGUCUCUUUUCAGCAGCCCAAAGGGCGGGAAGCAGAGGCCUUUGGUCCCGGGACCAAAGGCCUUGUGCUGCCCGCGCCAAAAGUUUAGUCCCACCUCGCUUGCUGAGAGAGCUCGAGAGUGGUUUAUAAGCGCUGCUGCACCCACCCUCUCGAGCACCUCUCAAUUGCAGGCUUUCGGGCCUAACCUGUCACUGUGCCUGUGGGCCUACUGGGCCUGUUGCGGGCCUGAAUCUUGGGCCAUGAUUGAGUUUCUAGUCGUAUUCAGGCCGUGGUGGCCCAGUAGGUGGUACUUUUUUUGUUUUCUUUGUUGCUUUAUUUAUUUUAUUUUGUUUCUACUUACAAAAAAAUACUUACUGUUGCUAUUUUAUUUUGUUCCUACUUAUUUAUUAAAGUUUAUUUUGUUUCUACUUAUUUAUUUUAUUUGGUUUCUUGCUUUUAUUGAUUUCAUGAAAAUUCUUUUUUGCUUUUAAUGUUUUGAACACAAAAUACUUUGAAAAUUUUAGUUGCAAAUUUUUUAUAUAAUUUUAGUUUCAAUAAUAGUAGAGGUUUAUAAAAGCUUUUUAGUCGAUUCCUUUAGUACCGGUUCUAAGGCUGUUACAAAGGCAUUUCAUUUAGUACCGGUUCUAAGGCUCCCCACGAGAACCUUUAAUACCUGUUCGCGGCAUGAACCGGUAAUAGAGUUUUUUAAUUGAUUCUUUCUGCAGCUGGUUUUUAGUCCCACCUAGCCAAGCGAGAGGCACUCGCAGCGGUUUAUAAACCCUGAGUGCAGAGACGAUAUGAAGGAGAGGCGCAAUGCUCACCUGCACGUUGCUUAGCUUCAGGCCUUGAGGAAGUGGUGUAGACUGCACGGAGCUAUCAGGGUUUCGGACGAAAACUACACAUAGCUCCGUGCAGUCUACACUAUUUUCUCAAGGCCUGAAGCUAAGCAACGUGCAGGUGAGCAUUGCGCCUCUCUUUUAUUUUGAGCAUUGCACCAUCCAAAGCCACAUCAUCAAUUUUCAACCCUUUCUGACUUCAUUUGUUAUUUUUCAUGCAUUUACUGAUUUUUUUUGAGCUAUAAGACCCUAAAAUUCGAAAGCAUUUCAAAUGAACUCUGAAAAGGUUGAAAGUUGGCAUGGUAUCAUCAUUUCACCCACAUAGCAUGUGCUAAAAAGUUGAGAGGGUUACGGCACAAACUGGAUGCACUUCGUGUACAAAAUGGACAAUCUCUUUCGAAGUAUCAGGGUUUCAGACAAAAACUCAUCUGUUACAAAAGGCAUUUCAUUUCUUCACAUGUAACUGCAGGGAUAUUCUAGAUCAAAGGCAUCAUCAUAAUAGUUGUGGAGAGAAAAUCUUCACUUUUUCUUCGCUUGUGUGCUUUGCGUAUUGCGCCGUAACCAUGGAUAAUCUUCAUCGUUUAACAGGGUGCUUGGGUCAGCCUUGACUUUGAAGGGAGGAAUUUCAUGAAACUUUUCAUAACCUUCAGACAUGUCUGUCUUGCCCUCCACUCCCACGAUGUCUCUUUUUCCUGAAAGAACUAUGUGGCGCUUUGGCUCAUCGUAUAAUGUAUUCGCUUCCUUAUCUUUUCUUUUUCUCAGUUUGGUAGACAUAUCCUUCACAUAGAAAACCUGCGCCACAUCAUUGGCUAGGACGAACGGUUCGUCAGUGCACCCAAGAUUGUUCAGAUCCACUGUUGUCAUUCCGUACUGUGGGUCUACCUGUACCCCGCCUCCUGACAGAUUGACCCAUUUGCACUUAAACAAAGGGACCUUAAAAUCAUGUCCGUAGUCAAGUUCCCAUAUGUUCACUAUGUAACCAUAAUAUGUGUCAUUUCCCCUCUUGGUUGCUGCAUCAAAGCGGACACCGCUGUUUUGGUUGGUGCUCUUUUGAUCUUGGGCGAUCGUGUAAAAUGUAUUCCCAUUUAUCUCGUAUCCUUUGUAAGUCAAUACAGUCGAAGAUGGUCCCCUGGGCAACGAGUACAGGUCAUCACAAACAGUGUUGUCACCUCUGAGACGUGUAUCCAACCAACUGCUGAAAGUCCUGAUGUGUUCACGUGUAAUCCAGUCGUCACACUGCUCCGGGUGUUUGGAGCGCAGACUAUUCUUGUGUUCAUUGACAUACGGGGUCACCAAGGUAGAGUUCUGUAGAACUGUGUGGUGUGCUUGAGACCAAGAAUGCCUGUACCUGCAUAUUAUUGACUCCCCUCCAAGCAUGCCUUUUCCAGUCAGUCUCCCCUCAUACCGCGAUUUAGGGAGACCUAUCUUCUUAAGGCUAGGAAUGAAGUCAACACAAAACCCAAUGACAUCCUCUGUUUGAUGGCCCAUGGAGAUGCUUCCUUCUGGACUAGCGCGGUUACGGACAUAUUUCUUUAGGACUCCCAUGAACCUCUCAAAGGGGAACAUAUUGUGUAGAAAUACGGGGCCCAAAAUGACAAUCUACUAGGACGUGCGUCAUGAUAUUGAAGAAGGAUGGUGGGAACACCAGCUCGAAACUGACAAGACAUUGCGCCACAACACCCCUUAGCCUUGGUAUGAUUUCUGGAUCGAUCAUCUUCUGAGAGAUUGCAUUGAGGAAUGCACAUAGCUUCACAAUUGCUAAUCCGACGUUUUCCGGUAGAAGCCCCCUCAAUGCAACCGGAAGCAGUUGAGUCAUAAUCACGUGGCAGUCAUGAGACUUUAGGUUCUGGAACUUUUUCUCUGGCAUAUUUAUUAUUCCCUUUUUAUUCGACGAGAACCAAGAUGGGACCUUCAUACUGAGCAGGCAUUCAAAGGAGAUUUCCUUCUCUUCUUUGGUAAGAGCGUAGCUGGGAGGACCUUCAUACUGCUUUGGAGGCAUGCUGUCUUUUUCGUGCAAACGUUGCAGGUCCUCCCGUGCCUCCGGUGUAUCUUUUGUCGUCCCAUACACGCCCAAGAAGCCUAGCAGGUUCAUGCAAAGGUUCUCCGUCACGUGCAUCACGUCGAUUGAAGAGCGGACCUCUAGGUCUUUCCAGUAGGGUAGGUCCCAAAAUAUAGAUUUCUUCUUCCACAUGGGUGUGUGUCCCUCAGCGUCAUUCGGAACAGAUAGUCCGCCGGGACCCUUUCCAAAGAUUACAUGUAAAUCAUUGACCAUAGCAAGUACGUGAUCACCGGUACGCAUGGCGGGCUUCUUCCGGUGAUAUGCCUCGCCUUUGAAAUGCUUGCCUUUCUUUCUAUAUUGAUGGUUGGUCAGAAGAAAUCGACGAUGGCCCAGGUACACAUUCUUCCUCCAUUUGUCCAGGUAUAUACUUUCAGUGUCAGCUAAACAGUGCGUGCAUGGCCUUGUAUCCCUUGUUUGUCUGUCCUAAAAGGUUACUGAGAGCGGGCCAAUCGUUGAUGAUUACAAACAGCAACGCGUGCAGGUCAAAUUCCUCCUGUUUGUGCUCAUCCCACACACGUACACCGUUUCCAUUCCACAGUUGUAAAAGUUCUUCAACUAAUGGCCUUAGGUACACAUCAAUGUCGUUGCCAGGUUGCUUAGGGCCUUGGAUGACAACUGGCAUCAUAAUGAACUUCCGCUUCAUGCACAUCCAAGGAGGAAGGUUAUACAUAAAUAGAGUCACGAGCCAGGUGCUGUGAUUUCUGCUCUGCUCCCCGAAAGGAUUAAUGCCAUCCGCGCUUAAACCAAACCAUACGUUCCUUGGGUCACCUGCAAACUCAGCCCAGUACUUUCUCUCGAUUUUUCUCCACUGCGACCCGUCAGCAGGUGCUCUCAACUUCCCGUCUUUCUUACGGUCCUCUCUGUGCCAUCGCAUCAACUUGGCAUGCUCUUCGUUUCUGAACAGACGUUUCAACCGUGGUAUUAUAGGAGCAUACCACAUCACCUUCGCAGGAACCCUCUUCCUGGGAGGCUCGCCGUCAACAUCACCAGGGUCAUCUCGUCUGAUCUUAUACCGCAAUGCACCGCAUACCGGGCAUGCGUUCAAAUUCUCGUACGCACCACGGUAGAGGAUGCAGCCAUUAGCGCAUGCAUGUAUCUUCCGCACCUCCAAUCCUAGAGGGCAUACGACCUUCUUUGUUGCGUACGUACUGUCGGGCAAUUCGUUAUCCUUUGGAAGCUUCUUCUUCAAUAUUUUCAGUAGCUUCUCAAAUCCUUUAUCAGGCACAGCAUUCCCUGCCUUCCACUGCAACAAUUCCAGUACGGUACCGAGCUUUGUGUUGCCAUCUUCGCAAUUGGGGUACAACCCUUUUUGUGAUCCUCUAACAUGCGAUCGAACUUCAGCUUCUCCUUUUGACUCUCGCACUGUGUCCUUGCAUCAACAAUGACCCGGCGGAAAUCAUUAUCAUCGGGCACAUCGUCUGGUUCCUCUUGACUUCAGCAGCUUCCCCCGUUGCAGCAUCACCGUAUUCAGGGGGCACAUAGUUGUCAUCGUCAUCUUCUUCUUCGCUGUCUUCCAUCAUAACCCCUAUUUCUCCGUACUUCGUCCAAACAUUAUAGUGUGGCAUGAAACCCUUACAAAGCAGGUGGGUGAGAAGGAUUUUCGGGUCAGAGUAAGACUUCGUAUUCCCACAAUUAGGGCAUGGAAAACACAUAAAACCAUUCUGCUUGCUUGCCUCAACCACUUCGAGAAUAUUAUGCAGGCCCUUAAUGUACUCGGAGGUGUGUCUGUCACCGUACAUCCAUUGCUGGUUCAUCUGCGUGUAUUAUAUAUAGUUAUGUGUGUCAAAAACCAUUACAGAUACAUGGAUAGAUAAGUGACCAAAUAGUUAUAAAAGAUAAUAUAUAUACCACAUCCAAAUAGUUAUGUGUGUCAAAAACCAUUACAGAUCGCAUUGUAUAAUAACAAGCAAUAAUAAAAGUAAAAAAAUUAGACAAGUAUCUAUCUAAAGUGCAGGCGUGCCCCCUGCGCCCCCGCUCCCCCUUCCCCCAAGGCCGGCCCUGGGUGCAGGCGUGCAAUUGCUGUAUGAGUCGAGGUCCGAACUCUUGCGGUUGGUCACGACCAGCACCAUGAGCGCUGCCGGACAGAGCCCUGCGGCUACGACCAGGCCACUAGUACCGUCGUGCGGCGUUUCCUGGCGCCUGCACCAUCGAUGGCACAACCUACGCAGGAGACACAUGCCGCGGCGAGUACUCAACAUGUGGCACAUAGCCACAGGCUCGUCUCCGGCGGAACACACUGCUGUGGCUGCGGGCACUUUUGCCGAUAAGGCUGCAACAGUUGGUACUACCUCCGAGGCUCACGCUCAGCUCGCGCUCAUUAGUUUCCACAGCUCCUUCGAUUCCAUUCAUCCAGAAUGUGUAUAUACGUAGAGCUGGUUGAUUUCACGACCGUGUAUUUCUUGUUGCGUUGUUUUGAGGUUCGGCCAAAGAGACGAGAGAUUGAGAAUUAAAAAAAUACUCCGUUCUUAGACCAAACUUUGGGUAAAUCAACUUUUAAAUCUCAGCCGUUAAUCUUUAUGGUUAACAUAAAAUCAAGGAUAUAAAAAGAGGACCGUAAAGAGAUGACGUAUGGAGAAUUAUGAAAGCCUCCGUCUUUUAAUAUUAUUAGGUAAAGACGUGCAUGCCGAUCAUGUGCUUAGACAGAUCUAAGCCAGCUAUUUUGUAGGAAUCUCAUAGGUCUGAUGCCUGCAAAAACCACCAGCUCUUGACUGACUUAUUAGAACAAAAUCAUUCCACGCCGGCGUCCACAGCAAAUGUUCAUACGAAAUUUAAGUGGCAGAGCUAAGGUGACGGCUGUGUGGACGAGGGAUAAAAGAGAAGAGGAGGAGGUCUGGUCGGGCAAGGAGAGGAGGGAGGGGGAUAUACGAAUUGGCAUGGGCCGUUGCGGUCUGUGCUACAUGGCGGGUGCAUCCAAACGUUCCAUAUACGCCCCACAUAUGGACCGGUAUGGAUAGUGCCGGCUAGUCCAUGCGUUUGGGCCGGAUUUGCCAAGUCCGCUUGGGUUACAAUUUUACGUCCGAAAAAGCGACCUUGCAGCCCACCCGUGUGUUUGCUGUGGAUAGGGGGUCUGGUUAUAGAUGCUCUUAGCUAUUACACGCAUAGCACGAGAACCUAAUUAAUUGUUGUGUAUUCUCCCCAUAAAGAAAUAUAUGAGCGUUUUAUAUUUCUUUACAGAUGGAGUAGUUUUCACUUGUUGUGCUGCUUGCUACCAAUGGUUCGUUGGGUCAGCUCCUGUAACACUUUGUAACCCCUUCUUUCUAUCGCAAUGAAAGCAGGCUAAUACUGCCUUGCGUCUAAAAACAAUAACUCUAACAUUUAACCCUGAUGUAGCAAAUGGAUCCAAGCCAUUUGCACGUAACCGGAGUUAGGACUGACGACGUCCUUCCUGAAAACGCUUGGUAGUUUGCAUUAUACGUGGAUGCCGAACAUGUGCUUCAGUGGUCAAAUUUUAAGUUGAAACGGAUCCAAGCCAGCAAUUUUGUAGGAACCUCAAUAGAGCUGAUGCCAGCAACAACCACCAGCUCUUGACUGACUUAUUAGAAAAAUUCAUUCCACGCCGGCAUCCAGAGCAAGUGUUCAUACGGAAUUUAAGUUUUUUCUUAGGAAACUCUUCAGCCUCGUCCUUGAGUCUCUUGCAUUAUUUUUUUGCGGGGAUCUCUUGCAAUAUUUUUUACGAGAAAAUUUCUGAUGUAUUCAUCUUUAAUUGUGACAGUACAACAAAUAUCAGAAAUAAUAAAAAUUACAUCUUGAUCCGUAAACCAUCUAGCAACGACUACUUGCAUUCAAACAAGCCGAAGGCGCGCUACUGUUAUCGCCCCUCUCUAGCCGGAGCCACGCAAAACUUGUUGUAGUAGACAGUCAUAAAGUCGUAGUGCUAAGGCUAAUAGGACUAGCGUAUCAGAAUAGCAACCGCCGCCCAUGAAGAGUAGUGUAAGUUGGAAGGAUCCAAGCUGGAAACACAAGAAUGUAGACGAACGAUGAGCAAAUCCAUCAAAGACAGUCCCGCUAGAUACAUACCUCCAGUCCUCCACACGACCACCGACGAUACUAGACGCAUCACUGGGACAUGGGCUUAGCGUGGAGAACCUUAUUUCAUCUUCAAUGAGUCGUCGUCGUCUCGUCUUCCGGAGCAGGACACAAACCCUAACAAAACUCAAAGAAACAUCUAAAAACAAAGCCCUCCUACUAGCAAUGGCCAGAAUCCAUCGUGCCCAUGGCCCUAAGACUACCGGAGACGAGGCGGACUGACACCGGCGCCGACGGGUGGCAGGGGAACCCUAGGAUUUUUUUUAAUUUCUUUGUUUUUGAAGAGGAGGCGGCUGCGUAAGGAUACUUGCAAUAUUAUUAGUUCAUGGUUUAAAUGGAUCCUCCCAGCAAAUCAAAAACUGAAACGGAUCCCUAUGAGACAAUUGCUGGCUAUUGACUGACUGUCAAAUCUAGUAAAGAGCCACUACCUCUUGAUCACAACAACGGGACGCUUGAUUGUUAGCAAUUCAUUCUACGUCGGCGUCCAAACCAAGCGUUCAUACGUGGUUCAUACAUACACGAGUAUAUAUUUAUAGAUCAAGGAUUAAUCCAUGUGGCUGGACGGCUAUUAAUUAAGUCAUUUGUCAUAUCUUAAAUUUGUUAGAGGUCUUACCUGCUACUCCUAAAGUCUAUAUAAACGAAGCUCCGUCCUUUGGCACUUCCACACUUAAGUUGUAGAGCAACAAGUAGUGGCCGGAGGAAUUGAUCAAAGAUCCAUCUCUGAUCUCCAGCUGAUGGAAGGUAUAUCUGUUUUACAGUCCUUCAUCCACUCCAAGCUUUACCUACGUUUCGCGUGCAUGUUAUAGCUAAGAGGUCCACAACUUCGAUCUUAUAUGACUUUGCUAGUUGCCGACGUUUUUUUAAGUAUGUGAAUUGGUGUUGGUUGUAAGCAGGCUUGCCAGUACUACGCCAUCGUCCCAACCGCCAGUCGAGGCCGACGAAGGAACGGCCCAAGGCCCAGCUAGGAGAGCCCGCAAGCCCAACAAACGAGUGGCUGGCGAGGAGUGGGUGAACACGACCCAGGAAGCAUAAAGCAGGGGAUCGCUCUCUGGACAAGGAUCUAAGAUCGAUCAGGCUGGAACGGCACGGCGGCGGCGGCUACCUACUUAGAACCCUAGUUCCUUUCCCUUUUCCUUCCUGUAUUCAGCACUGAUGUGCUUGUAAGAAGAGAAUCCUGUACUCUGAACCACAUACAUACCUGAGACAGUAGUGCAGUCCUAACACUUGGUACUCAGAGCCAGGACCCAAUUUUGCUUCCGCCCUGGCGGCGUCCAUCAUCGAGACACGACAGCAGAGGGCAGACCGACUGCAACGGGAGGCCAUGGAUCCCGUCACCAAGGCCGACCUCAAGGACCUCUUGAAGGAGCUUCGAGCGGAAUGGAGGGAAGACAUCAAGUCUUCGGUCGCUGCGGAAUUCGCAUCCUGGAAGCCUGAGAUCGACUUGAAGAUGGCUGAUCUGCAAGAGGCAGUCGACUUACUCAAGCAGAAGCAAGCGAGCGGCAAGAUCGAUGACGCGGGGGAGGCGUUGGCGCCAGAUCACCCUGAUCUGGUGGCGCGGAAGAGCACUUCGUCUUCGGACGAUUCUCCGGCGCGCGUUUCUCCUCGGGCUGAUGGCCACGGCACUGCCUCACCUCCACGGACGGCAGUUGACGGGCUGUUCAUCAGUCCACCGGCCCCUCCGGCCAACGGUACGGUCCACCCACAACUUCCAUCGUCUGCUGUAGCCACUGCUAUAUCACCAACUACUCCGUCACCAUUUUUUUCCUUGCACGCUCCUAGUCCACCAACCAUACCAUUUCCGUUGUUUGAUGGCGAAAAUCCACUCCUUUGGAAGGAUCUCUGUGAGCAGUACUUUGCUAUCUAUGGUAUUCAGGAGUCCGUUUGGGUCCAGAUGGCUACUCUGAAUUUUCCCCCUACUACAGCAGUGUGGUUACAGUCUGUUAGGAAAAAGGUUAUGGCCUUGAAUUGGGAGGGGUUAUGCAAUUUGCUCUCCACCCGUUUCGGUCGGGAUCGACACCAGCUACUGAUCAGACAAUUCUUUGCCAUUAAGCAAUCUAGCACAGUCCAGGAUUACAUUGAGAGAUUUGAGCAUUUGAUGAACCAAUUGUUAUCAUAUUCUGAUGAAAUUCAUCCUUUCUAUUUUUUGACACGCUUCAUCGGUGGACUUCGGGCGGAUUUGCGAGCAGCGGUCAUGGUCCAACGCCCUGCUGAUUUGGACACAGCCUGUGCUCUCGCCCUGGUCCAGGAGGAGGUGCAAGAUGGAGUGCGACCGGAGAACAUACGUUUUCCGGAGCAAGCUUAUCGACCAGCGCCACGCCUUCCUUUACAGGAAGUUCCUCUUCAUCAACCACGACCACCUACAACACCAGCCGCGGUUGAUCGUCGUGGUGUGGAGGCAGCCCGUGCAGCCCCCGUCGAGCAACCACGUCCGCAACCAGCGGAAGCUAAUCCCCUCAACACCUUACGGGCGUACAGACGAGCUCGUGGGCUCUGUUUCAAGUGUGGCGAGCAUUGGGGACGCGACCACACUUGCCCUGCAACCAUUCAGAUGCAUGUACUAGAGGAACUCAUGGAUUUCUUGGGAGUCACACCGUCAGAGGAAGCAGAGCCGAGCAACACUUCUGACACCACUGAAGAAACAGUGUAUGCAGUCUCUUUACAAGCGUUCAAUGGGAAUGAUUCUUCCAAGUUGUUGCAAUUUAGUGCCACAAUCCAGGGACAAAGUGUGGAAGUAUUAGUGGAUUCUGGGAGCUCAGCGUCCUUUAUCAAUUCUCGUUGUGUGGGGGGACUCCAAGGACUGCAAACUAUGGCCAAACCAGCUCGUGUUAAAGUGGCCAAUGGAGCGGAACUGCAAUGUGAUCAGGAGUUGCUCAACUGCCAAUGGACAGUCCAGAAUCAUCAGUUGUUGGCGUCACUAAAGGUAUUACCACUUGGAGGGUCUGAUGUCAUUGUCGGGAUGGAUUGGUUGGAAGCAUUCAAUCUAGCCAUUGAUUGGAUCAACAAGACUGUCACACUCCAGUCAGAAACUGGUCCCAUCCAAUUGCAAGGCCAUAAGUUCUCCGCAUCAAACUGCCCGCAAAUUUCAUCAGAAGAGCUGCACUUCAUGUGUGUACAGGGAGAAGUGGAUCACCUGGUUUAUGUAUGCUCAAAGGAUGCCAAGCCAGUACAGAAAGGUGCAGAAUCACCGGAUCCACCAGUUGAAAUCCAACACCUCUUGGAUGAGUUCUCAGAAGAGCUGCACUUCAUGUUGUAUGCAUCCUAACUAUGUAGAGGCUGAGUGUGUACUCAUUGUGUUAUGUAUCUUCUUGAUGCUUCAUAUUGAACCAAUAAAAUCCAUCAUUUGUUUAAAGAAAUCCGAGAGAUCCAUGUGCUUUAAUGUUGCAUCACAACUGUGUGCAAAUCAUACCAAACCAUAGGACAUUUGUUCACUCUUUAAGGAAUGCCUGAUUUGCGGUGUUGAUCAAAUGGGAUUCUAAAAAAUGGAAUUAGAAUACAUUUCAGAUUCUUCUGUCUGGUACUCCCUCUUAAUAAGUUAAUAUGAGGCCAUAAAUUAUACCUGAAGGUCGUGCAAGUGCAACUAUGGGAAGCAUGCGAAAAUCCAGAGCAACGACAGUGCAGGAGCUCGCUAACAUCGGCAAGCCCGACGUGCCAGCACAGUACAUGGUGCGCGGUCACCACGACCAUCAGCUCACCACGGCUGUUGCAGAACCAAUCCCUGCCAUUGACCUGCUGCCUUUUCAAGGAGGAUGGUGCAGCCGCUGAUGAGGCAUCAAAGCUUCGGUCAGCGCUCGAGUCAUGGGGCAUCUUCCAUGUAAGUAACAAUUCUAUCAGCAGCUCAGCACUCAGUAUAGUACUUAACCAUUUUGUAGCAAGAUCAAGCAUUCAUAUUCAAGUUACUUCAUGUGUACGUUCCUGCAUGCAGCUCAGUAACCAUGGUAUAGAAGCCACCAUGAUGGACGGCAUGAUGUCCGCGUCGAGGGAGUUUUUCUGGCGGCCACUCGAAGACAAGCAGAGGUACACCAACUUGAUCGGCGGUGAGCAGUUCCAGUUUGAGGGGUACAGAAACGACCGGGUAAGGUCGCCAGACCAGAUCCUGGAUUGGUCUGACCGCCUCUACCUCAAAGUGGGGCCCGAGGAUGAGCGGCACAUCACCCUCUGGCCAACACAUCCCCAAAACUUCAGGUCACUAAUUGAUCUGAGCGAUCUCUUCCCAAAUAUCCAGGCUCAGGGUUUAAGGAUCAUUAGCUCACAUUUUGUCGUGUUUGCAGGGAUGUUCUGCAUGUGUUCACGAAGAAAUGUGGGAGAGUGAAGGAUGACCUGCUCCAGGCAAUGGCAAAGCUGCUGGAUCUUGACAACAACGACUACUUUGUGGACCAGCUUGGGGAGAAAGCUGAAACUAACGUGAGAUGCAGCUACUACCCCCAGUUUCCAAGGCCAGAGCUUGUAUGUGGUCUCAAGCCUCACUGCGAUGGAACCGUUCUUACAAUUCUCAUGGUCGAUGACAGCGUCGGUGGCCUUCAAGUUCUAAGAGAUGGGGUGUGGUGGGAUGUACCGAUCGUACCUCGCACCCUGCUGGUCAUUAUAGGAGAUCAGACUGAGGUGCACCUUUCCUAAUUAAGUAACUUUGUUCUGUCAGGUUAGAACACUAGUUUUUCUUGUCGCAAAAAGAAGAAGUUAGUUUAUGAUGAAAAAUACCUUCAUAAUAUAACAAAUUUAUAGCCUUUCCAAGCAUAUCCAUAUAAAACACAACAAUCAAAGUUACACGCUGGGUAGUUGAAAGAAAAAAUCAUUUUGUUGAAAGUUUUUAAGGUUUCAGGCUGAUCGAGUUAAAUUGUUGUUGCAUAGAUAAUGAGCAAUGGGUUCUUCAAGAGCCCUGUGCAUAGGGUGGUGACAAAUGCAAAGAAAGAGAAGCUAUCAGUGGCGCUAGACUACUCUGUUGACCACGAGAGAGAAAUCGAGCCAUUGCCUCAGUUGAUCAAUGAGAAGAGACCAGCAUUGUACAUGAAAAGUUAAGGUCGAGGACUACAUUUCCGGGCUCUAUGAACAUUUUUCUCAAGGGACAAUGGUUAUUGAUACACUGCAGUUAUAACUAUGUGGUAUCAUUGGUGUCAUGAAAAAAUGUGAUCAAAUUAUGGCCAAUGUAUGUAUUGUUAUUUCUAAAUGUCACGUGUAUUAAGUACUCCCUUUGUUCGACAACACAUGUCAUUUCAAGUUUUUGCAUGUUCUACAUGCUACUAAGAAAAUAAAGUUCUAUAUCACUAUUGUGUUCUACACGUGAUGAUAAUAUUUCCACUUGAGAAUUUCAUAAACCUUUUUUGCAUAGUACCAAUGAACAAUGCAAGUUCGAGGACUAUUGCUGGGUUGUUUGAGCAUGCUUCCCGAGGGACAAUUGUCAUCAAAAGAUAAGAUAACUGUUGGAAAAUAAUGGUAAUAGUUUAAGAUUUGACAAGAGGCAUCAUUGAUAAUAAGAAUAUGAUGCAAAAACAAUUCUAACUGUACGCACGACAGUCCUAACAAGGGAGUGCAAACCAACGCCGUAAGGUGAUGAACACGCCUGCCUGCUGCCAUUUGUCCCUCGCUCCCACCUGAUGACUCCCAGUGGUAGAGAUACUGACAAGCUUUUGAGCUAGUUGUGGUACCCAUCUACGUCCGAGACUAGCUAGUGAGAGGUCUACUCCCUCCCUUCCUGUUUAUAGGGCUUAUUUAAAAAAUUAUUUCUCAUUUUAUAAGUCUCAAUUUUAUUGCUCUCAUUCACAUGUUCAGAUUUCAAGGUGCAUUAAACCAUUGCACGCAAGGACUCAGAGAAAACACACCAAUGCAUGUAAAACUUUUUGGUCAUUUAUUUGUCACACAUGCAUGCAUUGCAUUAAUACAUUGGUAAACAUUUUUUUUUGAGAAAAACAAGCCAAUUAAUUGAGUACUUGUGCAAACUACAAAAGUUAUUCUACCACCCUACAUCUACCUUGGUUCGUGAGAUUUCUAAACUGAGCCCUAUAAACAGGAAGGGAGGGAGUAGGACAUUGGGUUAAUUAUGAAGUGUAUCUCUUAAUGCUCAAAAGCAUGGGAAAUCAUUUGAUUAUUGAUGGGCAAUUACCAGUUCUAUGUUUAGGUUGUGGUUCAAGGCUAGCCUUGGUAUAUUUUUGGACAUGAUUAAGCCCGAGCUAAUAUGUAAAAUAGACUGCAAAGUCGUAAAUAGACCAAAGGAAUCCCGUCCGCUAUUUCCUAAUCAUGAAUAAUUCAAAAUUUUAAGUCAAGAUCAUUGGCGUUCCCCUAGAACCAUUGAAACAAAGUGAAAGAUAAUAUAGUAGAAGGACUCUAAAAUAAAAUGAAAUGAAAAGUAAAAAAAAUUGCACCCAAAUUACACAAGAAUUGCGCUUUGUUAUAAUGAAUAUUCAAGAAUAAACAUCUAAUAGUGAAUUUGGUUUUGUAAAAAACAAACUUUUCUAAAGAAAGAAUAUUCAUUAGGUUUUUAUGUAAUUAUCGCCCAUAUUCACUAUUAGAUGUUUAUUCUUCUAAUUAUCUAAUAGUGGCAUUGGUAUUGCUGUUAAAAAUAGUCAUAUGAUAAUGUAAUUAUCGCCCUUAUUGCAUAGUAUUUAUGUGUUUACAUUUACACUCACCCAACACUCCAAAAAUUUCCACAAAAGAAAAUAAAAACCAACUAACAAAAGAAAACAAAGACGGAAACACAUAAAAACAGAAAUGACAUUAUUAGAAACAAAGGAAGAGAGAUGAGGGCUUGACCGCACAACUAAUGGGCUUCGGCCCAGUUGAAAACCGACCUGAUAAGGUCAGUCCAAAAAGCAAGCCCACGAUAGUCCAGAAAAAAGAGUAGCAUGAAUUUCAGAGCAAAAAUGAAUGGAUAAGAAAUCGACUCACCCAAAUUUACAAUUCAAGCAACUUACAAGUAGCUAAAGUUAUAUUUAUAACCAUAUAUUGUAGAUCACUCUUACAGGACUCAACCACUCUCACACCACAUGUUCAUAUCUCUUACACGUACGUACAUAUACGUGAUAUAUGUGGAUAUGGAAAUAUUAAAGGUUGCAUUGCAUGAGCUUAUUGAAUAUAUAUGCCAUGUGUUUUUCAUUCCUUCUUUCUAAUUAUCUAGGUGGCAGCGUGCAGCAGCAUCGUCUCCACAGUGAACCCCGGCC
rnacentral:lncRNA from 1 species